UGCAUCUUUGCCAACUCGAGCUUAGCUUGCAUACAACUAGCGCUUAGCUUGCAAGUGGCACAAGUGGACAAGUUGUGCAAGUUGCCCACUUGCAUCCUCAAAAUAUUCGGCUGUAGGUUCAUGCAUCUUUUCUUUCCAAAAUGGUUGGGUCGGGACUUAGAAAAACCUCAUUAACGCCUUGGAAAACUGCACAAUUUAGGCAUCCUACAUUCUGUCCAAAACAAGCUACCUGCGUCCUCUGCCCGAGUCUGCCUGUGUCCUUUGCCGAAUCUGCCUGCGUCCUCUAUAGCAAGCUGGUUAGUCUUGCUGAGACGCAUUACCCGCGCUGUCUUACGAUCACUACCGGGACGGAUCGGUUAUGAUCGUGUGGGCAUACGUCACUCCCCCACUGAAUUUGGUGACGCACUCAUCGCCUUGUACCGCCGAAUCUUAGACCUUAUUUGCCAUAAGUCUAUCUCAUUUUCCCACUUUGUGCCAUGACAUUCUCGUGUCAUGCAAAGUUUCAAAUCAUGACCUUGCGAUCCGUGACAUUCUCCCCCACUCAAUCCGCUAACGUCCUCGUAGCGAAACGUGUUCCGUGCAUCCUCAUGCAACCUUGCAUUGUCUUUCCUGUCAAUGGGCAUCAAAGUUCUCCCAACUUGCGGCACCAUUUCCUCGAUGACCGGGUUUCCACAGUGCCCCUUACACCUCUUCCCGUUGCAACCUUUUGCAUGCCACCUUCGACACCAACCUUCACCCUCAGCACCUCUGCCUUGGUUCCUCAGAUGGACAACUCCUCCGGUUGUAGUGUCCUUACACCUGUCGAAGCUUUGAACCUUCGUGCACCCAAUUUCGGACUUCUUUAACAAUGCUUCUUCAAUUUCCUUCUUUCUUGAUAGUUUCCUCGGCAGCUUCGCGAUCAUAAUGUCCUUAUCACCUUCAAGGACUUCCGCUAACUGCAUCCCUGACAGUUGUUGUGUUUCCAUCCCCACAGAAACAGUUUCAGCACUCAUAGCAUUAAACAGCUGGAAUGAAUUCAUUCGAACUUCAUCCUCAUCUUGGCUAUCCAUAGCCUCCGGUUUGCUCUCCGAAAUGGAAAUAGAUGCCAAUGAUCCCAACUUAGGACAAUUCCUCAUAAGAUGUGGUCCUUUGCAAAUAAAGCAACCUCGAGGUGUAAAAUUAUUCCUCUUCUUCUCAUCAUACUGCUUACUCCAAGUAGUUGGUUUGUUGCCAACGAGUUUGUAAUCAACUUUGGGAUUUGGCCUCCAAUCCGGCUUACUCUAUUGCAUAGCUUUUCCUGUAUCUUCCUUACUACCUCCAAAAUUUUCUUUGUCGUGUUUGAUAGUUUUAUCUUCGGUCUCAAGACUUUCUUCAAACUCCAUCAAGGAUUCAGCUAUUGCAAUUGCCUCGUCUAUGGUUUUGACAUCACGACGUUGCAACUCUUGUCGCAUCCUUGUUGCACAAUCGUCUAGAAAAUAGAAUAGCAAAUCAUCCUUCGGCAUGCUUGGGAUUUGAAGCAUAAGGGUUGUGAACUCUUUGACAUAGUCACGAAUUGUUCCCGUAUGUUUCAAUUUCCUCAAUUUCUUACGGGCCUCAUAGACGACAUUCUCCGGGUAGAAUUGCCUCUUUAUUUCCCUUUUGAACUCGUCCCAAGUAUCAACCUUACAAGCCCCCCUUGCAAUUUCACCAUGCUUAUGACGCCACCACAACGCUGCAAUAUUCGAGAGAUACAUAGAAGCCGUCCGGACUUUCAUGGCUUCAUCAACAUGAUUUAUGCCUUCAAAAUAGACUUCCAUUUGCCAUAGGAAGUUUUCCACAUCUUUGGCAUCCCGUCGUCCAUCAUAAUAUUUAGGCUUCGGGUAUUCAAUCCUCGGGGUAACAAUAACUGAAGCGGCACUCCGCUUGUAUCGGUAAUGCAUUGAUUGUAUUGAUCAAGCUCUUUGCUCAUUCUUUCCAUCAUCACGACCAACUAAUUAACUUGGCCAUGUAUAGCGGUAACGGCAUCCAAGAAUUUGGUUUGGAGAUGACCAAAAUCAUCCAUCACCGUAGCUUGUCCGGCUACUACAGCUCGAACAUCAUCUUUCAUCGUUUGGACAUCAUUUUCCAACGAUGCUUGUGUGUCCAUUACCUCUUGGACAUUAAUUUGUACAGUUUCCAGCUUUCCAAUGGCAUGUCCCUCCAACGCCUCAAAAGAGCUUUCAAGAGAUUCGACCCGAUCACCCAUCUUUGAGAUGAUUUGGUCAAGUUUCCCUUCCAUGUUGGUGGCUUCCCUCACCUUACUUUUUCCUCGAGUUUUCCUUACUUCAGUUUGAGCAGCACCUCGACCCCUCUCCUCAACUCAAUAUCAACAGUUUCUUGAGAUUUUGCCCUUUGAGCUCCUCACCCAAAUCUAGCUUCCAAGAAUCUCCGGUGAAUCUGGCUACCACAGUCGCACUUGGUUACCACAACCAAACCUUCGCCUUGAUACUGCCUCUGUAGUCCACACUACAUGAACCUUACACGGAUAUCACCUCACCUCUAAGAUGAAAAAUUGGUUCAACCCCACGUGAACCUUUCUCUGAUAGCACUUGUCACGGGCCUAGUUUCAUUACACCCAAACAAACUAGAACCGUGCAGCCUUAACGUUUGACAAUUCCCGUUCCUCACGAGAAAAUGUUAAGUCAGCCUUUCUACACUCACAAAUAAUUUAACCAAUGAAGCUAAAUUAUACCCUUGUUGAGAAGAGAAUUUAGAAGUAAGGAAUAUAUGGAAAACAAGUAAGUAUGGGGAAACUUUCUUUGUAUAAAUGAAAGGGAAAAACUUUACAAUCUCUCUAAUGAAUAAACUCACUUCACUCUAUAUUCUACACAUGUCUACAUUUUCUACACGCCCUUUACAAAUGAGACUUACAUCUCUAUUUAUAGGCAAAACUUAAACCUCCUUAAGCAUUCCACUUUACAACUCGCGCUUAGUUGGUUACAACUCGUGCUUAGUUGGUUACAGGGACGGAUCGGUUAUGAUCGUGUGGGCAUACGUCACUCCCCCACUGAAUUUGGCGAUGUACUCAUCGCCUUGUACCGCCGAAGCUUAGACCUUAUUUGCCAUAAGUCUAUCUCAUUUUCCCACUUUGUGCCAUGACAUUCUCGUGUCACGCCAAGUUUCAAAUCAUGACCUUACGAUUCGUGACAUCCUACUCUGGUUCUAGUCCUGGCCCUGGUCCAGGUACAUACUCUUGCUCGUUCUCUGAAUUAGAUUCAUAACUCGGUUUCUUUUUUGGGUCUUCCUAUGGGUCAUCCUCAGGCUCGGGCUCUAGAGUAGAAAUCCACCUAUCUAGAAAAGUUUCACAAUACAGCUCGAACUCGAUCCUUUCUGGGUGCUCUAGAGGGUUAUCCUCUAGCAUUUCGUCUAUAACUUCAAUGCCCAUGUUUCCCCACUGAGAUGGCAGGGUAUGGAUAAGAUUGUUAACAGCUUGAAGGGGUGUAACCUCAUGUCCUACACCCCUUGCCGUAGCCCACCUAGCAAAGACUUCUUCCACGUGCUCAAUAAGUCUGUGAGUCGAGUCUGCCUCAUAAUUCGCGUAGGCUUAGAUAACUUCUGCCCUAUGGUUUAGAACACUCUUAUAAGCGGUCGUCUUCCUAGCAGUCUCUCUAGUUCUAGCCAUGACUGUCACACACAAGCCAAGCCCAAUUAUGCUUAAUGUUUUAUUAGUGAUAACACAUUACCUUUUAUGCUUGCAUAACCCAUUAGAAGGAUAAAAUAAAAAGGUUAUACUUUUAGUAAACUGAUUAAAAGCAUGGGAGAAACAUUUCAUGGUUGAAGCAAAAUAAAUUAUAUGCACACUAAUUAUAACAUUUCAUUUCAUUUCAUUCCCAACAUUUCUUAAAUUAAAUACAAGAAUGUAUAUCUCAUGCUCAAAGUAAAUUUUAAAUAAACAUAUUACGUAAUACCUUCGGUCUGUUAGAUAGUAGUUGAUUGGUGAUUGCUAGGUACCAAGAAACUUGUUAUAAUUCUUGUUCUUUAAAUGUUUAUAUCAAAAUUUUCAUUUCAUGCUAAUGGGCUUGCCAAUAUGUGAAUACAGAAAAAUUGAUGAAGCUUUAUACUUUGAUUUAUACAUAUAGAACAUACAAGGGCAGUUGAAGAAUUUUAACAUAUUAUAUGUUAACUCGCAGGAAAUUAAAAAUUUUAAGGAUAAUUAAUGAUUAACUUUUUUUUUUUUUUUAAUUAACGAAAGGUGUUUUAGAAGCAGAGGUCGGCCAGAUUGGUAACAAAGAUACAUAUUUAUUCCUUUUUCUUUGCAUUAACUUUUAUAUAUAUAUAUAUAUAUUUUACAAAAACAUUAUCCUUAAAUUCCUAAUCUUUAUAAAAUUCUUUGAUUUUAUUUAUUUAGAAAUUUCCCUAAAAUAGGAACGUCGUUAAAUAAAAGUUUCUAAAAAUAAGCAUGUAAUGUCAUCAUUUAAAAUCAAUUUAACAUACACAUUUAACCUUCAAAAUAAUAAUAAUAAAAAAAAUCAUUCUUUUUUUUUUUUCAUUUAUCCAAUGGCGUACGUCUAUCAUGGGAAAAAAGUACCAAGUAAAUUCCAAGUUACCGUAGGUAUGAAAAUUUAAUUGAGCUAUUUAUUUACUAAUUAUAAAGCUUUCACAACGAGUUAGUGCACGAUAAUAAAAUAUUUCAUUUUAUUUUCACAAAGGAACAAAUCUAUUUUUAUAGAAAUUUCUUAAAAUAAAAUUUUUUAAAAAUAGAAGUUUGAUUUGAAUAACACGCAACUGAAAAGGCUUCCAAGUAAGGAAGGGGGUCACAAGCGGACCGCUUAAAUCCCGAGCUCGCUUUAAACAGUUUAGAUCUUUUUGACAAAGCAUUUCAGUUUUGUAGAUACCCAAAUCAGAAAACUUAAACAAUAAGUUUUUUUUAUACAUUAUAUAAUGUGGACGCGCCUUUUUGUGUCAAGUGAUGCUUCAUGUACAGGUAGAGGCUCACAUGCCUCUACCAGAACACACAGAAGGGGCGGGGCUGCAAUUUUUUUUUUUUUUAAAUGCAGUUCGGUGGGACCGACUUGCCCUCUACAGUGAGGGGCUGUAAGGCCCCUUUAUAAAUAGUGCUCUGUACUCAGGGCAUUAUACUUUUAUGUCAACACACAUCGAGACACAUGCAAAUACGUGCACACACUAUUAUAAAUAUAUACACACAUAUAAGUACAACAUAAAUAUACCUUAUACAGUUGGGCUGCUAACAUUUAGUUGGUAAAUUAAGCAAAUUUUUGUUUCUGACAUAUGUUCGAAUUUGAUCGUAUUCACUCUGGGACCCAAAAAAAAAAAAUGAUAUGUAGGGUGACAGUGCGCAGUUAGAUUGCAAUGGAAAACGGUUAUAUUUCCAUUGUAUGCCGAAUUAAAGUGGCUUAUACAGAAGCAUAAAAAUUACUUCUUCUUCUUUUCUUUUUUCUUUUUUUGUUUUUGUUUUUGUACUGUUCACGAAAUUUUUCAUUUUUUUUAAAAGUCUACAGGAAGGUGAAACCUGGCUCUGAUACCACACUGUAAUGCUCCAAAUUUUAUCGACUUAAAUUUGAGGUGUUACCGAUAUUAUUCCAUAAACAUACAUCAAACGGAAAUAAAAAUUGAAAACUUAAAACCUUAAUUUAUUGAACUCUCAAAUGCUGAAUCAAAUAAUCGUAUUGUCAUGUAACAUGGAACGUUAAAUGGAAAUAAAUGCAAACACAAAAUGUCCUAGAGGAAUUAUUUUUAAAUAUUUUCUUGAAAAUUUUCUUUACUUGGCAACUUGCGCACUGCUCAGCUACCAUCCACGUUGACCGAUCUAACCAUCAUUUGAUCAAGAGCAAUCGUGAUCAAUCGAAUACUCCAACAUCUUUUGCUAAUUAUCUUGAAGGAUACAUUAAAAAAAUACAUAUUAAAUACGUUGCUUUGAUUUGAUUUAUCUAGGGCUUAACAUAUAUGACCUUAUAUUUUCUUGAGCCCAACCCACAUUAUUUAAUUCGGACUACAAAAUUAGCCCAAUAUUCAUAUAUUUAUUUUUGCUCCAUUAAAAUCUAAUUAUUUGACCCAAUUAGACUAUGAGUUUAGAACCUAUUUCAUUUCAGUUUUCCAUUUAUUAUUAUUAUUAUUAUUAUUAUUAUUAUUAUUAUUAUUAUUAUUAUUAUUAUUAUUAUUUAUAAUAUAAUAGUAUAUCAUAUAAAAUAACUAAAUUCUUUUUCUAGAAUUUUUGGGAUGUUACAUGGAACAACUAUGAUACCAUUGCAAAUAUAGCCAUCAGUAUAUUUCUAAAAAUAAAAAAUAAAAAAUUACUUAGAAUUGGACGAGAAAAAAAAAUUUGUAAUGGUUAUGAAUUUAUAUUCUUGAUUUUGGUCAUCACUCAACAAUUGGAUGGCAGAAAACACUCAAUUUCAUAAUCACGAAAUUUUAAAUUUUAACUCUUGAAUCCUAAUUUCGUCCACUACAAUCUUUACUAGAAAAGAAUAUAAAUUUAUCAGCGAAAAUACAUCAGAAAAAUUAUAGUUUAAUUAAUUAAUUGAUUUUGGUCAUCACUCAACAAUUGGAUGGCAGAAAACACUCAAUUUCAUAAUCAUGAAAUUUUAAAUUUUAACUCCUGAAUCCUAAUUUCAUCCACUGUAAUCUUCACUAGAAAAGAAUAUAAAUUUAUCAGCGAAAAUACAUUAGAAAAAUUAUAGUUUAAUUAAUUAAUUAAUUAAUUAAUAUUAUUUUAUUUUUUUCCUUUAUUUUUUAUUUAUUUUUAUUUUUUUGGAAUGUUACACCAGCUGUGAGUUGUUUCGCUACCACUUUUAUUACAUUGAAAAGUAUCUAUGAUUACAAACAAGCAUUAGAAAAUUUGGCAACAACUAGGCAUUUUACAAGCUAUAGGCUUUUGAAAAGUGCAAAUGGGAGACUUGUAAGUUCUAUCAUCCUGCAUAACAAAUUUUUGGAGGACUACUUGAUAGUUGUGAAAAUUGUAGCUCCUAUUAUAAGGUUGUUACAAAUUGUAGAUUCAUAUGAAAAAUAUUCAUUGGGUUAUGUAUAUGAUGACAUGCAUAGGACACCAAAAGGAGUCAAAAACACGUUUUUAAAUAAAAAGAGAUUGUACCUGCCUUACAUUGAUAUAGUUAAAGAGUGCUAGGAUAAAUAUUUUUGCCUUAUCAUACAGACUACAACUUAUUUCUUAGUCUCGCAUUCAUUAUAAAGAAGGAUUUUGUUAAAAAUGUAGAAGUCAUACAAGACCUAUUCAAUUUGCUUGAAAUCAAAAGCAGUUAUGGUAAUAAGACAAAAGCAAUGGGGUAAAUGAGGAUAUCGAGAACAUGAACAAAUUUUUGAAAGGCAAUCAACAUGUAAUACUAGAAAAUUAUUACAACCUGUUGAACAUUUAAAUUUAGUUGUUUAUUGUUUAUUUUACUAAUUUUAGUGCUUAAAAUUAUAUUUUUUAAGUUAUGUAGAUGAAUGGUAAAAUUGUGUAGAUCUAGUGCUUCUACUUUGCAAAAUAUAACUAUUAGAAUUCUUGGUCAAACUUCUUCUUGGGGAUGUGAAAGGAAUUGAAUUGUCUUUGAACAUUUUCACACGAAAAAAGAUAUAGAUUGAAGUAUCAAAGACUGAAUGAUCUUGUUUAUGUUACAUAUAAUUUGUGAUUGAAGAUAAGGCAUAAACUCAAACUUUUAUCACGUCACAAGUCUAUUUUAAUGUCUCAUUUAUUUGAUAUAUAUAUAUUUUUAUAUCUAAUUAUUUUUCAUGUACAACUUUAUAGACUCUAUUAUAAGAUGAUAUCUUAUGAUUCAGUUGAUUAUGAGUACAUUGACAAGACAGACUUUUAGAUAGAUGAAGAAGUUCCACCUCAAGAUUUUUUGAAAAAUUAGAUAAUGUUGUAUAUGAAGAUGUACUUUCCAAUGAUAAUUAUCAUGAAAGUGAUGGUAAGGUUCAAGGUUCGUAAAUUUAAUAAUCUUAACUUAUUGUUUUUAUACUUUUUUGUUUUUUAUAUUAAUCAGGUAUCUUUAUCUAAUAUAUAAUAUAUUAUUUCUUUUUUUUUGCGCUUAGAUGACAAUGGAAAUAAUGACGAGCUGAAUACUCUAGAGAUGGGUGAUUUAGAUACUUUGAAUAUUAUACGUCGUUUUGGGCAUUCAAGAUACUGUGGAAGUGAUUAAGGAUUAAGGCUUAUAGAUGAAAAAGAUGAAGACGGAAUCUAACCAUUUAGCCCGUUUCUUAGAGAGCUUUUUUCCCAUUUUAUCAAUUAUUUGAUCGUUAUACAGAUGAAAAUUGGUCCCAUUUUGGCUGCAAUUUUUUCCUGCCUGGAAAUUAAAUACCAUAAAUGCCAUUCUCUCAUUCAAAAUGAAUUCAAUGUUAAGGAGAAAAAAAGGUCAUUCUGCCUUAAAAUAGUCCAUAAUUGCGACUGGUCUUUUCUAACAUACACUGUGUAUAACGGUUAUAAUUUCGUUAGAAAUGGGAAAAAAGUUCUCCCAGACAUGGGGCUUAGUAGUUUAUGUUUAGUGUACUUUUCGGUUCCAGUUAUUACUUGGCAUUUUUUGUUAUAUUUGCAGUUAAAUUUCUAAAUUUUAAGUAUUUAAGUUUUCAUGCUAUUGACAUACAUAAUGUUAUUGAUUUAUUUUACAAUAUAUAAAGAGAUUGUGUAGAACUUGACUUUGUUGAUUGUAUUUGAUUAUUUUUGCUAGUAGUAUGUUUUGAGUAGCUAAUAGCUUAAUACCAUUUUUGCGGUUUGACUUAAAAAAGUUUGAUUUUUACUCUUUUAGUUCUUUCUAAAUUCAUAUUUAUUUUUAUUUAUUUUUAAAAAUUAUCGGUUCGGUUUCCUUGCCUGCUCAGAUGGUUACCUGAAGAUCUACUCCUCCGAAUCCUUGGCUGGCGAGACCCAAUAUCGGACGUCGGAUUUCAUUUACAUGUGUAGGAGCUGAAAAAUGAGUCAUACGUACUUGGAUGGACGAUAAAUGGAUUCUUUAAGAAACCUUGCUGGCAAUGGAGGUUCUUAAGUCAAGGGAGCUACUGCUUUCACUAUCAGAAUCGAUGGGGUUUCAUCGGUUGCCAAAUUUGGAGACUUUGGCAGUGAUUCCAAAGGCUAAAAGUGCGAAUGCGUAUUCGUGGGUUGAGAGGCAGGGUUUUCUGUGCUUUACCAUGCGGAAAAGGUUUUUAUCUUGGAUUUUUCUAGUUGUACACUGGGUUCCCCUCACAAGAGGGGGGACCCACGGCGAAUAAAAAAAUCGUGGGUCCUCCCUCUUGUGAGGGGGUCGGUACACCAGUCAUCCCGGUGUACAUGCAGAAGAACCCUUUUAUCUUCAGAAAUGAUGGGAUUGAUUGUACUUGCAAAAUGUUGUGGCUUUUUCUCUACAAUGGGCCAAAAAAAUGUCUUCUUCUGACAGUACGACCCUUCUUACUUCCGAGAGAAGCAAGUUUUUGGCUAGUGUUGUGGCGUUUCAGCUAAGCCAAUGAUGCUUUUAGUAUGCUGUUUAGUUGAUAACGUCUUUCUGUCAAAUCAAAGAUUGUUGUGUUGCCAACUCAAAUUAUAUAAUGAUAGAGUGAGGUUCGACCAGUGGCGGAUUGUACAAUAUAUGGCGUGUCAUAUGUGCUAUGAGAGAUGAAUUCUUUUUUCAUUUUUCCUUUUCUUUUUGCUUACUUGAUAGUUUUAUUUUUUUAUAUUGAAAUAUUUUGCUAAGGGAAAUUGCAAGGCCAGUCUACCAGACCGAGUUAUAAACAUCGGAGCACUUAUUUUUUUGGAUGUUGACUGCUUUGUUUUAUUGGCAGUGAUGUAUUUUAUACCAAGCUGCCAAUGUUAUGCUUCACUUUAUGUGAAUGUUAUCUGCUUUGGUUUAGUUCUUCUAGUGUUGGUUAGUCUUUUGUGGUUGAGCUGAUUCAUAAAACACGAUAGUUCCGUGGAAAAUUUAAGAAAAGAUGAGGGACUGAAUUUUUUCAUUUUUAUUUUUAAUCUUUUUACUUUUGGUUGCUGCUUGUAAUUUCAUGAAUUAUGUUAUUUGGGUGUGAGAUCAAGAUCUUAUAAUUGGGCUAGGAACACAACUAGAUUUAGUUUCAUACAAACUUCGCUCCAAUUCUGAUGGGUACCUCAGACACGAAUGUACUAGUAAGACUAGGUAUAACUAUUUGACAUGUACUUUCAAACUCAAAUGACUAUAUAUUGGUUUUGUUUCACUACUAGUCUAGUGACUAUUAAUGAAUAUAAAGAAAGUGGAGAGAAGAGAGAGAAAAAUCUUCUGUAUGAUUUUGAGCUGUCAGAUCAACAGGAAGUCAGGAACAACCUCUGAGUGCAAUCUGAAUAAUCUCCACUCCCAUGCUAUUUUUUCCUUUCAGCCGUGGAGAAUUCUUCGAUCUCCUUUGGAAGUUUUAUCAUGUGUUGCCUUUUUAUGCUCUCGUUAUCUAAUAAAGCAUUAGUUUUCUUAGGGGCUGUUUGGUAGGGCUUCUAAUUUUCCUUUUGCUUUUUAUGGAAGAACUUCUAGAGGAAGUUAUUUUAAUUAUUGUUUGAAAUUUAAUUUCUAUAAAAAAAAAUUUCUUCUGAAAGAGCUUUUAGAGGAAGCUGCAUUCGACCAACUUCUUCUAAAAGAUUGUAUGACUAGAAGAAACACUUUUAUAAAAUUAACCAAAUGGGUCUAGAAGCAAAUUUUAAAUUUCAAAAGCUCCUUUUUACUUCUCAAAAUCCAUGCCAAACGGCUUGUUACAAAGAGAUGCUAUCUCAUAAGUUGGGCAUUCACAAAUUUUAUGGACCAAAAAUCUAUACAACUGUGGGUCUCGUAGCUUAUAAGCUAGAUAAGUUGAAAAUUCACAACUUAUCUGGCUCAGCAAUUUUGGUCUUUGUAGGUUCUGGACCUGGCUGUUGAGCUUUGGUGGUCUUUGACAAUAUUUCCGUAUAUUAUGCCUUGACCAUUCUGCCGUAUACGGUAAUUCCACUCAUGAUGGUUUCAUUAUUUGUGCAGAGGGACGAGGGUCGGAGCUGGGAAAUGAUUCAAGGCUGGGCAAAAUUUUAAAAUUUUUAAAUAAAUUCACGCUACAAGAGAUCGAGUUUAAGAGACUACGUUCAUUACAUUCAUGACAAAUAGUAUUAGACACUCAAUGAAAUGCAAGUCUAGUUUAGCAUUCUAAGAUGUCUCACUAGAUAUUCGUACUUUUUCUUGCAAAAAUACGAAAUCGGUGCUCAUCUUAGAAAAUAUAAACUAAUAGAAGUAUGAUAAAUGUGGGCAAACGAUAUAUGUCUAUGUUUGAUUCAACUUCUUAAUAUACAUAUAGUUAAGAAUUUUAUCUAUGUUUGAUUCAACUUCUAUAAUAUACAUAUAAUCUUAUUAUUUAUAAAUAAAUAAGUUCUUGUAAAUAUUUUUUUAUUAUAAGAUUAAAUAUGAAGUAAGUUACUUAUUUUGAUAGUAACAUCAAUUUCGUGAUCAAAAUAAGUAAGUUUCUUUCUUAUGAGUAUAAAUAAGUUUAAGCUUGGCCAAACAUUUAGUGUCUCUUACUAUUAAAAUAAGUAAAUUAUUUUAGCUCUAAUCAAUACGAUUUUAUUUAUUAUAAAAGUUUAUAUAUAAUUAUAAGUAAAAUAUAUAUUACAUAAAAACUAAUUUGGUUAUAAAAUUGUACACAUUUCAUUAAUACCAUGAAAGAAUAUUUGGAUAAUUGGACUUAGGGUUGGGGUUGGGACACAAUAUGAAGCUGGGCUAAACAAAAUUUUAUGGGCCAAUUUAACUAUAAAAUACCUUUCUUCUUACCAUGUGGGUUGGGGGCAGGGGCUGGGCUAUAGCCAAGCCCAACCCACUGCUAGAUCCAUCUAAGUCAGACAAUCCAACCGAUCAAUUAAUUCUUUAUGACGUGUUGAAUUUGUCUUAUGCGCUUGGAAAAGAUGGACCGGCAAGAGGAGUUAAAUGGUGAAUCGAGAAUGAAUCCAAAAGAAGAAAAAACCUAUUUUGGAUCACUCAAAAUUGAUACAUUUUUUAUCCAGACGCUCUGCGUGGAUCAUACCUUUUGUUCCACUUCCAGUUCCUAUGUUAAUAGGAGUUGGACUUCUUCUUUUUCCGACGACAGCAAACUAGAAAUUCUUUUUCUUGAAUAAAGGAACAGAUUACUCGAUCUAUUUCCGCAUUGCUCAUGAUAUACUUGAUGCCCCGCCCAAGAGAGAUACACAAGUCCUUAUAUGUGGAGGUGAAAUAAUUUGGUGUUCCAGACGCAGUUAAGUCAUUUGUGGGAAUCACAAGAGAGAAUAUGAUCUUGAAUGCUACAAAUGAUGCCAUGUCUGAGGUGUUUUCUUCAGGGAGGAUUGGCUUCAUAUGGAGAACUUUUGGGGAAGGUAAUAUAUUUCUUAUGGGUAGCCAAUAUAUAUGGGGAAAUUUGGUGAGAUAGCCGGGUUUGCUAAUGUUUUUGGAGAAAUAGCCUUUGACCAAUACAAAGAGGAGAAAAAGAUGAAAAUAGUUUAAUUGACAAAAUGACCAAACUAUCCUUCACAUUUUAACACAAAAAUCCUUCCAUAUUCCCUCUUUCACCCCGUUUCUUCCUCAGGUAAAAACCCUAUUCCCCCAAAUUCAAAAAUAACGUCUCUCUUCUUCUUCCCCUGUGAGAAAAUCUCACAAAAUCAACUAUGAAUCUCACGAAAUCGACCUGGCCUCUGAUAGCCAUACAAAAGAACACGACGAGCAUAGGCAAGCGAAGUGACUCCCCCUGCCGCCUCGAAGACUUUGUUUUGGAACUACGAGUUUGUGAAAAUUCCUCUCCUUGCUACUACGACUGUGAAGGUGAACACUAAUUUAAGGUACGGCUUCUUCAUACUUUACCUCAUUAGCAUUGGCCUCUUCACCACCACAUUUAGUGACCGAAUGGAUCGUUCUUCGGUAGAUAUAUUUUUGCCUAAGUAUAUUAAUAUACCUGUUCGAAGUUAUAGGUGUUAUAGGUAAAACAUGUCUUACAAUAUAGAGCCAAAAAUUAAUUCCAGCUCAUUCCAGAGACUUCAGCUUCCAACAUUUUUGUCUCCAGCUGUUAUUAGUUAGUAGUUAGUUAGUUAAUUUGUUAGUUGGUUGAUUAAUUAGAUAGUUUGUUAGUUGGUUAGUCAUUUGUCUAUAAAUAGAGCACUUUGUAUACCUUCUAAUUCAUUGAAUAUUUUCCAAUCUUCAAUGUGAUUUCAUAUUGAAUUUAUCUUUUCUUCUUUUUACUGCUCUCUAGUUCUAUGCUAGGGAGAAUUUAACAUGGUAUCAGAGCAUUUCUUCAUUGCUUCUAGCUGAGCCUCUGCUAUUCUAUAUAGGAGAUUUUGCUUCAAGUUGUGUAGAUGAAUCAAGUUUCUUGUAGUCCUCAGAAAAUGUGGAUCAAAGUAGUCCACCUAAUCGAACCUUUUGCGAAGGUUCGCAAAUCAUGUUCUUUUGGAUAGUCACUCGAUAUCUCCAAAUUUAGCAGCUAUCAAGAGCUGCGAAGAGAGCUUGACUAAUAAAAUGCUCUCAUUUCUUCUUCUCCAGUUCACAUUCUCUUUUGUCGAAUUCCUACAAUUAUAAUGGUAGACUUCAAUAUGGUUUGAGUUCUUCUUCAUCAGUUCUUUUCUUCAUUUCUUUGUUCUCGAGCUCCUGUACCUAUAAUGGCAGGAAACAAUGAAACUCGAGUUGAUCGAGAGAAUGAUGUUCUCCUACUUGGGAAUGAGCCUUGGCAUAUCUAGUUGCAUCGUUUUAUCAGUUUGACAUGCUAUGGUCACUGCUUGUAAGUGUUAUAUUUGUGCCCAUUUUUCAGAAAAUUCUUGGAAGCAGCCCUAUUCUUGGAUAUUUGGCUGCUAGAAUCUUAAAUGAACCAUAUUGCUGGAAUCUUAAAUGAACCAUAUCGUGUGUCUGUGAUCCGUCAUGUUUCAUUCUAAUAUCUUCAAGAUGGGCAUUUUGAACAUCCAUGCCCCUCUUGAAGGGGGGCUCUUACAAUAUAGAACCAGAAAUUACAUGCCAUGAAGUCGAGGAGAAACUCAUAAAAUUAAAAUUUUAGAGCAUGUUUGGUCUUUUGCUUAUAUUACAGAAAAAUUCAAAGUUGGCAAUCAAUACAGAAUUACAAAAUAACUACCUACUCCUAAUACUUUAGUCAAGAUAAAACCAGAUUUUUAGAAACUAAAUCAUUAUGUGGUCUGCUGCCCUUUGCCACGUUCAAGUCCAAUUUUGUAUUGCCAUUGUAUCCCUUCAUCGUGAACGCAAACAUAUACCAUUGGUUCCACAUAAAUAUGAAACAGACAAAUAGACAGCAACUUGCAUACUAUGUCCACCCUAAUAAAUAUCCAUCAAUUCCAUCAAGUCAUGUAGUUUUAUCCAUUAUUAUCCAUCUAUGCAUGUGGGUGGGAGUUUAGGUAGCAAAAAACGAGUACAAAACCCACCAUCACACUAUGACAUGUUUUCUUAUCUCUUAAUUCUAUCUCUCUAAGUGAAAUGCAUUUGUCAUGUUUUUGGUGGCAUAUAAUUAAGCUGAGACUUGAAAUUUAAAAAUUUAUGAAAUUUCUUUAAAGGCACAAUCCUCAUGCUGCAGACUAAAUCUUCAUAAAACAAGCACUAAAAAUAUGAUCUACAUUCAGGAAUCACACUUAUUUGUUCCUUGCAAUUAGCUUAUAUAUCGUCCUGAGCUUUCCUAACAAAUAUAUCUUCCUUUACUACAAUUUUGUGUGGCCUUGGAGCUUUCUAUGUGUAGUCAUGUAAUAGCUUGUAAGUCGUUAUUUUUGUCCAAUGCUUUGGUAAAUGAUUGCUUUGAGAAAUAAGAUUGCUAACUCAAUUAUUGUUUUGCAUUUUACAAUAGGAAAAAUGGAUGCUGAAGACAUAGUGAACAUGAAGAUAAGUAAUAGAUGUAGAAUGAAAUUGAUCGAUGAAGUUUUCUACAGCUUAGAUGACAAGCAUCAGGAUCUAUUCACCAACUCCUGCUUUGGAAAUUUGUUAAGCUUGGGAAACAUAAAGCUUGCAUCCCAAUUAAUCCACCAAUUGAUUUUGAGGUCGACAAGUACCUCUUAAGAAAAUGAAGUAUUUAUUAAGGUUGGAGACAAGCUUGCAAGAUUUGGAUUGCAAGAAUUCAUACUGGUAACUAGGCUUAAAGCUGGGGAUUUGAAGAACGAGGAUCCGAAGCUAGGGCAAAAUUGUAGACUGGUCAAAGAGCGUUUUAAGAAUAGCAACGGCAAAAUAAAGAGAGGUUUAUUGUUACAAGUUUUCAAACGCUGCAAGCAUAAGAAUGAUAAAUAUAAGUUGGGCCUCCUUGUCAUACUGAUGUACGUGCUUUUGGCAGCAGAGGAGAAUACAUUUGUUAAUUCAUGGUUGUUUUAUUUGGUGGAUGAUCUCGAUAGAUUUAACAACUAUUUGUGGGGGGAAAAGUCAUACGAGUACACUAUUGAGGUCUUUAAACGUAAUUUGGGAGACAUAUUGAAGGGUUAUACAAGUUCUCAGCGAUAUCCGUAUUCUUUGCAUGGAUUUCCACUCGCAAUCAUGGUAAUAUGUUCUAAAAUCAUUUAAACUUUACAUUUUCUUUAAUUAUGUUACUAAAAUUAAAUUUAUGAUUGUAUAGAUUUGGGCAUUUGAAGCAAUUCUCAGUGUUGGAAAGAAAUUUGGUCGUGUAACAGUCGAUUCUAGAAUUCCAAGAAUGAUAGGCUUGGAAAUGUCCAAGCAACUUAGGGGGGAUAUACUUUGCACAAUUUUUGAAUCGUCAAAUGUGAGUUUUGUUUAUCAAAAUGUAAAUGGCGUAUCGAUAACUAUAACAAAACAAUUUGCUGAAUCGUUAUACAUUCUUAUUUUUUCAGAUGGAGGUGCAUUGUACGCUAAAUCUUACAGACGAUGAAUUGCUCGAGCCGUUUUGGAAGGAAUCCGAACCUUUUGAUGAUGAAGCGGAUCCUAAGUUGGAUAAUGUCGCAUCUAAGAAUGAAGGCCAAAAAGAAUCUCAGAAUGACGAUGCUCAAUCAAGUUUCGCUCGUCCACAAUGUCCUAAGACAUCAGAUCGACCAUCUAUGUCUAGCCAUCUAUAUUCAUCCAAGACAGCUAGACGACUCCCACCUUCUUAUGACUAUAUCGCUCAUAUAAUAAAACAAGAAAUAAGAGGUCUUGAAGAGAGUCUCCAAGGUGAGAUGUCAUAGUGCUUCGAUCGAGUAGAAAGGAAAAUUGAUUUAUUUCUCUAAUUAGCUGGACGAGGUGGAGUUCAGUCAGAAAGAAGCGAAUUUGAUGAUCGUGCUUUUAGUACAGGCAAUCAACAGAACAAAGAGGCAAGAGAGUGAGAUAAGGUAAUUAUUGAAGAAUGCUCUCAUGAAGAAGUCACACUGAAUAAGCAACCCGAGGCUUUUCCUACAUAUGAUGAUGGUAUAUUCUCUCUUGUACUUUUUGCAAUAAGCUACAAAGAAUUUUUAUGUUGGGUCCUAUUUGUUGGAUUUGAAGGAUUUUUAUGCUGGGAAUUGUGCCAGAUCCUUCAUCUGCUAUAGUUUUGUACCAACAAUGGCCUUUAGUAUGGACCGAAGAGACCUUUCGAACCGAGGAAGCUCGACAAGAUGAUGUCACAGAGAAGGUGACUAGGACAAAAGAGGAUUCAAACAUAUCUAACAAAGGUAAAAAUAAUUUACAUUUCAAUAUUUCACUUUUCAAUCUUGUGUGUUAAAAUGGAUUGAAUUGUGUUCCAUCAACUUUUGUAGAUAAUUAUGAGAAGCCUUCGGCAUCUUCACAUGUUUGCCAACCUAGUAAUGAAAUCAUUGUCAUCGAGGAUCCGAAUUCUGAAUUAUUUGUAGGAAGGGGGCAUUGAGUUAAGAGAAGAGCAGCUGUGCUACUUUCUCCAUACACUAAUCCCUUAAAGAGGAGAAAAUUGUUGAACAUUCAAGCAUAUGACCCUUUAAGGAAAGUAGAUCCUGCAAAAGUUGAAGACCUCAACAAGUGGUUGGCAAAUGCAUCCACGAGGUAAUUUAUUUUAUUGCAGUGGUUGGCGUAAUUUCAAAUUUGCAAGUUAGCUUAGUUUGAUAUUAUUGUUGUCACAGUGAUACAAUAUCAUUGGCUAUCUGUGAAGUGCGAAGGAAAUUCUUUGAUGGACAAUGGAAAAAUGAUAGGUGGCUUAUUGAUGAUGUAAGCAAUAUUUGUAUAUUAGAAUUAUUAUUACUGAAAUAAUGCAUUUAAUUAAUCAUGUUUUGUGUACAACAUAUCAACUCGGCCUUAUACCACAUUAGGGAAAGGGCAGUGACAUAUCACAAUAUAUCCACAUAUAUUUCAGCAAGAUUGUGAUAUAUUCGAUUGUUAUUUUUGGCAACUUGUUAAGAAAGCCUACCUAAAGUGCAUGCACGUAAGAAGAAAAAUGGUAACUACGUAUUUGACCAAGAGCUCGUCGAUUACUUUGAAGGGGCUUCACCAGUGCUCGGUAAACACUGGAGUAAAUGUAGAUUUUUGUACGUUCCUUACUGUGUACUGGGUUCUCAUUGGUUUGCACUGAAGAUUGAUUUGACGGAGCGAAUUAUUUAUAUUUACGACAGUUUGCCAAAAUACAUCUGCGCUGCUCAACUGGCAGAAUGCAUAAAACCUGUUCAAGUGGUAAUUCCCUUGUUGAUAAAGGAACACAUAGCACGUGAAGAAAAUUUCAGCACCAGCAUGUUUCGUUAUCAGAGGGUUGUAGUUCCUGGACAAACAAACGGGUAUACUUGGUUCAAUAUAACAUUUAGCACCAAUAUCUAUAACUUCUUUCGUCUAUGUCAUGUCUAUCUAACUUUUUUCCCAUUAUUAUUUUGUAGGUCUGAUUGUGGGCUUUUCACAUUAAAGUACAUUGAGUUUUUACAAGCUCAAUUGAAUGUGGAUUUGAUUUGUCCGAAAUAUAUGUCUAUUUGGAGGAACAAAUUAGCUGCAGAGAUAUUUGCAUGGCACUUUGAUCUAUAGAUUUAGUGAUUCUUUUGAUGUUAUUUUUGUAUUUAUACCUUGGAGAUUAAUUUUGUAGUCGUAAAUGUUUUCUUCAAGUUGAAUAUUGAUUGUAGUUACAGCUUUUAUGUCUUUCAUUUAAAUGUGCUUAUGCAUUUUUAUGAAAAUGGCAACUCGGUCAUUAUUUUGGUCAAGUUUUGUUCAAGAGAACGACGCUUGUGCUAUUAAUGAUAUGAGAAAAAAGCCAUGAGAGCGACAUAAUUGUCGUUAUGUUAAACGAUCAUUGUAUAGGAGAACGCCACUGGUGUCAUUACUUAUAUUGAAAAGAUAGGGAGAACGACACAUGUAACGUUAUAAAGACACAAACAUGUUCAUAAGAACGGUACAAGUGUCGUUACCAAGCAUAGAACGAUGCUUGUGUCGUUACUGGAUUGAGAUUAAACAUUAAAACGGCAUAACUGUCGUUAUGUUUAAAAAUACAAGUCAUUGUCACGUGCGUUGCACGAAUUUUGUAUUUAUCGUAUUUUUAUUAGUGUAUGAAUUUUAGUUUUUUGAAAAGUUUUUGAAGCAAUAUCUAGAAAUAUUUCCAUGAUAUAAAAAAAUUAUUACAAAUUAUUUUUAAAAUUGCAUAACAUUAUUGUGUCAUCUAGAAAAAAUAAUCUAGAAAAAAUAUACUUGUAUAUUUCACACUUGAAUAAGAAAUAUACAAGAUUAUACAAAUUAUUUUGCUUGUAUUCUUUGAUGUUGUUGAUAUAAUUGAGUUGAAUGUGAAGAUUAUAUUUCUAAAUUUUAUGUAAUUCAUUGCUGGCAAAUUGAAGAUUGAGCACCAUAUUCAUAUGUGUUUAUAUUUUGUGCUUCAUAUAUAUUUAAUAUUUAUUUUAUGAUAAUGUAAAAAAAUAAAAAUCUGGAAAUUUUUCUGAAAUUCGGUUUGGUAAGUGAAUGUACGGUAUUCUGCAUUCUCGAUAUUUGUAAGUGCGAAAAUCGGUAUAUAAAAAUACAAUAAGCUCAGCAUAUACGAUAAGUUGUAAAUACGGUAUGCAACAUAUACGGUAAGUUGCAAAUACGAUAAGUUAUUUGCAAAUACGAUAGGUUACAAAUACAGUAAGCUGAAAAUAUGGUAGACAGCAUAUACGAUAAGCUGUAUAUACGAUAAGCUACCUGCAAAUACGGUAAUCUGUAUAUAUGGAUUUAUAAUUUGUUAUAAAUGUAUAAAAUUUAUUUAAUAUUGAAUUUCUUAUUAAAUGUUGUAAUUCAAUAUUGUUUCCUUUUUUAUAAUUGUAUUUUCCGAAAAUAAAAAAAUAAAACAAGUGGUUAUGAAAUUGUUAAUUUUUAAAUGUGUUUUUUGUUGAAAAUAAAAAUGAUUUUUUAUGUUAUUUAGUUCGUGUUUGAGCCACAUUUUAGAGAAAAAAUGCAUUAUUCAUGUCAAAUCAAUUAGAAAUGUGCGGUAAAAAAUAAGAAAAAAUUUAGAUUUACGUGUAAUAUUAUUUUAUCAAAGUAUGGUUGAAAUGAUAUCAAAUUACUGUUGAAAAAUGUAUUUUUUUUGAAUAUAAUGUGGCUCAAACAAGCCCUUAAAAAAAAUUAUUGUAAUUUUAUUGUCUAAUAAGAAAAUUUAUUCUUCCAUACACGCAUCAUGCUAUCAAUAUUAAAAAAUAAUAAUAAUUUUAGUAAAUAUAAACUCCAUGAGACAAAAUAAAUAAAUAAAUAAAAACUUAUGUCGUUAGACAAGUCUAAGAGAACGACACUUGGGUCGUUUCUGAUCUUGAAAAGAUAUGGAGAACGACACAACUGCUGUUAUAGUGACAUAAACUUAAUAACGGAAACAACCCAAGCGAUGAUAAUAUUCAUAUAACGAUACUUGUGCCGUUAUUGAGAAGAAAACGAGUAUUAGCAGCCACGAGCCAUCCAAGCCUCGAUAUUCCGUAAGUUGAACUCAUUUAAGUCGCGAGAUGGACAUGCCGCUCACAUAAUUCAGGAGAUACCCUCGUUACUCUGAUUUUUUAACGAACGUGGAUGGUGACCUGUAAUUUGAUCAACUCAACAUCCAAAUCCAUGCCAAUUCCGCCAUUAUCUAUCACGUAAUCAAUAAUUCUGACUUUCUUAAGUUAGAAGCCUUGAGGUCGACGCUGUGGAAUUGAAGCGAAAAAUGGGAAAAAUCAACCGAACGACAAAAGUGUCGUUAAACGUCACUUGUGUCGUUCUGUCCAUAAGCACAAGUACGAGCAGCCACAAGCCUUUCGGGCCUCGAUAUUCGAUAAGUUGAACUCAUUUGAGUCGCGAGAUGGACAUGUCACUCUCAUAAUUCGGGAGAUACCCUCGUUAUUCUGGUUUUCUAACGAACGUGGAUGGUGACUUGUGAUUUGACCAACUUGACAUUCAAAAUCCAUGCCAAUUUCAUCAUUAUCCAUCGCGUAAUCAAUAAUUCUGACUCUCUUAAGUUAGGAUGUCCGAUCUUUGAGGUCGAUGCGGUGGAAAUGAAUCGAAAAAUGGGAGAAAUCAACAGAACGACACAAGUGCCGUUAAACAUCACUUGUGUCGUUUUGUCCAUAAGCACGAGUACAAGCAGCCAGGAGCCUUCCGGGCCUUGAUAUUCGAUAAGUUGAACUCAUUUGAGUCAUGAGAUGGACAUGUCGCUCACAUAAUUCGGGAGAUACCUUCGUUACUCUGGUUUUCUAAGGAGCGUGGAUGGUGACUUGUGAUUUGACCAACUCGACAUCCAAAAUCCAUGCCAAUUUCAUCGUUAUCUAUUACGUAAUCAAUAAUUCUGACUUUCUUAAGUUAGGAAGUCUGAUCCUUGAGGUCAAUGAGGUGAAAAUGAAGCGAAAAAAACGUCACUUGUGUCGUUUUGUCCAUAAGCACGAGUACGAGCAGCCACGAGCCUUCCGGCCCUUGAUAUUCGAUAAGUUAAACUCAUUUGACUCGCGAGAUGGACAUGCCGCUCUCAUCAUUCGGGAGAACCCUCGUUACUCUAGUAGUGAUUUGACCAACUCGACAUCCAAAAUCCAUGCCAGAUCCACCGUUAUUCGUUAUGUAAUCAAUAAUUCUGACUUUCUUAAAUUAGAAGGUCCGAUCAUUGAGGUUGACGUUGUGGAAUUGAAGCAAAAAAUGGGAAAAAUCAACAGAACGAUACAAGUACUGUUAAACGUCACUUGUGUUGUUCUAUCCAUAAGCACGAGUACGAGCAGCUACGAGCCUUCUGGGACUCGAUAUUUGAUAAGUUGAACUCAUUUUAGUCACGAGAUGGACAUGCUACUCACAAAUUUUGAGAGAUACUCGCAUUACUUGGACAACAUGAAAAAUGAGAACAACACUAGUGCUGUUCCUGUUAUGAAAACAGCACAAGUGUCGUUAGUUAUGUAAACACGAUACGAAUGAUUGAUAACUUAAAUAUUUAGAAAUAAAUUGUUAUUAAAUAAAUAAUAUUUAAUUUCUGAACAAUAUUUCUUUAUUUUCUAGGUAAAAUACAAAAAAGGCACCAGUGAUGUUUUGAUAUAACAAAACAAAAGAUAUACGUCGUUAUGGCUUUAUCGAUUCUAAGACAAUGAUAAAAUGAAUCAUUCCAAAUAUUUUAAAUAGUUUACAUUUAUGAAUGACGAAAGCAGUACAUCAUAAUACCACCAUCCUUUUUAAUACUACAAAAGAAACAUAUCAUAAAAGUCAAAAUUCAACAGAUGUGCCAUUUUGUCUUCAUCAUUCAUGUCUCUUGCUGAGUGGUACACGAUUUGUACAAAUGACAUGGUUAUGCUCAGUUUUCAAACCCCUACUACACUUACGAGACUUGCGUACCUCUCCUGGUGAUUGUUUCCUUUUUUUUGGUGGACGUCCACUUCCUCUUCGUGUCAACGGUCUUAUCACCUUUCUUGAUCGAACAUUAUUAGGAAUUUCUUAGUCCACCUCGUUUGGAAGUGGAUACAUAUAUUCAGAAUAAGCUUGUUUCUAGUAAGAAAUGCUAUAAAAUGGAGAGCAAAACCUGUAACAGUUAUCUCCAACAUCCCUUACUACUGCAAUUGCAUGUGCACAUGGAAAUUGGUCAAGAUCAAAUUCCUUACAUAUGCAUGUCCUCCUCUCCAAAUUAACAAUGAAACUUUCCAUUUCAUCACUCACUUGCAUUUCAUCUGGGCUAAGAACUUUUACCUCGAAACCUUUUGACUGAUUAUAUCUGUUGUACAUUUUCUCCUCCAAGUGCGGGGUUGAGGUAGCUUGUACAUUUUUCGACAUCAAUGCGCCUAUCAUGAAACCAUCUCUGCAUCUUUUCCCUGAUAUGCUCGAUCAAAGCAAGUAUAGGAAAUUCUCAAGCACUUCUUAACAAUGAAUUUAAUGAUUCUACAUUGUUUGUGGUCAUACUAUUGUAUCUGAUUCCAUUGAAAUGUGCUCUUGACCAAUACUCCACGCCAACAUCAUCCUCUAAGUACCCUCAGAUUUUCUCGUGUAGACUGCACAAUGCUUGCAUAUUAAUCUCAAAUUUUGCCAAACUAUAUGCCUUUGCGGUAGCUCUAAACAACGGCACAAUAUCGAUGCGAGGAAAUUUGCUCUUCAAGUUAGUUUGUAAAUGCCAUAUACAAUGUCCAUGAUGUGCGUUAAGAUAGACAUUGUUGAAACCAUUUGAUAUGCUUGUUGCACGGUCAGAUAUAAAGACUAGCUUGUCUAUGUCACCGUUUAUCUAUCGCAACUUUUGAAAGAACCAAGUCCAUGAGUCAUUAUUUUCUGAAUCCACUAUGCCCCACGCAAGUGGAUAAAUUUGACGAUUUGCAUCUUGGCAUAUGGCAACAAGUAACAUACCUCGAUACUUCAUCCACACAAAUUACCCGUCGGAUUGAAGAGAGGAAUCCAUGUAUGCUUGGUCCUAAUGCCAUGAAAAAAUACAUGAAAUGUCCAUCAUUAUCAGUUUCAAUAAAGGUCAAUGUGCCAGGAUUAUUUCUAUCCAAAACAUGACAAUAGAAUGGUAACUUUCCAUAGCUAUCAUCAGGGCUACCUCGAACCUCUUUGUAAGCAAAUUCUUUGGCCAUAUACGCCUUGGGAUAUUUUAUAGUAAUGUCAAACUCUCGACGAAAGUCAUUGAUAAUGUUUCUUGGUCUGUACACUAUGUUGACAUCCUGAUCUUUUGGAGCUACAUGUUUUCCAAUUAUCGAACAGUUAGCAUGUCUAUUAUCCCUGUGACGAACACUCAUGGAGCAAAUGUGAUGGCCAGAAUAUUUUCGUAUUUGAAAAAUCUCAUAUUCAGCUUUGCUCGUUGCUCAUAAACGCCAGUUACAAAUUUUCUCAACACAAACGACUGUAUACACACUCUUAUUCGAUUUCUUCACUUUAAAUUCAAAUUGGUACUUCAUGGCAAGUAGCUGGAGUUUUGAUAUCAAAGCACUUUUAGUUGGUAAUAGUUCAUCAUCAUGUACAUCCUUAUUUUUCAGAAUCCUAACUGAUGAUCUAUAAGGAGUUAAACACACGACUUGUGUUGAAGUACCAAUAAUGUCCUCUUCCAUGGAGAAAUCAACAUUGUUUUCAUCUCUUAGAGGAGAUUUAUCUUCGAAAUCUUAUUGUUCGGAACUACCUUGAAUUAUAUUCAAGUUAUCCCAAUCCACAGAGUUUUCAUGUACGUUAUCAUUUUCAUGAUCGCCAUCAUAUUGCUCAACUUCAUUUUGAUGGCUCACAUCUCCCUUUUCUACUUCACCAUUAGUUUCUACUCCACAAUCUCUUUCAAACUCCCUUACACUAUCACAUUCACAUGCAACUUUUGUCGAAAUAAUCACGCAAAGAGGAUUUUUUUACAAAUAGAAAGGAACCACUUCACUUUCAUGUCACUAUUAAUCCUUUUUGAUGGAACUGAAAACUUAGACAUUCCGGGAUUAAAAGACACCAUCUCAAUUUCAUAUAACUUUGAAUCCACAUUAACAAGUUCUUGCACUUUGUUGUACAACUCUAUAUUCGAAAUGCUAGAUGGAACAUAAAGAAUAUCCACAUUUUCUUCACCGUUUCCUACAUAAUCCCAUGCCCAUUCGCCUUCUUCAGUCUUUGUAAACUCGACAAAAUAGCAUACAUGUGCCCAUAUCAUUUCUACAGAAUCCGUAGCUGUAAAUAAAAUAAAAAGUUAAAUAAUUUACUCAAGUAUAUGUCAAAGUAAUAUGAAAAUAGUUACCAUAUUUAAAUUAUCAAAGUAACCACAAUAUAUUAUCAAUAAUAAACAGAUCAUAACAGUUAAUGGUUGUACUGUUGUUUUACAUGGAAGAUAACAACUGUAGUGUCGUUCUACACUGCUAAUAACGACUGGAGUGUUGUUAUCGUCCAAUAGUUGUGGACGGUACAAAUAUACACCAAAUACGAAAAUAAAAUCAACUAAAAUAUCAUUUUAUACUAUAUUCAACAAUAAAAGUACCAAUGUAAAUGAGAUUUCUAAAAAUACCUUUCUUCUUUCUUUAAAUAUAGGAGAGAUUUUAAUGUAGAUAAUAUAGAUACCAAAAUUCUUGUUCAAAUGCUCAAAAUAUUAGAGAAGAUAGAUGAAGAAUACAAUAAAUAACAAGAUUUUAAGGAAGCAACCACUGAGAAAGUGUGUCGAGAGGUUUUUGUAGAGAAAUUGAGGGAUUUAAUUGGAUUGAAACGGGUAUUUGAGUAUUUUUAAUGGUGAGAGUAUUUUAGAUAUUUGAUCUUAUUUGUUUUUUGUUUUUUUGUAAGUGAAGGCUAUUUCAUCAAAAAACAUUGGAGGAAGGUUAUUUUAACAAUAACAUUGUUUCACUGGGCUUUUUUUUAUCAAAUCCCCCAUAUAUAUGAUACCAAGACUAGACUAUAACUCAAUCAAAGGUUUAAUAUCAAGUGUUCUUUUUUUAUGCUUUUGAUGCAUUCGGAGUAUAUCACUUUGAAGUCGUCAUGGGUAUAAUACUUUUGCGAUGUACAAUGAUGGAACAUGUCAUAGUUUAUUCAGGUGAAUAUUGCACAUAUAGAUUUAAUGAACUGUGUUCCUGUAGAAAUUUAAUUAUAUGAAAAUCAAGAAAAAAAUAAAUAUUCUAUCCUCUUGUUAGGUAUGCUUGGAUUUUUCAACAACCAAAACAUAAAAGUGUGAUAUUUAUGUUGGUUUGAAUGGCUACUUUCUUACAAUAAAUAUUUUUUGAGUAUCGUUGUUGUUUAUGUGUUGCUAUGUAAUAUGCUGAACAAUUCUGUUCAUUAUUCACUGAAUUUAUUGUUUGGUUAAUUGAUUGAUAAUUACAUUGAUUGUAAUUUACAUUCAGGAAUUCCUGUAUAUGUGUAGAUAUAAGAAUUGGUGUGGCCAUGUUCGUUGUCUUCUAGAAAUUUUAUUAUUUUUUAUGUCAUUAUCAUCAAAAUAGGACUUCUUUAAAAAAUCACAGUCAUAAUGUGCAUGCUAUAGUAUUUAUUUGCAAGCUAGGAUCAGUGUUCAUCUAAUUGUGAAGGCACCAGUGAACAGUACUUCUAAAAAUUGAAUGACUUAGAUUAUAACCCUACCAGACAAGACACAACAUCUUUCCUUUUUUUUAAUUCUACAGUUGAAAAGUGUACACACUCGAAGGUUAAAUAUGAUCAAUUGCUUUUCGUUAUUCCUUGAUGUUCAUUCUAUAGUUCUGACAUGCUGUUGUAGCCAAAACAAGUUUAAUUUUAUUUUCCUAGCUAAGGCAUAUGUAUACUGUUGUUAUGAUUCAGAUCAUUUCUUUGUUCUAUUUUACUUAUUGCUGCUUAAGCCCUUGUAUAUAUGACCAUUUUUAUCAUGUCCUAGCAGGUAAAAAUAAGUUUUCUUGUGGCAACUUUGUGAGACAUACCAAAGUUGAAGAUUAUACCCAAUUCUUUUGGAGGUUUUUUGUUCAAAAGCUGAGUUUUGACUACACGGGAUAAUUAUUAGUGCUUCUAAUCUCUGGGCCUGAUUUGGAAUUCUUGAGCAGUGAUAGCAGUGAAGAGAGGAGAUCAGCCUGGGAAAUAUAUAUAAUAAAAAUAGUCAACCUACAUAAAUACAACAUGUAUGCUUCUGUUGGCUUCGGUAUAUGACUAGCACAACACAUAUGCGCAUAUCACAGUUUGGGUUUUUCUUUAAGGAGAUGAUUUGUGCGGGCAAAUGAUCAUUAGAGUGAUGAUUUGUCAGCAUCCCUGUAACAUUAACAUGCAUUUGGUCAUGGUAUAUAGACAAAGUUCAUUUGUAUUGACAAAUUUCGAGAAUAAACUCCUGUAAUAACUUCAGUUUGAAGGAUUUAUUUUAUUAUCUGUUCCCUGUUCUCUUUUAUUCAGUUUGUUCAGAAUAGUUAUAUUUCUUAUAGCAUAUCCAUCUUUAUUUUUAUCAAUUCUUGUCUUUAGGAUCCAUCUCAAUAAAUUAACAGAAAUAAGCUGUUUCCAUUUUCUUCAGGAUAAUAUUAGUGUGUUUGUUGACCAAAAUGGUAAGCUUCUUCAGGAAGGCAGUAUUUGUUGGUCAGAGGAUCCUGCAGAAGUUACCAUUGAGAAUCCAUAUGAUCUAGGUCUCUUAAUACAACAUGUUGAGGUAUCCUGAACUUCAAACAAUGACCUUUUUCCUCUCCUUUUAUUAUCUGCAUUUCUUCAGUUCAGUUUUUAAUGAAUAUGCAGAUACGGUCCCUUUGAUCUCCUUAUCCGUUGAUACAAACGAUUGUUCUCAGCAAUGUUCAUGGUCUCCUUCGAAGUGAAUGUUACUAUUGUAGUGGUAGACAAUUCUGUUUAUGGCUUGUUUCCUGUUCUUCUUGGUGCACAGGUAUAGAACACCAUCUAGAAAAUCCAAGGCACUUCCAUCUUUUUUUAUGCAAUUCCAGAAUUGUGUUCUGUUACGAAGGUUUUUGAAGUGAUGUAUCUAAAACAACUCAGAAUUCUGUAUCAAUGUUGUACGAACAAUUUCAUUAUGUUUUGUUCAUAGAGAAGAAUGACUCUACGUUGAAGCAAAACAGAAAUUGAAUUCAUAAAUAUUCCUGCCCUCCAGUUCUCUGACUUUUUGAACAAAGAAGAUUUUUUUUUAUGAAAUGAAUGUUACAUUUUCAAGGGGGGCCAAGUGGUUGAGAAAUCCUAGGAAAUAUAUCACUGUUGAACCUAAUAAAAGUUCCAAGAAAAUAGUUUAUUUUAUCCCGCAGAUCGUGAGCAUCUGGGGAUUUUGAGGAAGCACUAGCUUUGUGCAAAUUACUUGCACCAGAAGAUUCAAGCCUUCAGGCCCCAAAGGAGCAGUCAAUUCAUAUAAGGUAGUUGUAUGCCCUUGUAACCUGUUGUUUCUCUUAUCCAAGUCUAUCUGGUGCACUUAACUAGUAAGAAAUUAACAUCAAGAAUUGUGAGUUUCUAACCCACGUAUAAGUUUUGUGCAGUUUGAUCCGGUGAUGAGCACAUCUUAUUGAAUGAUCUACUUGCUGGCUGCUCAAUAAUUCGGAAUUCAACUUCUUUUAUUUUCACUUCUUUGUAAUAAACUUUGAGGAAAAAUGUUUUCAUGCACAUUCACAUUGGCUUGACUCUAGGAUAAGAUGGCCAAUGCCUUUGGUGUAGGUGUUUGGUCUUCUGGGCACCAAAGAGUUCAGCUGUAUUACGUUGCUAUAUCAAUCAAGUUGUAUUGUUUAAAUAAGGAACUCAAUACCAUUAGAAUUUUAAAGAAGAGACCAACCUUUUCAGAUUAUUUUUAUUAGAACACCAAGACUGAAAGGAAUGAAUAAGAUAUAAUAACAUGUUGAAAGCAGUUGACCUUACAUCAAAUGGACUAGAGGAACUGAAUAUUUGGAACAAACUUCAAAAUUUCAUUCUAAUGCUUUGUUCAAUUGUUGGGUUCAUUACAAAUCUUUAGAGUGAUAAUUCAUUAAAUUGAAACAUGUGUCGGUCAGAAUACCAACAGAGAAAAGUUUGCUAAAAUGAACAUUAUAUGUUCAUGUAGAAAGAAGCAUGUUCCUUAUGAUUUGUAUACAAUUAAGGCAAAAAGUAUUGCUGAAACUGGCAAAAUUUGUUUACUUUUUCCAAAGGUUGCAGUGCUUACCAAGAACAUCUGAAAUCUCAAGAAUAGUUCCUAGUAUUGUGGAAAAAACUAACAAAGUGUAUCUCCAAUGCCUAUUAAUGCAGUCUUGCAAACUAUGAUAGAUUAAAUGGCAUAAAUCAGUUUCUUAUUUUUUGAGAACAUAGAAAGAGAGAGAAAGAAUCACAAUAACCGUGUGCUAUGUUGAUGCAAGAGAGUAUAAAAGUGCUGAGAUGCUAAAUGGUCGGAGAAUAGAUACAGUUGACUGACUUCAUUCUCAGUGUAUGUUCUAAGCUAGACUUCCGUAAAGUAAUCAUGUAUGUAAUGUUCCUGAAACUUAUUCCAUAUGUAAAAGUUUGUGAUGUUGAACUAUUGUGCAUGUACAGGUACGCUUACUAUUUGUUUGAAAACGGAAACUAUGAGGAGGCAUUGGAACAUUUUUUAGCAUCUCAAGUGGAAAUCACUUAUAUUCUCUCAUUUUUUCCAACUAUCAUCAUACUACCAAAAUCAUUUGUGAUGCCUGAACCAGAGAAAUACACAGAUAUCAUUGUGGAGGUUCCAGAUCUUUCAAGAGGUUCCUCUGGCAUCUCAGAUAAUAUGGAAUCUUCACCUUCAUUGCAUGUAUUGGACUCUGAGGAGAUUGCAUUAAGUUUUUGGAAAAAAUGAGCCCCAAUACUCUGAUGGCUCUCAUUAAGUUUAUGCAGAAGAAGAGAUCCAGCAUUAUUGAGAAAGCAACUGCUGAGGGAACUGAGGAGGCUGUUUCUAAUACUGUUGGAAAUGAUUUUCUAGCUUAUGGAACUAAUCGUUCAAAGAAAGCAGGGAAGGUAUGCUGUUGUGUUUUGCUUUUGUAUUUUGUGAUUCUAAGUGCUGCAAUUCUUCCGUUGAAGACAAUCAAGACAUUAAUCAAAUCACUCGCAGUUUUAUAAAGUAGAAAAUUUUUAAAGUCCCCGUGUAUUGGUCUCAUUUACCGAUUGAAGUGGUUUUUGAUUGUUAUUAUCUUUAAGUAUGUUAAUUCUAUUUGCUGGACUAGGUUGCUUAAUCUUAGCUAAGUAAAUCGUGUAUGGUUCACUUAUAUAGUGGGCAUGUCAAAUGCCAUAUUUUGGACCUUGGGAUUAUGUGGAACAGGGUCUUGAGGUUUCAUAAAACAUAAGCAUUCUAUUCUUUUAAAUAGCUCUAGUUUGCUUCUAUGAAAUUGUAUUUGAGAAUUAUAAGAAGAGAAAAGUUGCGUGUUAAUAAAAAAUUAUAGAAAAGGAGAUCUAAUAUAAGAGAAAGCAUGCGAACUAAAAAUUGUUACUUCUAUUUGUAGAUUGUAGCUGUGGGUUUAAUGUGAAGAGUGGUAACCUUUCGAUUCUAGAUGGAGUUAAAGAAGAGUCACUUGCCAUGAAAAAAAAAAUUUAUUUGCAUUCAGUCUUGUGUUGUUAACUUCUAGGACAUUAGAAAAUCAUUCUAGAUUAAGAAUUGACUAAUUGUUUCCUUAGGUUAUAACAUAUCCCAUUAACAACUCCUAAACAUACCUUUGAAGCCCCAAAAAAUGCAUUCUGCCAUGAACAAGUGAAUGCUCUAUCUUGCAUUUAAACAAGCAACAAAGAAUUUAUAACUUGAAUAUAUAAACACAUUAGCCAAAAAGUUAAAGCAUAAAGCCAGAUUAGGCCGUAUGUGAUUUAGUCUUGUUCUCUUCUACCCUUCAUUCUCUAGUAUCAUUGCCUCUAGCUUCAGACUAUUAAGAGAGAAUUCAUAUAAAAUUUCUGUCACACAAAGGUCAUUCUUUCCUACUAGAGAGAAAAGGAGGAAAGCAUGAAUUCUGAGGUGUAAUGGAAAAGAUCACAUUAAAAUUGUAAUCAAAGUUGGAAAUUUCGGAUAUACAUAUAAUUGGUUGGUUCUCAUGCAUUUGAAAUCUCCGUUCUUCUGUUGGAAAUGUAAUUUGCAAUUAUUAUCUAGAUUCAUGAAUUAUAAUUAUACAUGCAUUUGUCCAUUAAUGUACUAGAGGAGGAGAAACGUAUCUAUUCAAUGUUGGUUGAUGAGUUAGGCUAGAUACAUGUUAAAUCUUAUCUAUAAAUACCCAUGUAACUCAAGUCAUUAAGAGUAUCGAAGUCAGGAAAAUUUACAAUAUAAUAUCUUCUCUUCUACAAUCAUAAAAAAGUACAGCAGCACUAUAUUACGUAUAAUUUCGAGCAUUCGAUAUUCCUUCUUUUUCUUUCGGUUUUUAAUCAAUCCCCAACAAAUUUUUGGUAUCAGAGCUUAGUUCUCUAUACGUAUCUCAAAUUUUAUUUCCCCUCUCCAAAGCAUGGCAGCAAAUCAUGUUUCUACAUCCAUGUUUUCCUAUACUCCUAACCAAGUUCCCAUAUUUGAAGGAGAGCAUUUUGAUUAUUGGAGUAGUCAAAUGGAGACACUCUUCAUUUCGCAAGAUUUGUGGGAAGUUGUUGAAGAUGGAUUUUCGGAACCUGAUGAUAAUGAAGAAGAAGAAGAAGAAUGGACGGAGGCUCAACAAAAAGAUUACAAGAAAAAUUUAUGGAGAGAUGCAAGUGCUCUUAGAUUUAUACAACAAGGAUUAAGCAAGACCAUAUAUCCUCGAAUUCACGGUGUCAAAAGAGCCAAGCAAGCUUGGAAUAUCUUAAAUGAGGGAUUUCAUGGCAAUGACAAGGUGACAUCUCUAAAGCUUCAAUCUCUUUGGAGGGAGUUCGACAAUUUAUCAAAAAAAGAUAAUGAAAUUACGCAAUUCUAUCUAACUCGAGUCUCCGAAAUAGUAAAUCAAAUCAGAAGCCUUGGCGACACAAUUCAAAAGGUCCUUCGAAGCCUUCCCGCGAAAUAUGAUUAUAUUGUCGCCGCUAUUGAAGAAUCAAAAGAUUUGUCUAAAUAUACUUUUUACGAUUUGAUGAGUUCCCUGCAAGUACAUGAAGAAAGAAUUGGCAGGUUCUCAAAUCAGCCACUUGAGCAAGCAUUUGAGUCCAAAAUGAAAUUUUAUAAUUCAAAUUCUAAACAGCGGCAAGAAGGCAGAGGAGUAUCUUCCUAAGGAAGAGGAGGUUCUUUCCAAGGAAGAGGAGAAUCAUCACGAGGACAAGGAUGAUCAUUUCGAGGAAGAGGAAAAGGAAGAUCACAAGGCAACCAAUCAAAAAACUAUGACGGAAAUCCAAAUCGUCAAGCUGGAAAUGCAAAUAUUUUUUGCAAAAUUUGCAGAAAAUCAAAUCAUGAAACAAAUGAUUGCUUCUACAAAUGCAAGAGAUGCAGAAAUCCUAACCACUCUUAAAGAGAUUGUUAUUACCAGAACAAAGAUGAGAAGGAUGAAGCAAACUUUUCCAAAGAUGAAGAUGAACAGCUUUUCUCUUGUAUGACGGCUCAACAACAAUCAAAAAAUGUGUGGUACCUAGACAGCGGCUGCAGCAGUCACAUGACUGGAAAUAAAAAAAUUUUCAUUGAUCUUGAUAAGAAUUUCAAUUCAGAAGUGAAGCUUAGUGAUGGAAAGUUACAUCGCACUGAAGGAAAGGGAACUAUUGCUGUUCAAACUAAAGGAGGUAACCAAAAGCUCAUUGGUGAUGUUCUUUAUGUGCCUAAUUUGACUAGUAACCUCCUUAGUGUUGGACAACUGCUACGCAAAGGAUAUUGUUCAAGCCGUGAGCAUGAUCUCAAGGUUCAUGAAUGAACCAAGUCAACUUCAUUUUGCAGCAGCUAAAAGAGUCAUGAGAUACUUGCAAGGAACAAAGAAAAUAGGCAUCAAAUAUGUAAAAGAAAAUGAGAGCAAGUUGAUUUGGAUAUAGCAACAGUGAUUGGGGAGGUUCGUUGGAUGAUAGAAAAAGCACUUCAGGUUAUUUAUUUUGUCUCGGAACUAAUGUUGUUUCAUGGAGUUCAAAGAAGCAAAAAACAGUAGUGUUAUUAUCCGCGGAAGCUGAGUAUAUUGCUGUUACAGAUGCAACUUGCGAAACUAUUUGGUUGAGACGAUUACUAGCAGAUUUGAAACAAGUUCAAAAACAGCCCACAGUAAUUUAUUGUGACAAUAUGUCUACGAUAGCCAUGACAAAAAAUCCGGUGUUUCAUUCGAGAACAAAACACAUUGAGUUGCAACAUCAUUUCAUCUGAGAUAUGGUGAGUAAUGGUGAAAUCAGCUUGGAAUUCAUUGGAACGAAUGAGCAACCCGCAGACUUUCUAACCAAGGCGAUCUAUGUCGAGAAAUUUCAAAAGGCAAGAGACAUUCUCAAAAUUGCAAAUUAAGAGGGGGUGUUGGAAACGUAAUUUGCAAUUAUUAUCUAGAUUCAUGAAUUAUAAUUAUACAUGCAUUUGUCCAUUAAUGUACUAGAGGAGGAGAAACGUAUCUAUCCAAUGUUGGUUCAUGAGUUAGGCUAGAUACAUGUUAAAUCUUAUCUAUAAAUACCCAUGUAACUCAAGCCAUUAAGAGUAUCGAAGUCACAAAAAUUUACAAUAUAAUAUCUUCUCUUCUACAAUUAUAAAAAAGUGCAGCAGCACUAUAUUACGUAUAAUUUCGAGCAUUCGAUAUUCCUUCUUUUUCAUUCGAUUUUUAAUCAAUCCCCAACAUCUUCUCUGUAGAUGAAAGUGGUUGUGAACAGAAACCAAGCCAAUAAUCCUUAUCAAUGUCAACUUAAACUUAAUUUUCUAAAUAUUUUGAAGCAUCUUAUGGUGCUUGUCUCUUUUUGGCAAAAAUGAAAGAACCGGUUGUAAAAGAUGGAAUGCAGAAUGCAGUGGUUGUGAUCAUAGGGUAGUGGCACCAGUUAGAACUCUCCCAUAUAAGUUUGCAUUGUUUUUGUUUCCCAGGUCAUAUGGGUACUCUUUAUGCGGAUGAAUUGAAGGUGGUGUAAGUGGUCAAACUGACUAGAUGGAGGAUGAUAUUUUCAUGGUCUUUAUUAUCAUCUACAUUGGAAACCAAGAAUUUGUAUUUGCUGAUAUUCUGGAGCACAGUGUAGCAUGAGGGUUCCUAAAUUGUUUUUCAGCAAUGGAAUCCAUAUUUUUGAUUAAUAUUGCUUCCCCGUAUUCUAUUUCAUGAUUUUUCACUGGUUACAACUCCCCCAUAUUGAGUCACAGCCUUUUUUUUUUUGAUAUCCAGGUAUCCACCUUAAAGUGACUAAAUUCUGGAGCGUACACCUUGACCCCUCAAGCUACAGACAGGUUAAACUGCAGGUUGUGCCCCAAACUGACCAGUGCUCAAGAGCCCUCUCAACUGAUCUGCCAAAGUGCCAAACAAGUCGUUUCCCAUCUUUGCACAUUACCUUCCAGUAGAGCUCCUGCCUUCCAGGAGAAUAUCUACCUUUCAAGAGCCUUCCAGGAAUCAAAUUCAUGACCUCUGAUCUACCUACCUUGAAGCGUCCUCAUUUUUGCCAAUUAGAAUGUGUCCUGGGGGGCCACAGCCUUUCUUUAUUAAUAAAUAACAUGGUAGGCCUUGUCUUACAUCUUUUUAUAGUUAUGAGCAAGUUCUUCAUAGAAAUUGCACUGUUGACAGACCACUACUGUUCCUUAAUAAAUUAAUGUGGCAGGCCUUGUCUUAGAUUAUUUUCCAGCUAUGAAAUCUUCAUACAAAGUUCACUACUGUGUUCUAAGUCCAAUAUUUGUCUGUGGGUUGUUCCCCCUUGGCGCAUAUGUUAGUAAAUUAUUUGAGUUAUCCAUAAAAAAGAAAGGACACUGCUUUUAUUUUUUUAUUAUUUUUUUCUUUUUUGUCAAAUACAAUAAUUUGUUUGCACAGUAUUAUGUUUAAAAAUCCACUAUGUGAAUUACGUUGAUAACAUGCAAAGUAAAGACCCUUCCAUUAGUCCUAAAAUUGACAAUUUACUGUGUUAUAUAUUUUAUUGUGAAAACUGUUGGCUACCAAGUGCAUUUCCUUUUUUUAAUAUUGUUGGAUUUCUGUAUUUACUCAAGUUCAAAGAUGUCACAUGCUUAGGUAUUUUACAAGACCCAAAGAAUUUGAUACCUAUCAAAUGGGUGAUUAGCAACAAAACGUUCCUAUCGUUUGUACUCAUUGCGAAAAUGGUCCCUAUCGUUUUGAACCUGCUAUUUACACCCUCAUUUCAAACCUUUUUUGCAGAAUUGGUCCUUUCCGUCAUAUUCCGUUAAAUCCAUCCGUUAAAUAUGUAUAAUUUAAUGUAAAAGGUCCCUAUUGUUUGCUUUACUUACACAAAUAGUGCUUAUCAUUUUAAUUUUGAUAUUUGGAUAUUUAGAUCAACAUUUCUUUGUUUAAAAGGUCCUUGCGUCCAUUUUUUCUAUUAUAACAUUAUGAAAUGAUUAAUUUAUCAUCAUGUUUAAAGAACCAAAUAUAAAAUAGAAAUAAUAUAAACAAAUUCUAUCUAAAGUCUCUAAUUUUUUUUUUUUAGAAGUACAAACGAGUCUCAAGAAAAUAAUUAAAACAUUCGGAUAAACAAAAACAUUUCAUCUUCCCAAUUAACCCACGUACUCUCCGCCCAUCCCCUACACUCCAUAACCACCACAAAAUUAAUUAAAGAGAUAAAUAACAAUAUAAUAAAAGUUAAAAAAAAAAUUAAAAAUAGAAAAAAAAAUAUAAAAACAAAAUGAUGUUUAUUCCUCAUCAAAUAUUUUUUCAUACUUUUAAUUCUCUUUUUAAUUAUUUUGGUCGUGGAGGAUAGGCGUACGGGUAGGGGUAGGUGGGUUAUUUGGGAAUAUAAAAUAUUUUUUUAUUAGAGUUUUAACUUUUUAUAUGUGAGAUUUGUCUGGAAUUUUUAAAAAAUAUUAGAAACUCUAGAUACAAUUUUUUUUUAUAUUAUUUCUUUUUUCUAUUUGUUUAUUUAAAGAUGAUGAUAAAUUAGUCAUUUCAUAAUGUUAUAAUAGAAAAAAUGGACGCAAGGACCUUUUAAGCAAAAAAAUGUCAAUUUGAAUAUCCAAAUGUCAAAAUUGAAAUGAUAUGAACUAUUUGCACAAUUACAGCAAACAAUAGGGACCUUUUACAUCAGAUUACACAUAUUUAACGAAAGGAUUUAAAGGGAUAUGACGGAAAGGACCGAUUCCGCAAAAAAAAGGUUUGAAAUGAGGGUGUAAAUAGUAGGUUCAAAACGAUAAAUACCAUUUUCGCAAUAAGUACAAACGAUAAGGAUGUUUUUUUGCUAAUUAUCCCCUAUCAAAUAAAUUUUUUCUGUUUUCCCUCUUUUUCAUUCCACGAAGUGGUUUCUGUCUCAUCUAGGAAAAAGAAAAGGUAAGAUUUGUUAGCCUACCCCAGGUUGAGCGUAAUUAAUUGGCCAUUUGGUUUUGUGCCAUCUGUUUUAGUCUACAAAAUUUUUGCAUUACCUUUAUCCAUCACAUCAAGCCACUAUAUUUAACUUUCUAUCUUUUGUGGAUAAUAGUCUAAAAGAACAAUUUCAAAACUGGAUAAAAAUCUCUCUCUCAUAUAUCUAGAUUUGAGCAUAAUUUGGUACUAGAAAAUAUUUUAUUAACUAUGGUAGAAAAUAUGUCAUACAAACAGACGUUUUUCUUCAAGUUUCAGCAUUUAUUGCUCAUUAUGUGCGACAGUGCUACAGGAUGCUUUCUUAAAAAAACCUGCAUAUUUGAUUUUCCAUUCAACAGGGUUGAUCAAAUAUUCCCAUCCGUUCGGUGGCUAGAGAUACGGCAGCUACGCUGGACACUGCUUUGCUUCAGGCUUUUGCUUUAACUGGACAAUCUUCAUCUGCAUUUGAACUGUUGAACGGUCUUAAUUACUGCAACGUAAAAAUAUUCCAGGAAUUUCUGCCAAAAAGAAUCAGUAUGUGUGUCUGCUAGAACUUNNNNNNNNNNNNNNNNNNNNNNNNNNNNNNNNNNNNNNNNNNNNNNNNNNNNNNNNNNNNNNNNNNNNNNNNNNNNNNNNNNNNNNNNNNNNNNNNNNNNNNNNNNNNNNNNNNNNNNNNNNNNNNNNNNNNNNNNNNNNNNNNNNNNNNNNNNNNNNNNNNNNNNNNNNNNNNNNNNNNNNNNNNNNNNNNNNNNNNNNNNNNNNNNNNNNNNNNNNNNNNNNNNNNNNNNNNNNNNNNNNNNNNNNNNNNNNNNNNNNNNNNNNNNNNNNNNNNNNNNNNNNNNNNNNNNNNNNNNNNNNNNNNNNNNNNNNNNNNNNNNNNNNNNNNNNNNNNNNNNNNNNNNNNNNNNNNNNNNNNNNNNNNNNNNNNNNNNNNNNNNNNNNNNNNNNNNNNNNNNNNNNNNNNNNNNNNNNNNNNNNNNNNNNNNNNNNNNNNNNNNNNNNNNNNNNNNNNNNNNNNNNNNNNNNNNNNNNNNNNNNNNNNNNNNNNNNNNNNNNNNNNNNNNNNNNNNNNNNNNNNNNNNNNNNNNNNNNNNNNNNNNNNNNNNNNNNNNNNNNNNNNNNNNNNNNNNNNNNNNNNNNNNNNNNNNNNNNNNNNNNNNNNNNNNNNNNNNNNNNNNNNNNNNNNNNNNNNNNNNNNNNNNNNNNNNNNNNNNNNNNNNNNNNNNNNNNNNNNNNNNNNNNNNNNNNNNNNNNNNNNNNNNNNNNNNNNNNNNNNNNNNNNNNNNNNNNNNNNNNNNNNNNNNNNNNNNNNNNNNNNNNNNNNNNNNNNNNNNNNNNNNNNNNNNNNNNNNNNNNNNNNNNNNNNNNNNNNNNNNNNNNNNNNNNNNNNNNNNNNNNNNNNNNNNNNNNNNNNNNNNNNNNNNNNNNNNNNNNNNNNNNNNNNNNNNNNNNNNNNNNNNNNNNNNNNNNNNNNNNNNNNNNNNNNNNNNNNNNNNNNNNNNNNNNNNNNNNNNNNNNNNNNNNNNNNNNNNNNNNNNNNNNNNNNNNNNNNNNNNNNNNNNNNNNNNNNNNNNNNNNNNNNNNNNNNNNNNNNNNNNNNNNNNNNNNNNNNNNNNNNNNNNNNNNNNNNNNNNNNNNNNNNNNNNNNNNNNNNNNNNNNNNNNNNNNNNNNNNNNNNNNNNNNNNNNNNNNNNNNNNNNNNNNNNNNNNNNNNNNNNNNNNNNNNNNNNNNNNNNNNNNNNNNNNNNCUAGUAUAGGUAAUUGACCACAAGAUUAAAUCCAAUGGUUGGAUUUAAUCUAUGGUCCAUAUUACUCCAUAACUAGCACAAUCCAAGUCACGUUCUCUAGAACAAUCAACUUGUACCAAUAAUAGAAUGUGAUCCACCUUACAUUUUUCUUAUCAUUAGCAUCCGAUGUGCAUAUCUUAGUUUUCUUUUGGUCUGAAUAUAUUGAGAUCGUUCUGAAGCUUGUAUGUCGGCUUAAACCCAGCAAGUAAUUCACACGGUCUAAGAUUGAAAAAUGUACCUUAUUGAGCCAGAUCGAUUAUAACCAGCUGUUUGCUGUUGACCCUUCAGGGAUCAAAAUUUUUGUGAUGCCUCAGUGAAUGAGAUUAUACCAUGCAAAAUCAUAAUAACGUCUACAAUAACUGUUGUUUGACUGAGUUGCUAAACUUUUUAAGUCAGUUUAUUGGACUUUGUUAGCUGCUUAAUGCAUCUUUUGUGUGUGUUAUGUUAAUGUAGAUCAUGUGCAAAGAGAUCUUGUUAAUUCUUUUUCCUCUUCUUCUUUUUUCUUGGUGCAACUCUUCAUUUUAAAUAUGCUAACCUCUUUCUCUCUCCGUAUAAUUUAUAGCUUCAUGUUCCUGAACUGGUACUAUCCUAUUGCGACCGGAUAUACGAGUCUGCACUCCAACAUUCAGCAAAAUCUAGUGGAAUGCACCCAACUCUACUGCAAAUAUAUUUGAAUUCUUGGAAGACAACCAAAAACCUUUUAAAAAAAAAAAAAAUGAAUCGCUCAUUUGACGUCCGCUCGGAGCCCUGGAAACCCAAAGCUUAGUACGGAGACUGGUAAAAAUAAAGGCCGCUUCUCAAAGAAGAUUGCAUUGACUUAUUCUGAUUGACCAUUUAUUGUGUUAUAUCUUGGUGAUUGUAAAUUAUGAAGUCAUUUGGAUUCCCUUGUUUGGAUAGAAAUUACGCUAUUAAUGCUGGCUUAGCUGCAAGCUACUAUGAAAUAAACUUUUCCAAGAUGACUGAAUAUAGAAUUUGUUGAAACAGAAAGAUGAAAACAUAUGUACCAUUUUAAGUUAUUUGAACUAUUCAUCAUCUUUUUUGUCUAGUCUUUUAUUGUACAUUGGUAGAUAUAUCAAUGUGAUGCAUUUGACUCUGUUUUUUUUGAGCAUUGUAUUGAGGACACUAUAAUUGGCUUUCAGUUGUCUCCUCAUGCGCAGAUUAAGACCUCUUCUUUCUGUCACCCAGUAUUAUAGUGUGUCAUCCAUAUAAAUAAUCAUCUUUUGCGGGCUUCCCAUCUCAGUAUAUUUACUAGGAAAUGCUACACCAUCCCUGGAUUCAGUCUUUGCAGGGGAGAAUGUGGGUUUACUGGAGUCAGUAUAAAUAAAGAUCAACAAUCAAUGAUGUGUCAAACAUGUAGGAUUACCGUUUUAGUUCAAGUAUUGUGUCAUCUAAAGUAGAGACGUGUGUUUCAGCGUUUUACAUAACAAUUGUCUCUUGAGUACUCUAGGCUUAAGUAUUUUUUUUACUUCUCACCCUGUUCCGACAUUGUUCUCCAAAGAUGUCAUCUCCACCAUUUAAUUUCCUCCUUCACAAUUGUUUAUUAGGAUGCUGAGUACUUAGAUUUGAUAAAUAUCUCUGAUUCUGAAUAUAUCUUUGUUGCAGCUCCUCUGUGGGACAGACCCCAUGCUUGUCCUAGAGUUCUCCAUGCUUGUUCUUGAAAGCUUUCCAACCUAAACUAUUGAGCUAUUCUUGUUAGGGAAGAUUCUAGCGAACUUCGUCAACUCUUAUUUAAAACAUAAUGCUCCAAAUAUGCAGGCUGCAUAAUUGGAACUUAUGCUUGCAAGCAUUUCAGGCAAUCUCCAGAAUGAAAUGGUAAAGAAUUGACGUUUUCUUUAGCUGCUUCAGAUGGUAGCUUNNNNNNNNNNNNNNNNNNNNNNNNNNNNNNNNNNNNNNNNNNNNNNNNNNNNNNNNNNNNNNNNNNNNNNNNNNNNNNNNNNNNNNNNNNNNNNNNNNNNNNNNNNNNNNNNNNNNNNNNNNNNNNNNNNNNNNNNNNNNNNNNNNNNNNNNNNNNNNNNNNNNNNNNNNNNNNNNNNNNNNNNNNNNNNNNNNNNNNNNNNNNNNNNNNNNNNNNNNNNNNNNNNNNNNNNNNNNNNNNNNNNNNNNNNNNNNNNNNNNNNNNNNNNNNNNNNNNNNNNNNNNNNNNNNNNNNNNNNNNNNNNNNNNNNNNNNNNNNNNNNNNNNNNNNNNNNNNNNNNNNNNNNNNNNNNNNNNNNNNNNNNNNNNNNNNNNNNNNNNNNNNNNNNNNNNNNNNNNNNNNNNNNNNNNNNNNNNNNNNNNNNNNNNNNNNNNNNNNNNNNNNNNNNNNNNNNNNNNNNNNNNNNNNNNNNNNNNNNNNNNNNNNNNNNNNNNNNNNNNNNNNNNNNNNNNNNNNNNNNNNNNNNNNNNNNNNNNNNNNNNNNNNNNNNNNNNNNNNNNNNNNNNNNNNNNNNNNNNNNNNNNNNNNNNNNNNNNNNNNNNNNNNNNNNNNNNNNNNNNNNNNNNNNNNNNNNNNNNNNNNNNNNNNNNNNNNNNNNNNNNNNNNNNNNNNNNNNNNNNNNNNNNNNNNNNNNNNNNNNNNNNNNNNNNNNNNNNNNNNNNNNNNNNNNNNNNNNNNNNNNNNNNNNNNNNNNNNNNNNNNNNNNNNNNNNNNNNNNNNNNNNNNNNNNNNNNNNNNNNNNNNNNNNNNNNNNNNNNNNNNNNNNNNNNNNNNNNNNNNNNNNNNNNNNNNNNNNNNNNNNNNNNNNNNNNNNNNNNNNNNNNNNNNNNNNNNNNNNNNNNNNNNNNNNNNNNNNNNNNNNNNNNNNNNNNNNNNNNNNNNNNNNNNNNNNNNNNNNNNNNNNNNNNNNNNNNNNNNNNNNNNNNNNNNNNNNNNNNNNNNNNNNNNNNNNNNNNNNNNNNNNNNNNNNNNNNNNNNNNNNNNNNNNNNNNNNNNNNNNNNNNNNNNNNNNNNNNNNNNNNNNNNNNNNNNNNNNNNNNNNNNNNNNNNNNNNNNNNNNNNNNNNNNNNNNNNNNNNNNNNNNNNNNNNNNNNNNNNNNNNNNNNNNNNNNNNNNNNNNNNNNNNNNNNNNNNNNNNNNNNNNNNNNNNNNNNNNNNNNNNNNNNNNNNNNNNNNNNNNNNNNNNNNNNNNNNNNNNNNNNNNNNNNNNNNNNNNNNNNNNNNNNNNNNNNNNNNNNNNNNNNNNNNNNNNNNNNNNNNNNNNNNNNNNNNNNNNNNNNNNNNNNNNNNNNNNNNNNNNNNNNNNNNNNNNNNNNNNNNNNNNNNNNNNNNNNNNNNNNNNNNNNNNNNNNNNNNNNNNNNNNNNNNNNNNNNNNNNNNNNNNNNNNNNNNNNNNNNNNNNNNNNNNNNNNNNNNNNNNNNNNNNNNNNNNNNNNNNNNNNNNNNNNNNNNNNNNNNNNNNNNNNNNNNNNNNNNNNNNNNNNNNNNNNNNNNNNNNNNNNNNNNNNNNNNNNNNNNNNNNNNNNNNNNNNNNNNNNNNNNNNNNNNNNNNNNNNNNNNNNNNNNNNNNNNNNNNNNNNNNNNNNNNNNNNNNNNNNNNNNNNNNNNNNNNNNNNNNNNNNNNNNNNNNNNNNNNNNNNNNNNNNNNNNNNNNNNNNNNNNNNNNNNNNNNNNNNNNNNNNNNNNNNNNNNNNNNNNNNNNNNNNNNNNNNNNNNNNNNNNNNNNNNNNNNNNNNNNNNNNNNNNNNNNNNNNNNNNNNNNNNNNNNNNNNNNNNNNNNNNNNNNNNNNNNNNNNNNNNNNNNNNNNNNNNNNNNNNNNNNNNNNNNNNNNNNNNNNNNNNNNNNNNNNNNNNNNNNNNNNNNNNNNNNNNNNNNNNNNNNNNNNNNNNNNNNNNNNNNNNNNNNNNNNNNNNNNNNNNNNNNNNNNNNNNNNNNNNNNNNNNNNNNNNNNNNNNNNNNNNNNNNNNNNNNNNNNNNNNNNNNNNNNNNNNNNNNNNNNNNNNNNNNNNNNNNNNNNNNNNNNNNNNNNNNNNNNNNNNNNNNNNNNNNNNNNNNNNNNNNNNNNNNNNNNNNNNNNNNNNNNNNNNNNNNNNNNNNNNNNNNNNNNNNNNNNNNNNNNNNNNNNNNNNNNNNNNNNNNNNNNNNNNNNNNNNNNNNNNNNNNNNNNNNNNNNNNNNNNNNNNNNNNNNNNNNNNNNNNNNNNNNNNNNNNNNNNNNNNNNNNNNNNNNNNNNNNNNNNNNNNNNNNNNNNNNNNNNNNNNNNNNNNNNNNNNNNNNNNNNNNNNNNNNNNNNNNNNNNNNNNNNNNNNNNNNNNNNNNNNNNNNNNNNNNNNNNNNNNNNNNNNNNNNNNNNNNNNNNNNNNNNNNNNNNNNNNNNNNNNNNNNNNNNNNNNNNNNNNNNNNNNNNNNNNNNNNNNNNNNNNNNNNNNNNNNNNNNNNNNNNNNNNNNNNNNNNNNNNNNNNNNNNNNNNNNNNNNNNNNNNNNNNNNNNNNNNNNNNNNNNNNNNNNNNNNNNNNNNNNNNNNNNNNNNNNNNNNNNNNNNNNNNNNNNNNNNNNNNNNNNNNNNNNNNNNNNNNNNNNNNNNNNNNNNNNNNNNNNNNNNNNNNNNNNNNNNNNNNNNNNNNNNNNNNNNNNNNNNNNNNNNNNNNNNNNNNNNNNNNNNNNNNNNNNNNNNNNNNNNNNNNNNNNNNNNNNNNNNNNNNNNNNNNNNNNNNNNNNNNNNNNNNNNNNNNNNNNNNNNNNNNNNNNNNNNNNNNNNNNNNNNNNNNNNNNNNNNNNNNNNNNNNNNNNNNNNNNNNNNNNNNNNNNNNNNNNNNNNNNNNNNNNNNNNNNNNNNNNNNNNNNNNNNNNNNNNNNNNNNNNNNNNNNNNNNNNNNNNNNNNNNNNNNNNNNNNNNNNNNNNNNNNNNNNNNNNNNNNNNNNNNNNNNNNNNNNNNNNNNNNNNNNNNNNNNNNNNNNNNNNNNNNNNNNNNNNNNNNNNNNNNNNNNNNNNNNNNNNNNNNNNNNNNNNNNNNNNNNNNNNNNNNNNNNNNNNNNNNNNNNNNNNNNNNNNNNNNNNNNNNNNNNNNNNNNNNNNNNNNNNNNNNNNNNNNNNNNNNNNNNNNNNNNNNNNNNNNNNNNNNNNNNNNNNNNNNNNNNNNNNNNNNNNNNNNNNNNNNNNNNNNNNNNNNNNNNNNNNNNNNNNNNNNNNNNNNNNNNNNNNNNNNNNNNNNNNNNNNNNNNNNNNNNNNNNNNNNNNNNNNNNNNNNNNNNNNNNNNNNNNNNNNNNNNNNNNNNNNNNNNNNNNNNNNNNNNNNNNNNNNNNNNNNNNNNNNNNNNNNNNNNNNNNNNNNNNNNNNNNNNNNNNNNNNNNNNNNNNNNNNNNNNNNNNNNNNNNNNNNNNNNNNNNNNNNNNNNNNNNNNNNNNNNNNNNNNNNNNNNNNNNNNNNNNNNNNNNNNNNNNNNNNNNNNNNNNNNNNNNNNNNNNNNNNNNNNNNNNNNNNNNNNNNNNNNNNNNNNNNNNNNNNNNNNNNNNNNNNNNNNNNNNNNNNNNNNNNNNNNNNNNNNNNNNNNNNNNNNNNNNNNNNNNNNNNNNNNNNNNNNNNNNNNNNNNNNNNNNNNNNNNNNNNNNNNNNNNNNNNNNNNNNNNNNNNNNNNNNNNNNNNNNNNNNNNNNNNNNNNNNNNNNNNNNNNNNNNNNNNNNNNNNNNNNNNNNNNNNNNNNNNNNNNNNNNNNNNNNNNNNNNNNNNNNNNNNNNNNNNNNNNNNNNNNNNNNNNNNNNNNNNNNNNNNNNNNNNNNNNNNNNNNNNNNNNNNNNNNNNNNNNNNNNNNNNNNNNNNNNNNNNNNNNNNNNNNNNNNNNNNNNNNNNNNNNNNNNNNNNNNNNNNNNNNNNNNNNNNNNNNNNNNNNNNNNNNNNNNNNNNNNNNNNNNNNNNNNNNNNNNNNNNNNNNNNNNNNNNNNNNNNNNNNNNNNNNNNNNNNNNNNNNNNNNNNNNNNNNNNNNNNNNNNNNNNNNNNNNNNNNNNNNNNNNNNNNNNNNNNNNNNNNNNNNNNNNNNNNNNNNNNNNNNNNNNNNNNNNNNNNNNNNNNNNNNNNNNNNNNNNNNNNNNNNNNNNNNNNNNNNNNNNNNNNNNNNNNNNNNNNNNNNNNNNNNNNNNNNNNNNNNNNNNNNNNNNNNNNNNNNNNNNNNNNNNNNNNNNNNNNNNNNNNNNNNNNNNNNNNNNNNNNNNNNNNNNNNNNNNNNNNNNNNNNNNNNNNNNNNNNNNNNNNNNNNNNNNNNNNNNNNNNNNNNNNNNNNNNNNNNNNNNNNNNNNNNNNNNNNNNNNNNNNNNNNNNNNNNNNNNNNNNNNNNNNNNNNNNNNNNNNNNNNNNNNNNNNNNNNNNNNNNNNNNNNNNNNNNNNNNNNNNNNNNNNNNNNNNNNNNNNNNNNNNNNNNNNNNNNNNNNNNNNNNNNNNNNNNNNNNNNNNNNNNNNNNNNNNNNNNNNNNNNNNNNNNNNNNNNNNNNNNNNNNNNNNNNNNNNNNNNNNNNNNNNNNNNNNNNNNNNNNNNNNNNNNNNNNNNNNNNNNNNNNNNNNNNNNNNNNNNNNNNNNNNNNNNNNNNNNNNNNNNNNNNNNNNNNNNNNNNNNNNNNNNNNNNNNNNNNNNNNNNNNNNNNNNNNNNNNNNNNNNNNNNNNNNNNNNNNNNNNNNNNNNNNNNNNNNNNNNNNNNNNNNNNNNNNNNNNNNNNNNNNNNNNNNNNNNNNNNNNNNNNNNNNNNNNNNNNNNNNNNNNNNNNNNNNNNNNNNNNNNNNNNNNNNNNNNNNNNNNNNNNNNNNNNNNNNNNNNNNNNNNNNNNNNNNNNNNNNNNNNNNNNNNNNNNNNNNNNNNNNNNNNNNNNNNNNNNNNNNNNNNNNNNNNNNNNNNNNNNNNNNNNNNNNNNNNNNNNNNNNNNNNNNNNNNNNNNNNNNNNNNNNNNNNNNNNNNNNNNNNNNNNNNNNNNNNNNNNNNNNNNNNNNNNNNNNNNNNNNNNNNNNNNNNNNNNNNNNNNNNNNNNNNNNNNNNNNNNNNNNNNNNNNNNNNNNNNNNNNNNNNNNNNNNNNNNNNNNNNNNNNNNNNNNNNNNNNNNNNNNNNNNNNNNNNNNNNNNNNNNNNNNNNNNNNNNNNNNNNNNNNNNNNNNNNNNNNNNNNNNNNNNNNNNNNNNNNNNNNNNNNNNNNNNNNNNNNNNNNNNNNNNNNNNNNNNNNNNNNNNNNNNNNNNNNNNNNNNNNNNNNNNNNNNNNNNNNNNNNNNNNNNNNNNNNNNNNNNNNNNNNNNNNNNNNNNNNNNNNNNNNNNNNNNNNNNNNNNNNNNNNNNNNNNNNNNNNNNNNNNNNNNNNNNNNNNNNNNNNNNNNNNNNNNNNNNNNNNNNNNNNNNNNNNNNNNNNNNNNNNNNNNNNNNNNNNNNNNNNNNNNNNNNNNNNNNNNNNNNNNNNNNNNNNNNNNNNNNNNNNNNNNNNNNNNNNNNNNNNNNNNNNNNNNNNNNNNNNNNNNNNNNNNNNNNNNNNNNNNNNNNNNNNNNNNNNNNNNNNNNNNNNNNNNNNNNNNNNNNNNNNNNNNNNNNNNNNNNNNNNNNNNNNNNNNNNNNNNNNNNNNNNNNNNNNNNNNNNNNNNNNNNNNNNNNNNNNNNNNNNNNNNNNNNNNNNNNNNNNNNNNNNNNNNNNNNNNNNNNNNNNNNNNNNNNNNNNNNNNNNNNNNNNNNNNNNNNNNNNNNNNNNNNNNNNNNNNNNNNNNNNNNNNNNNNNNNNNNNNNNNNNNNNNNNNNNNNNNNNNNNNNNNNNNNNNNNNNNNNNNNNNNNNNNNNNNNNNNNNNNNNNNNNNNNNNNNNNNNNNNNNNNNNNNNNNNNNNNNNNNNNNNNNNNNNNNNNNNNNNNNNNNNNNNNNNNNNNNNNNNNNNNNNNNNNNNNNNNNNNNNNNNNNNNNNNNNNNNNNNNNNNNNNNNNNNNNNNNNNNNNNNNNNNNNNNNNNNNNNNNNNNNNNNNNNNNNNNNNNNNNNNNNNNNNNNNNNNNNNNNNNNNNNNNNNNNNNNNNNNNNNNNNNNNNNNNNNNNNNNNNNNNNNNNNNNNNNNNNNNNNNNNNNNNNNNNNNNNNNNNNNNNNNNNNNNNNNNNNNNNNNNNNNNNNNNNNNNNNNNNNNNNNNNNNNNNNNNNNNNNNNNNNNNNNNNNNNNNNNNNNNNNNGCAUUAAGCACUUGCACAUUUGGGGUUGUCCAGCUGAGGCACGGCCUUAUAGGCCACAUGAAAGAAAACUGGACUCAAGGACGAUUAGCUGCUAUUUCGUUGGUUACGUUGAACGCUCUCGGGGCUAUAAGUUUUACUAUCCCACAUCAAGAUCCUUCUUUGAAAUGGGAAAUGCGAGAUUCCUCGAGGAUAUUGAGUUUGGAGUGGAAGGAAACAUAAGAAACGUUGUCUUUGAAGAAGAAUCUGUUAUUGACAGCAAUCAGGUCUCUGUACCUAUUGUUGUUCAAGACACAGUUCUGGCAAUNAUAAGUUCAGUGGGAGUAAAUAUAUCUUCUUGGUAUUAUAUGUUGAUGAUAUUCUACUCGCUAGCAGCGAUAUAGGCUUAUUGUAUGAAACCAAGAAAUUUCUGACGAAGGAAUUCGAGAUGAAAGAUCUUGGGGAUGCCUCUUUUGUACUAGGUAUUCAGAUACUGAGAGAUCGUUCUCGAGGUAUCAUUGGACUUUCACAAAAGAGCUAUAUCGAUAAGGUUUUGAGUAGAUUUGGCAUGAAAGAUAGUAGAUCAGGAGACACGCCCAUCUCUAAAGGAGACAAGUUUAGUCUCAAACAGUGCCCCAAUAAUGAUCUUAAAAGAGAAGAGAUGCAGAAGAUUCCCUAUGCAUCAGUGGCAGGGAGUCUAAUGUACGCUCUAAUUUGUACUUGUCCCGAAAUAGCAUUUAUAGUGGGAGUUUUGGGUAGAUACUUGAGUGAUCCUGGCAUGCAACAUUGGAAAGCAGCCAAACGUGUGAUGCGUUAUUUGAGGAGAACAAAAGACUACAUGCUCACUUAUCGAAAAUCAGAUAGUUUAGAGAUCAUCGGGUUCUCUGACUCCGAUUUUGUGGGAUGCCAAGAUAGCAGACGCUCCACAUCAGGCUACAUCUUUAUGUUGGCUGGAGGAGCUAUCUCAUAGAAGUCUGCUAAACAGACUCUCAUAGCUUCUUCAACCAUAGCUGCGGAGUUUAUUGCUUGUUAUGAGGCAUCCAACCAUGGAAUAUGGCUACGAAACUUUGUCACUGGACUACGAGUGGUAGAUGGCAUUGACAGGCCAUUAAAGAUUUAUUGUGACAAUAACUCAGCGGUGCUUUACUCCAACAACAAUAGGAGUUCGACAAAAUCGAAAUUCAUUGAUAUCAAGUUUCUAGUUGUUAAGGAGAGAGUUCAAGAUAAACAAAUUUCCAUAGAACAUAUAGGAACAAAUUCCAUGCUAGCGGACCCACUAACCAAGGGCUUAACGCCAAAGGCCUUUCAUGAGCACACUGCUCACAUGGGCGUUAUUUCCGAGGAUAUUCUAGUCUAGUGGGAGUCAAUUUUAUGUUCUAUAUGUUUGCUUUAGACAUUAAAUUAUUUAACCUUCUGCAGAAUAAAGUUGAUGGUCUAUGAUUCUAUUUCUGAGUUUGCUUGUGUUUUCAUUGUGCAAUGUUUGCAUUGCAUUAAGGACUUUUGAAUGAUCUCACUAAAGACUAAAGAAGGACCAAUUGGAAAUAGGCAUGUUUGAGAUCACAUCUCAUGUAAAUUUUCAUGCUACUCAUCCAUAUUUGAUCUAUGUCAUUAAGUGUAUUAAUAUGUUGAUCAUCGUGGUUUAAUCACUAAUGUAUUGUGAUGAAAGUUGCGGUGGUUCCAUUAUUAGUAUAUGAGAUGGACAAGAUUAUUUAAGGAGCAGUCUAAUGAUAAAUAGCAUACAGAUGCGCGCCUAAGGAGUUUUGUAAUAUAAUUGUUUAAGGAAUAAUAUGUAGCCAAGAGGGAGAUUGUUAGGAAAACAGGAUUUUCCUAAAUUAAUAUUGGCAACAUAUUAAUACAAUUAUAUUAGCUAUUUAAUAUAAUGGGCAAAAAUCAAGUGGUCUAUUUUUUUGUAUGCCCAUAGACUACUCAAAUUAAUAUGGACUAAGUGAGUAGAUACCGGCUAAUAUUACUCUAAUUAAGGGAUAAUGGGAACUUUAAUUAAGUAGUAUAUAAAGGUUAUUUUGAUUAUAGUCCCCAAUAUACCAAAUCAUACACUCUUUUCCCUUCUUCCCAUCAAGAAGAGAAAUCACGGUCCCAUUGAGGAAUAAGGAGAUUUGGUUGAGGAAGAUCACAAAACCACCCUUUUCACUUGCAUUCAUCGGUACGUAGUCAAUUGUCGCAGUAAUUCCGCAACAGUAGGCAAUCGUUUACAAUGGAUACAUGUAUAUUAUCUGAAUCUGUGAAUUCUAGUAAUUUAGCAUGAUGUUGAUCCUAGGAUUUAAUUUAUAUUUGGAUCUAAUUUGAUUUUCUAACAGGCAGUGCUAAAAAAAUGAUCCUGACAAAAAGGAUCCAUCAAACAAGAAAGCCUAGCAAUAUAAAAUUUCAAGUUUCGAGUUACAACUCAAGUCACUUGUGCUCACAUUUCCUCUGUAUUCAACAUAUACUUAGAAAAGAAUAGAUAAAAUUAAGAUACAACCAAAUAAACAAAGCUUUAAUUUUCCCAGAGAAAGAAAAUUGAAUAUUAAUUUAUAUAUAUAUAUAUAUAUAUUUGAAAGAAUCACGAAGAAAAUUUUGUAUACCAGGUGGAGAAAUAGUCUUGUCGAGCACAGAAGGAAUUGUCAUCUCAAUUAUAGGCCGUCGGGAUGGUAUGCCAUUUACAGCAUCCUGACAGCUAGAGUCAAUCUCCUCCAUACUGAUUGAGUUAUAAAUAAUUUAGUAGUCAUAAAUUUAUUCAUCAACCAAAGAUACAAGAAUCAAUGGACAUUGGCUGUACUCGUGUUCAAAUUUUUGUAACAAAGGCCAGUGCAAUUAUGUAACGUUCGGAGCCUUUCUUUUACUAUCACAACAAACAUUCCAGUUAGGAAUUAUUUGGUAAUGUAUUAGCUCAUAACCUGUAAAAAUAUGAGAAGAAGAAACAUGAACAAAUGCUUCAGGAUCACUUAUUUGAAGUUCAUCCCUCUCGUGUUCAUUGUGGUUUUGCUGCAGACCAACUAAUAUAAUGUGACAAAAUAGUAAACCUUAGGACCUUAAUUAUUUUUCUUCCAUUCAUCGACCAAUUGGCAAUUAGAAACUAAAGCAUGAGAAGAUUUUAAGUUUUAAGCAUUGUGAACAGAAGACGUCUAUACCUUCCCUGGAAGCACUGACCAUAAUGUAAAAUAAAAAAAUUAAACAAAUGUCAAACCGAUCUUUUUGCUGGUUAGGAGUAGUCAUCUUAGGGGAUUCCUCGACCAGUGUAAAUAUUUAUGGACAUUUAAAAAUAUGUUUAAAGAUUAUCAAGUUGAUAUUCCAGUGUCCUUCUAUUGGUUGAAAACAUUUCAAGAUGUAAGUUAUGAUGAAUUGAACAGUAAGUAAAUCUGAAAUGGUCAUAAGAUGACAAAUAAAAUGAUGACAUACGUCUCAGAACCAAUGUGUAUGGUCCCCAUAUGCUGAGGACCAGCAUCAGGAUUGCCCAACUUGCAGCAAUGAAAUUGAGGUAAUUUGUCGACAGCCAAGUUGAUUUUCGUAGCUGCCUGUUCCAGUUUUACAAGGAACUCUUGAAUUUCAGUUCAAUUUGUUGAAAACAUGAAAAUAAAAAAUCACAAGGAAGAUAAAGGAUACAGCAAAAAGGGUUUCGAUAUAAAGCUUUGAAAAGUAAGCUAAUAAAUCCUUAUUAACAAUCUCAGACAACAGUAUGCAUGUCAACAACAUAAGACAGCAGCUGCCAAAUUUCUUUUGAAAAUGGAGAAUAUAUUAAUUCAUAGGCAAUGGCACUUAUAGAGCUGUAAUCAGAGUUCUUGAUAACACGAAGAAAAUCAUCCGGAAGCGCAUUCUUUGGUACAAAUUCCUGGCAGUACAGCAUAAUACAUGAUUAUCAUUAGCAUUACCUACAACAGUCAACAAUUCAUGGUCAUGGCUAACAUGCAUUUUCCUAUUCUUUAUGGUAAAAAUACAUUUCCCACUUCCUCAGCUCAACAUAUUGAAAGAAGAAUAGGGUUAAAAUUUCACCAUAAAUGUUCUGUAUGGAGUUGCAUUUGACAGCACAACCUAAGAGCGCACUUGUGUACCAUCAGCCAGCAAAACCUGAAUAACUCAAUCAAAAUACAAAAAUAUAAAUUUGCGCGGGCUUGACUACAUCAAUGAGAGAUGUCGCUCAGAAAUUUACCCCGCACACUCUGUCUGGGUCCUCUAUCAUCAAUUCUGAGACCUAAACAACAUAAUAGAAUAGUUUUACAUUUUAAAGAACAAUGCUUACUAUAUCAAGAUAAGCAACUUGAUCCAAAAAUAACAAACAUGCAAAGAGUUUGAAGGUCAAUAACUGAGCCUAUUUAACUAAAUUCUGGAUCAAUGUUGAAGGUAAAUUAGAACCAAUUCAACAUGGCAUAUUCUCUCUUUUUCAAUUUACCAACAACAAUGAAAACUACAACCAACUCUGCAAACAAACGCUCUAUUUUUUAUCCAAAGUGUAUCACGGGGAAUCAAUUGCCGUAGGAUUCUUUGAUAGAAAAAGUAUCACAAAAAACAGGUAUGUUUCUACCAUUUUGAAAUGAUUAAGAAGCAUUGAAGUAAUGUCUAAGCACUGCUAUGAGUCGCCGCUUAUUCAGCAACACGUGCACGGUUUGAGACUUGGCUCCUCCCAUUGCUUUUUAGGCUCCAUCUUCUUAUACAUGUGACCAUCAAGGAUAGAGACAUGACACAAAAAUUUUAAGGCAGCUAGUGAUGCCAAGAGCUACGGCCUUGGAUUGUGAGUAAAAUCAACCUCUAUGAUAUUCUUUAGUUAUGAGAUCAUAUUGGUUCAUAUUUUGCCAUUAUUAAAAGAGAGACUGUAGAUCAUGGAUAUUUAGUUUUAGUAAACUGUUACAAACCAAUAUAUCACAGAAAGGUGGUCAAAUAAGGAAAUAAUAAGAAAAACAGGGCAUGAUCCUAUCAAUAUUCAAGAGAAAGGAAGAAAUAUAGCCUAAGAGCAAAAAUAAGACAGUAGACAAGAAUGCUUUCUUAUCCAAAUUAGGUAAAUAAGCAUCAACAGCCCAAACAAUAUUCAUGUCACAGGGAUUUAAAAAGGGAUUUUUGACAUGGGAGUCAUAAGAAGAGGGGAAAAUUCAAGUCCCUCAAUAAUCAACUAAAAAAAGUUAAAAAGCAGGAUAUGUACCUUAAUCCCAACUACAAAAUCACAGGGGCUUACAAAGGAUUUUGACAAUGGAAUCAUCAGAAGAUGGGGAAAAUCAAGUCCCUUAAUGAUCAACUAAAAAAAAGCUAAUUGGAGUAAAUUGAUGCCUCAGAAAAAUCAGGACCUUAAUCAAGAGUGAUUGUAAGGCCCUAAAAUGUUGUCUCGUGUCAAUUAUGGUUCCUUGCUUACUGUAUAGCAGUUGAAGUAUAGGCUUCAAGUUAACAAGGUUUGAACAUUUCGGACCUAAGUGGAAACAAGAUUAAGUAGUUUGUUCUCUGGAGUCUAGAAUAUAUUGUGGCCCUCACCUGGACGAUCUAGGCGUAGUCACUAGGCAAAUGGUGCUGCAAGAAAAACAUUGAGAAGAUUGGAAACCUGAAUCUGCUGUAUCAAGCUCCCUCAUCCUUUUAAGAACUGACUCUAAUAUGUUGGUAGAAUGCCAGAAUCUAGGCAUGAAAAAAAAUAUGCUGCAAGCAGUUUGCAACUAAUAGGCUCAACUAUGUGUUGUCCAUGCUCUUCGGUCACAUUAUAAUAUUCCAGUUUACAUGUCCUUUCUCCCUUUUCCUCCAUAGACCCAAACAAAUAAAUAAAUAACAAGCCCAACAAUAAGCUGGCAUCAAAGAUCAUUCACUCAACUUUGUCUGGAUGUUAAGUUCAAAAUUUCUAAUUUAUACACGAGGACGUGCACUUUAAAUAAAAUAACUUACUGUGUGCAUUUGUUUUUCAAUAAAUUUAAGGAGAUGAACAAACUAACAUGAUAGAUUGCACAUACUUACUUCAGCUUCUGUCACUAUGGUAGCACCAGCUUCUUUAGCUGCUCUGCUAAUGGCCAGAGAAACAGAGCCCAUCCCACCUUGAACAUACCUAAAAAUUUUAUCAUCUAAGAAGUGAGAGUAAAUAACAUGAUAGUUCAUGCUGAUGAUGCUGAGAAUAGAAUAGAAAAUUUUAAAAGUAGGCAGGUCAAUGUAAAUCUAAUUUUAUAAGAAAUGUCUAAUUAUUAAAUACAUAAAAUAAUAAAUGUACUUCAUACAAGAUCCAAACUUAAUUAGCUAUUUGAACAAUGAAUGAUAAUACUAGUAUUCUUUGUAUUCCCUUGGAUCAUCUUCAAGCAGAUACUUACGACCAAAUUCCGCGGUCACCAUCAGUUUCUCCCAUCACGUGAUGCAGUAAAACAUAUCCACUCCCAGGUGUAUUGGGACUACCCUAAGAUACAGAAAAGGGACAAAUCUCAUUAAUACAUAAUAGAUAAAAAUCAAUGAAGCUUCAUAAUAAAGAUACAGCACUAUUUUCGUAAUUGAUCCUAAAAAUGCAUAAAAAUAAUAUACAUGAUGACCAUCAAUGGAUGCCUCAGUGACUAAUAAAAUAUGUAACAAGAUAAGGAAGAACAUUAGUGCAAGCCACGUGACUAGUAACAGAAUAUGAGGAAGGAUCUACAAAAUCUGUCUUUGACAGUAGUGUUCCGAAGAAUUCUCAAUAUGCAGACUGACUUGAAAAGACAAGUCUUAUUCCCCUUCUAAAUAAAAAAUCUAACAUAAUAUUAACAUUUAACGUAAAAGUUCUCCAAGUCUGGUUCACUCUGCUGACUCAUAACCUAUCUGCUGCAUUUCCUAAUAAGCAAAAGAUACUGAAAGAACUCAUGCAACCCCUAUACCACAUUCGUUAUGUGCAAUAUACACGAGUUGUUUAUAGAAAUUUUAGUAGCUACUAUCUUGCUACACAGACUCGAGCAUUUUGGUUCAGCCGUUCAGGCUCCAAUACUUUGCCAAAUCUGAGCCCUUUACUUUUGGUGAUCUCAAAGUAAUUAAAAGCAAAACAAAAUGAAAGGGGCUAAUAGUAUAUUAGGAUAAUUUUAGCAGAAACCCAAACCUUUCAAAAAGUUGCAGACUUUUCCUUAAUCUUUCAUUUAUUGUAGCCGUCACCCAAACCUUUCAAAACGUUGCGGAUGAAGCCCCAAUGGAUGGAUUUCAUCUAUAUUUCUGUUAAUUGACCAAAAUAAUUGGACUUUGAACACAUUUUAAUCAAUUAUAAUGGGACAAAAUUGUAACUUUAUAUUUUUUUACAUUAAAAACUUUAAAUAAAAAAACAACACAAAAGGAAGAAAAAAAUAAAAUGAAAAGGAAAAAAAUAUCUUCUCCUCCCUCACCCCCACCCCCACCCCAACUCCAACCCCUUAACCCAAAACCAGAAAUUUACUAUCGCCACCACCUGGCCCAAAAACCCGUUCAUAGGGAUCGACCACCACAAUUUUCCCUCCCUCAUUCAUGGAAAACUACAAUAACCGCAUUUGAGUCACCUCAAGCCAUACAAGAAUAAAUUUAAACACUGUAAAGUUCGAAUCUGCAACAAUACAAGAGUUUUGAAAAUUUUGAGUAUUUUUAAUAAACGCAAUGAGUAAUGUAGGAGGAUCAAUUCUAUGCAAGUCGGCGACAUUAGCCAAAAUAUAUGGUUUCUUACUCUUAUUAGUAGUUUUCUUCUAUGCAAGUAAUGUAGGAGGAUCAAUUCUAUGCAAGUCGGCCACCUUAGCGAAAAUAUAUGGUUUCUUACUCUUAUUAGUAGUUUUUUUCUACUUGGGCAAGCGUUUUUCUGAUGGCUCUUCUCAGCGACUUAUUUUCUUUUCCUCUCAUCAAAAUUCAAUUAAUAAUGGAGUUACGAAAAAAUUCGACUUCAUCAAUUUCACUUCCUUCUAAUUAGGUGUCCCCUUCACCAUAUCCACUAGCGGUGCAGAGGAUUGGGCUAGUGGAUCAAAACGGGGUGAUGACAGAGGAUUUUGAGGUAGGGGAGUUUGAUUUGGAGGUGCAGGAGAAUUGGGGAAGGGCAAAUGAGACUGAGUGUUUGGAGAGUGGUGAUCGUAGUGAUUGUGAGGGUAGGGGUCAGUUUUGGGCCAAGUGGUGGCGAUGGUAGAUUUCUGGUUUUGGGUUGAAGGGGUGAGGUGGGGGUGAGGGAGAAGAAAAUAUUUGAACCUUUUCAUUUUAUUUUCUUCUUCCUUUUGUGUUGUUUUUUUAUUUAAGAUUUUUAAUGUGAAAAAUAUAAAGUUACAAUUUUGUCAUUUUAUAAUUGAUUAAAAUAUGGUCAAAGUCCAAUUUUUUGGUCAACUAACAGAAAUAUGGAUGAAAUCCAUCCAUUGGGGCUUCAUCCACAACAUUUUGAAAGGUUUGGGGUGAUGGUUGCAACAAAUGAAAGGUUAGGGAAAGUCUGCAACUUUUUGAAAUGUUUGGGGGUCUCAGCUGCAAUUAUCCCUAGUAUAUAUUCACAAAAUAAAUUUUUGAAUUUUUAUCUUCUAUAUCUUUCAUUUGCACCCGCCAUCACCUAUGGAUACUAUAUGAGGACACCAAAAGCCAUACAUCAAUACAAAAUGUUGCAAAAUACAGAAUGAAAAAAAUGAUGAUAUUUGUGUUAUUAUGAAGGACUUAUGAUAACUGUGCCAACACAAGUCAAUGAUGACUAGACAUUCCCACUAGUUUGAUGUUAUAGAUACUCCUAAGGGUUGGUGUUGCUUCUUGAUAACCCCUCAUAUUUUUGUUCUGUAAAUUUUGAUAUAAACCACCACCCUCUCAAAUGUCUUAAAUUUCUUUGGCAUAUCUGCUUAAGGCAUAAAAUUUGGAAAGCAAACUUGAAUUUUUCUCACCAAAAAUAGAUCUUGUUCACUCUCAGGGGAGAAGUUGAUCUAAGAACUGAAGGCUGCUAAGAAUUAUAAGACAUGUGAUAUAUCUUAGCAAUUACAUCAAAUACAAGCAAGAAUUAUUACUGAAAUAGGGAAAUAAUUGCAACCUUUCGUUUAUAGAACAAUGAAAACCUCAGCCUGGAUGGGUUGUCAUUCAAUUAUACAAUACGGCGUUACUGUUGCAAAUGAAAUUACAAAAACAGAAUGCCAUGGGGUCCUAGGUAAAAUGAUAUCUUUCAGUAACAACAAUCCUGCAUGUGUUAACGUCAGAGAUCAUAAUAUGACAAGGAAGUACAGUUCUCACCGUGGUUCCUAUUACAGCAUCCGUUGCAAGUGUUGCCUUCAAGACAUCAUUCUGUCAAUAGAAAACUUUUCAGUAAGUGGGAUUUAAAGAAUUAAAGUUAUGAAGUGUAAUAUUUUAAAUAAUAACGAAGAUGACAAUGAUGCAAAUAAUAUGUGGCACAAAGCUCUCUAAAACAUUUAAAAACAAUACAAUUUUAUAGGAAAAUACCAACAGGUCCAAAUCAAUCUGUUUUUGAUGCAUUACUUAAAUAUUAAUUACUAAAGAUAUUUAUUUAAAUGAACGCUGGAUAUAUUUUAGCUCUGCUGCGAAACUAGGAGGAAGAGAUGAUUGGCCAGGAACACUUCCUAAAAGCAUCUGCAACCCAACCACACUGUGAGUUAGCUGACAUAAGCAGUUUAAACUCAUCCUAUUAGUACUGCAAUAAUCCUAUCUAAAAAUCCAUGCAAAGAUCAGGUCAUGAUUCAGUUUCCAUUUCCUUCCCACAACUUUUUCCAGGUUAACAGCAAAUAUUAUGUGUAAAAAGAUACGUAAGGGAUUUGAUGUUUGCCAAAAGACUUGUUGCAGCAUAGCUUCCAUUGAGAAACCUUUGGAGCUUUGACAGGACAGUCGAGGAAAAAAUAGUCUGACAUGGAUGCGAGAGAAAUACAAAUAGACGGAAAAAAAAAAAAGAAGAGCCAACAAAAGAAAAAAUAGCUAACAAACCAACAGGCAAAGUUUGUGGCACAAGAAUUAUAUUCAAAUUUAAAGAAUAAAGGAUAAAGAUCAUGGUCAUUCAGAAAUACAGAAACACAUACUUCCAUAGACACAUACACUAUCGCUGCAAUGUAUAAUUCAAAUUUAGUGGGACAACAAUCAUGUUAUUACCUCAAACCAGUUAUUUAACACCACUGAGGCAGGGGACAGUAAUAGGUCCAUGAAAUCCCUGAGAAGCUCAAUGAAAGUGAGCCAAGAACUUGUGGAUUAGUUGGUAGAAGUCAGUCUCUACUUAAGCUAAAACAAAUACCUACACAGGGAUAUUGUCUCUCAUAAUUAGCAAGAUAAGAGACCACCUAACAAAAUGCAACUAAGAUAAACCCAACUUAGAAGAGAAAAUGAACUCUUACACUAUCUGCUUUUGCCCCAUGACAAGUGCUCGUCGCAGACAAUGAGCCCAAAAAACAGACUUCUGUAAUUUACUCUUCAUCCGGGCAUUAAAAGAUGAGAUUCGUUGCAAAGUUUCAGGUGGAGACGAAUCCAAAAGUGGAUCCAUGAAUUUACAGAAGUUCUCUAACGGAUUCUCGUACCUAUAUAUGAGAACCAAGUGCAGAAACAAUAAUAAGGGAGAGAAAUAGAUAUGCCAAUUGUAUUUCAUCGAAUUAUUUUGUACCAGGAAAGAAAAAUUGCGAAAAAACUUGAAUCAUAAAUUUUUCCCAUUUUGUUUGUUCACAUCACCAGUUCAACCAUAUUAUUUAUGCCCUAACAUAAUAAGCUAUAUGAGGAUCAUAAAAAUCAUAUGCACAUUUCAAAACCUAGCAGUGAAUAUAUGAUAAAACCAAAAUAAAUUUAAUAGGACUUAUGGCCUAUGUGUGCUACUUUCCACAACCACUUUCAAUUGCUUCAUGGAAGAAUUCGAGCAUAAAAAAAGGUCUUCAGAAACAGAAUGAGUCCUAUUACUAUUCAAUUCGAUUACUACCCAAAUCCAAGGAUCCCAUAUUAACGGGUUGUUUUGCAAGAUGUCUUGACAUAAUUAAAUAAGAAAAAUAAGCUAAAAUAUUGACCAUUAUACUCUGCACUCGAGUCUAAUACUCUAUAUCAAACAUGCCCUAAAACCUAUUGUUUUCCUAAAACUAUUUUCAGAGAGCUCAUUUCACUCGUCACACCAUUGCAUUUUUUAAUUGAUUAAAGAUAUUGUCAACAAUUUCAACAUUUAUCCAACCCAUUUCUGUUUUCUAUCUCCCCACAAGUUUUUCCUUCAUCUAAUUUUAUAGGUUGUGCUAAAUAUAAUGACGUGACCACCAUUAGAUUGCUCAAGAACAAGUCUUUCCAUUUUUUGGUUUACCAUUUCAUAGAAUAAUAAAUGAAGAAUACAAACACUUCACCCAGAAAAAUACAAGCUGCGAUUGCUGACCUAGGAUAGGCCUCAGCAUCGCGUUUCGAGAACUUCGAUAUCUCCAAAUAAUUAAGCUCCUUAUCAGGACCAAGCAGAAGGUAGCGUCCAUCUAGACAGGGAGUGAAUGACGAUGGACUCCUCUUCAACAUCUUCAAUCCAUGCUUCUUCAACUCCAAUUCCCUUUGUCAUAAAAAAACACCUAAUCAAUCAAAAACGUAAACUUAACAACAAAUUCAUCAAUUAUGUGUGUUUGUGCGUAAUUCAGUAUAUGGAACAGAAAGAGACUUGAUAAGUGCAGGGCGAAGUAGGCUCUGGAGGUAGCUACAUCGGGAAAACUUGUAGCCGGGGACAAGUUCUUCAGUGACAGCAGCUCCGUCGAUGACGUGGCGGCGCUCGAGGACCACGACGGACAAGCCUGAUCUUGCGAGGUAGGCAGCGGCUGUGAGGCCGUUGUGGCCGCCCCCGAUCACCAGCGCGUCCCAUUUCUUCGCCGUUAAUGAGCGUCCACUAGUGACGCUGCAGCGAUUCCUUGUUUGUUGUCGCCACAUUAUUCUGCAUUGAAGACCGACUAGUGAGUGAAGUUUAAUUUAGAGUGUGAGCAUUUUCCCGGGAAAGGGCAAAAAAUGAAAAAAGGAAUAUUUUUGGGGAAGUUAUUUGGACAAAUUUUAAUCCAAAACAAAGUUAAUAACUAAUUUUAAUCACAUAUUUUAUCGAAUUCACAACUUUUCAAUCACACAUUUCAUGAGAUCUAUCAAAAUUUGUUAAAAAUCUAAUUUUAAUGACCACUAAGCAAAAAAUUACAUGCGACAAGUCUACUUUGCCCGUACAUAACUAAACUUCUAUGAGAGUAGACAUUAUACUUGAGGAAUGGAGUAUGCAAGUCUCAAAAAUAUGCAUCCUUUAUGUACCACAAAACACACUCUUUGGUCGAACUCUAGUCUUCUUAAUCUUACACUUUGGUUGAACAAGAGAGCAUAACAUGGUUGCUCAAAAUUAGAGCUUGAAUUUAGUAUCAGAUAACAUAAUUUUUUUUUUAGAAUAUUGUGUUGCUCUCAAUGAGAAAUUAUUGAAAAAGACCGAGAUUUUAUACAUAUGAUUUUUGAAGAUGUUUCUCAUUUCGCAGUAAAUGUGACAAUUAGAAUUUUUUAUUGGUACAUUUGCAAUAUCAUAGAUUGAGAACGCUAUAUUUUAAUUUUUGUAUUUGUUUUAUUUAUUAUUUUUAAAUCUGAUUUCCAAAUUUAUAGCAAGCAAACAAUUUUUUGAGUGACUAGCCAAUAAAAUUGAUGGAAACAUAAUGUCCUAUUGGUCGAAGGAAAUUCGAUUGUGAAAUUUCAAAGAUAGUCGCAUUCGCGGUUUGAGAGCUUGUGACACACAUUUGGACGUGGGCAAGAAAAUCAACACUAAAGUAAUGGAUAAUCUAAAAACUUCAUUAUCCAUUCUUUAAAAUUUGUAGUUUCCAUUAUAUAUUUUUAAAAUUAAGUAGUUUUCGACGGAAAGUACCAAUUUAGGAAUUUCUUGGGAGUUCUUCUUCACCAAUUUUGAGUUGUAGCAUUUAUGAGAGGUAGAAAAAAAGCUGUACUUAUUAAUUUUUUGAGCACUGAUUUUGGAUAAUUUAAAAACCAUCCAAAAUCGAUAGUUUAAUUUUGAUCGCGUCUCUCAGCCUACCAAAUUAGUGAAUUUUGGCCGUUCUCUCAUAUUCUCUUCUGAUUUUACCCAUUAUAAAACAAUUAUCGCUGAUCAGUAUCUUUUGUUCAAAACUAACUAGCGAAUAAAAAUACCUUUAUUAAAAAAAAUUAAGCAUAAUUAAAAAAACUUGCGUAUAAAUAAAAAAUAACUUACAAGAUAAAAAUCACUAUUGUGUAAAAUUAUUUAUAAAAUAAAAAUACUACUAAUAAGACAAAAAUUCACUUAUAAAAUAUGAAAAGUUACUUACAACUAAAAAAAAAUUCGCUUAUGAGUUAAAAUGAUUUAGAAAUAAAAAUUAAAUUAACUAUAAAAUUUACUUGUAAGUAAAAAUAAAAAAUAAAAAUAGAUACUUAAAUUUUAUGUAAAUAUUUAACUUUGUUGCUUAAAUCUUAAAUUAUAUGUGAAAAAAUUACUUACAAGUAAAACAUGACCUUUGAGGAAAAAAAUCUAAGUUGAAAAUUUAACUAUGGGACAUAUAUGUAAUUUUAUUAUUUUGAAUAACAUUUAGAAUUGGUGCACAAUAAAUUUUAAAAUUGCCAUUAAAACCAUUCAAAUGUUGAAAAUCAUUACUUUUAAAUAAACACCCAUAACCAGUAUCCCCAAAACUCCCAAACAGGCCCUUAAUGUACCAAUUCCAGAUAAGUGGUCACUAGAAAAGUUCAUUAGCAUCAUUUUCGUAAUAAAUGGACCAGUUCGAAGCUAAAUGUAUUUGACAUAAUCGAUGUUGUUACGUAUUAAUAUAGUUGUUAUCCACCUAAAUGACACAUGAAAGGUUCCCAACAUACACCCACAUGUUAUUGGACAAAUGUUUACACCUCGGUCGAUGAAGUGUGUCAAACCCAAAAAGAUGCCUCGUCCAUGAAGUUCCUCUGAGCAAAGGAAUGUGGAAUUCAAUCAUUUGGUUAAACAUUUACAAUUGGAGCCCUCAACCCGAAACAAAAGCUAAGGGCUUUCAAAAUAAUCUUGAAUAUGGGCGAAAACCUCAAUGCGAAUUUUGACAUAAUCAACCUAGAUUUUAGUGCACUAAACCUAUAAGUUCAUGCAGUGAAUUAUUUCACAAGUGUCACGAAAGAACAAACCUACAGAAAAACCUUGGAAAUGGAACUUAUUCAUGGCCUUGUCAUAAUAAUAAAUGAAUGUUAGCUCAGGAAAUGACCAAAAUGUUUCUAAAAUCACCUAUAAAAAAGGACAUACACCCAUUACGCAUGGGAAUGCAUAUCUCCUAUUCGAAUGAGAGAGAAGACCUGCAAGGUCCACCAGUUCUCAGAUACAGAAGAGGGCACUGAGGUCACACUGGAUGAAGCCCAAAGGAUUUUGGUGGAAGAAGGCAGUGAGAAAAAGGCAGCCAAUCCAUCAAGUAUGGCAUACAUGUUAUAAAAUAAAGGGGAAAUUUGUUAAAAAGCCUAGUCAAACAAUGUUAUUGGUUAUAUAACCUCUUUUGAAUGUUUUUUGAACAAAUAGCCUUCAACUAUUAAACACAAUAAACAAAUAAGGUCAAAUGUCAUAAAUACCCUCAUUAUUGGAAAAGACUUUAACACCCUUAUCAAUCCAAUUAAAUUCUCCAAUUCAAUUUUUGGUUCCCAAAUUCACAGUAACCCGAUUUCUUCUCUUCAACCAUUCCUGCUACUCUAAAAUCCUAUUCUUCAUUAUAUUAUUCACCUAUAUGGAUAUCCUUUGAACAUUUAUUAUCUAUAUUAAAAGAUCUCAUUUAGAUUUGAAGAAAGAAGAAAGAUAAUUUUAAAAAUUUGAUAUAAAUUGUACAUUUAUUAUUGAAUAAUAUUUAAGUUGGUGUUGUUUUUAUACUUAGUGUAUAUAUAUACACACACACACACAUGUAUAUAUAUAUAUAUAUAUACACAUACGUACACAUCUUGGGAUGUCCAAGAAGAGUCAGUUAUAUAUAUAUAUAUAUAUAUUUCUUUUUCUACAACUAUUGGAUGGUAAUGACAUUCCAAGUGUUAUCCAAAAUGUAAAACGUCACUCCGGUCAUUUUUUGUAGCGUAAAACGGCACUACAGUCGUUAUCUACUGUGAUUUGAUUUUUUUUUCAACGAAACAAUCCCUAAUAAUGAACUAUUGAUGUAAAAAACACAGAAAAAUAGACUAUGUCGCAAAGAAAUAUUGAAAUGACAUAGUUUUUAUAUUAUCGAGAUGGUGAAAUCAUAAGUUAUCCUACUCAUAUGUGUUGAUUAAAUUAAUGAGCAUAUCUAUCAACUUUUGUACAUGUCAUGUGUAUAUCACAACAUAAAUAAGUACAACUUAUUAUUUUUUAGGGACACGUAUGGAUCAUAACUACUUAUAGUCAUGUUUACACAUGUAACAGCACAUGUGUGGCUUUCAUAUCUCCAGUAACGACACAUGUACCGUUCAGAAGUUUUUACAUAUAUUUAAUCCUUUUCAAUUUAAAUAACCUCUAAUAAUGGAGUCCAUAAUGUAUGUAACAUAGAAAGGUUGACAAUAUCAUAAAGAACGAUAGAAAUGAUAUAACUUUUAUAUUAUCAAAAUGGUGAAAGCACAAAUCAUCCUACUCAUAUGCGUCAAUUAAAUUAAUGAACAUAUUACUUAACCUUAGUACAUUUCAUGUACAUAUUAUAAUGUAAACAAGUUUCACUUAUUAUUUAUUGAGACAGGAAUGGGGCGUGACCGCUUGUAUUCAUUUUUUACAAAUAGAACGAUACAAGGUCUUUUUUUCUCAAUAAAGGAACUUAUGUCGUUCUGUUGAAUUCUCCAAUAUUUUAAUUUAUUUUCAAGAUAAAGACAUCAAGCAUUGGACCAUCUAACAUAAAUAAAAUGAAAAAGUUAUUCACAUGAUAAAGAACGAUUGAAAUGACAUAGAUCAUGUGAUAUCGAAUUGAUAAAAGCAUGAUAUAUUCUACUGAUUAAUUAAAAUAUAAAUAAUAAGCAUAUCUUUCGGCUUUUGUACAUAUCAUGCUCAUCUUAUAACAUAAAUGAGUUCAACUUAUUGGUUCUCGGAGUCGUGAACAGAGUGUGGCCAUUUUAUAAUCGUGUUUAUAAAUAGAACGACUCAUGGGUCGUUUUCUUCUCAGUAAUGGCACUUGUAACAUUAUGUUGAGUUCUUCUAUAUUUUGAUUUAUUUUUAACUCAGAACUUCAAGUAUUGGACUCACUAAUGUGCAUAAUAUAGAAACGUUAAUCACGUGACAAAGAAUGAUUUAAACGAUUGGAUCAUAUGAUAUUAAGUUGAUAAAAAUAUAAGUUAUUCUACUAGUUCAUUAUAAUAUAAUUAAUGAACACAUCUCUCAACUUUUAUAAAUAUCAUGUCCAUCUUACAAUCUAAAUGAGUUUAACUUAUUCGUUAUUUAAGCAUGAAUGAGUCUUGGCUAUGUAUACUCAUGUUUAUAGGCAGAACGACACAAGUAUCGUUUAACAGCUCUUGUGUCAUUCUGUUGAUUUCUCAAAUAUUUUCCUUCUUUUCCCAACACAGCGACCUUAAAUGUGGAUCCUCUAACUUAAGAAAGUUAGAAAGAUUGAUCACAUGACAAAGAACGGUUAAAUUGACAUAGAUUAUACGACACUAAGUUUGUGAAAUCACAAGUCAUUGUAUUGAUUCGUUAGAAAAUAUAAUCAAUGAGCACAUCUCUCAACUUUUGUAAACGGAAUGUUUAUAUUGCAAUUGAAAUGAGUUCAACUUAUUGAUUUUUAGGGCAUGGAUGGGUUGUGACUACGUAUAAUCGUGUUUAUAGAUAGAACGACACAAGUGUCGUUUAACAACUCUUAAGUCGUUCUGUUGAUUUUUCAACUAUUUUGCAUUUUUUUUUUCAAUGCAGCGACCUCAAACAUGGAUUCCCUAACUUAAGAAAGUUAAAAAGAUUGAUCACACGAUAAAGAACGGUUGAAUUGGCAUAGAUUAUAUGACAUUGAGUUGGUGAAAUCACAAGUCAUUGUAUUGAUUUGGUAGAAAAUAUAAUCAAUGAACACAUCUCUCAACUGUUGUAAAUAGAAUGUUCAUAUUGCAAUUGAAAUGAGUUCAGCUUAUUGAUUCUUGGGGUAUGGAUGGGUCGUGGCUACGUAUAAUCAUGUUUAUAGACAGAACGACAUAAGUGUCGUUUAAUAACUCUUGUGUCGUUCUGUUGAUUUUUCAAAUAUUUUGCUUCUUUUUCAACGCAGCGACCUUAAACAUGGAUCUCCUAAAAUAAGAAAGUUAGAAGUGUUGAUCACGUGACAAAGAAUGGUCGAAUUGACAUAGAUUAUACAACAUUAAAUUGGUGAAAUCGCUAAUCAUUGUAUUGAUUUGUUAGAAAAUAUAAUCAAUGAGCACAUCUCUUAACUUUUGUAAACAAAAUGUUAAUAUUGCAAUCGAAAUGAGUUCAACUUAUUGAUUCUCGGGGCAUGGAUGGGUCGUGGCUACGUAUACUCGUGUUUAAAGACAGAACAACACAAGUGUCGUUUAACAGCUCUUAUGUCGUUCUGUUAAUUUCUCAAAUAUUAUACUUCUUUUCCAACGCAACAACCUCAAACAUGGAUCCCCUAAUUUUAAAAAGUUAGAAAGGUUGAUCACGUGACAAAGAACAGUCGGAUUGACAUAGAUUAUACAACAUUGAGUUGGUGAAAUCGCUAGUCAUUGUAUUGAUUCGAUAGAAAAUAUAAUCAAUGAGCACAUCUCUCAACUUUUGUAAACAAAUGUUAAUAUUACAAUUGAAAUGAAUUCAACUUAUUGAUUCUCGGGGCAUGGAUGGAUCGUGGCUAGUAUACUCGUGUUUAUUGAUAGAACGACACAAGUGUCGUUUAACAGCUCUUGUGUCGUUGUGUUAAUUUCUCAAAUAUUUUACUUCUUUUCCAACGUAGCGACCUCAAAUAGUGGUAGAAUUGACAUAGAUUGUAGAUGUCGUGUUGGUGAAAUCACAAGUCACUAUCCACAUUCGUUGCAAAAUAAAAGUAAUGAGAGUAUCUCCCGAAGUAUGUGAGCGGCAUGUCCAUCUCGCGACUUAAAUGAGUUCAAAUUAUGGAAUAUCAAGGCCCAGAAGGCUCGUGGCUGCUCAUACUCAUGUUUAUCGACAGAACGACACUAGUGACGUUUAACAGCACCUGUGUCGUUCUUUUGAUUUUUCCUAUAUUUCACUUCAUUUCCAUUGCGUCGACCUCAAAGAUCGGACCUCCUAACUUAAGAAAGUUAGAAUUAUUAAUUACUCGAUGAAUAACGGUAGAAUUGACAUAGAUUAUAGAUGUCGCGUUGGUGAAGUCAAAAGUCACCAUCCACAUUCGUUGGAAAAUAAAAGUAAUGAGAGUAUCUUCCAAAGUAUGUGAGCGACAUGUCCAUCUCGCGACUUAAAUGAAUUCAAAUUAUGGAAUAUCAAGGUCCAGAAGGCGCGUGGCUGCUCAUACUCAUGUUUAUCGACAGAACGACACUAGUGACGUUUAACUGCACCUGUGUCGUUCUUUUGAUUUUUCCUAUAUUUCACUUCAUUUCCAUCGCGUCGACCUCAAAGAUCUGAUCUCCUAACUUAAGAAAGUCAGAAUUAUUAAUUAUGCAACGAAUAACGGUAGAAUUGACAUAGAUUGUAGAUGUUGCAUUGGUGAAAUCACAAGUCACCAUCCACAUGCGUUGGAAAACAAAAGUAAUGAGAAUAUCUCCCAAAUUAUGUGAGCGGCAUGUCCAUCUCGUGACUUAAAUGAGUUCAAAUUAUCGAAUAUCGAGACACAAAAAGGUCGUGGCCGCUCAUACUCGUGUUUAUCGACAGAACGACACAGGUAACGUUUAACGGCACCUGUAUCGUUCUGUUGGUUUUUCCUAUAUUUCUCUUCAUUUCCACCGUGUCGACCUGAAGGAUAGGACCUCCUAACAUAAGAAAGUCAGAAUUAUUGAUUACGUGGCGAAUAAUUGCAGAAUUGGCAUAGAUUGUAGAUGUCGUGUUGGUGGAAUCACAAGUCACCAUCUACAUUCAUUGGAAAAAAAAUAACGAAAGUAUCUCCCGAAUUAUGUGAACGGCAUAUCCAUCUCGUGACUUAAAUGAGUUCAAAUUAUGGAAUAUCAAGGCCCGAAAGGCUUGUGGCUGCUCCUACUCGUGUUUAUCGACAGAAUGACACAAGUGACGUUUAUGGUACUUAUGUUGUUUUGUUGGAUUUUCCUAUAUUUCGCUUCAUUUUUGUCACGUCGACCUCAAGAAUCAAACAUCCUAACUUAAUAAAGUCAGAAUUAUUAAUUACAUGACGAAAAACGAUAGAAUUGGCAUAGAUUGUAGAUGUCGUGUUGGCGAAAUCACAAGUCACCAUCCACAUUCGUUGGAAAACAAACGUAAUGAGAGUAUCUCCCAAAUUAUGUGAGCGACAUGUCCAUCUCGUGACUUAAAUGAGUUCAAAUUAUCGAAUAUUGAGGCCUGGAAGGCUCGUGAUUGCCCAUACUCAUGUUUAUCGACAGAACGACACAUAUGACGUUUAACGGCACCUGUGUUGUUCUAUUGGUUUCUCCUAUAUUUCACUUCAUUUUCACCACGUCGACCUGAAGGAUCGGACCUCCUAACUUAAAAAUGUCAGAAUUAUUAAUUAGUGACGAAUAACGAUAGAAUUGUCAUAAAUUGUAGAUGUCGCGUUAGUGAAAUCACAAGUCACCAUCCAGGUUUGUUGGAAAACAAAAGUAAUGAGAGUAUCUCCCAAAUUAUGUGAGCGGCAUGUCCAUUUCGCGACUUAAAUGAGUUCAAAUUGUCAAAUAUCGAGGCCCGAAUACGGUAUUUCAAAUUAUCUGAAGAAAACUAAUUAAUUUGAUAACAUUUGGUUUGGUAGUUGUUCAACCGGUAUUUAUUUAAAUAAUAUAUGCAAAUAUGGUAUUUCUACAUUUUGGUGUAUGUAAGUGCAUAUCAGGUAUGUUAGUUGCGUAUACGGUAUCUAGCAAAUAUGUGUAAAUCACUCACUGUAUAUGAAAUGAAAUAAAAACAGUUUGUGAAAAUUUGUGCAAAUACGGUGAGCUUUCUGCAAAUACGGUAGGAAGCAUUUAUGGUAAGUUAUCUGCAAAUACAGUAGACUGCAUAUACGGUAAGCUACCUGCAAAUAUGGUAAGUGACAUAUACGGUAUAUGCAUAUACGGUAUGCUUAAAAUUGGUAUCUAAUCUACACAUACAAUGAAAAGUUUUGAACGACACAAGUGUCGUUACUGGACAUAAAAACGACACUUGUACUGUUAUGAGUAUAAAUAUGAGUAUAAGUAGUUACGGUCCAUUCUUUCUCUGAAAAAAAAAAGUGGAACUUAUUUAUAUUAUAAUAUGUACAUGAUACGUACAAAAGUUAAUAGCUAUGUUUAUUAACUUAAUCGAUACAUAUAAGUGUGAUAACUUGUAUUUUCACCAUCUCAAUAAUAUAAAAAUUAUGUCAUUUCAAUCGUUCUUUGUGACUAGUCAAUUUUUUUGUGUUAUAUAAGUUAGUGAGUCUAUUAUCAGAGUCAUUUCAUUGAAAAAAAUUAAACUACAAUAGAUAACGACUAUAGUGUCAUUUUACUUUACAAAUAACGGCUGGAUUGGUGUUCUAUAUUUCAAAUAGCAAUUGGAGUGUUAUUACAUCUAAUGGUUGCAAAUAAUACAAAAAGCACACUAAAUACGCAAACAAUACCAACGAAAUAUUAUUUAAUACUAUUUUUAAUAAUAAAAAUACAACAUAGAUGGAAUUUCUAAGAGCAUCUUUCCUCUUUCUUUCAAUGUAAAUAUAUGCUAAUCAAACCCUUGUUCAAAUGUGAUUGAAGAGAAGAAAAUAUGUGAAUGUAAUUUUGAGAACUUAAUAUUGAAGAAGAUGAACAUGGGAAGAAGAUGUUAUUUUCAAGAGAAAAAUUAGGGUUUUAAGAUGAAUUUGAAGGAAAAAUGACUGGAUGAAAUGAGUAAAAUUGGAAGGCAUUAAAUUAACAACUAACGAAGAAUUUUGUCAUUUUGCCAACUAAAAUAUUUUUACGUUUUUUAUUUGUUUUUAUUAUUGGUCAAAGGUCAUUUCAUCAAAUACAUUGUUUAGUAUUUGGCCAAAUUCCGCUAAAAUAAAGUAAUUUGUGUAAUGAAUUAUCAAUUAUAAGCAUAAGUCAAAUGAAAUAAAUAUGAGAAUAUAGUUAGAAAAGCUGGCCUAAGAGAGUCACGAUAACUAUUGUCCUAAAGUCGUGUGGCCUCCGCUUCGUGCUGAUACUUUCGACAUUACACGACUCCAAGAUAAAACCUUAUAAUUCACAAUCGAUUCUGAGGAAUCAAACCUUUAUCAAUUGUCAAAAUUUAUAGAAAAAUAUAAUAUAAAAUGACUAAAGAGUAAUAUAAAAAGACUAGAGAGUAUUUUUCAAGUGUUUGAUUUGUUGUGUGUAAAACAAUGGGAAAUCCACCUCCUUUUAUAGUAGAAAAAUUUAACUCUCUAGUAAUGAAAAUUAAUCAAAUUCAACAUAAGUUACAAAUAUAAUAAUGAGAUUAAUUUUUUGUAAUGAAUCUAAAAAUAAAAGUAAAAAAUAAAAAGAAAAUAGAAAAUUGAAAUUUAAAUGUUAAUCUGAAAGUUUUAAAUUUAUUCUCAACAAUCCCCCACAAGUUUUAAAACUUUCAAAAAAAAAAAAAAAAAAUAUAUAUAUAUAUAUAUGGGUAAUUAGCACAAAAUCUUCUUACCUUUCAAUGUUAUUGUGUAAAAUGUCCCUACCUUUUUCAACGUUUCAUUGCGGAAAACGUUAUUUUCACCAUUUUUAAUGUAAAAUGACCAAAAUACACUCCCAUUUAAAUAAAACCCCCCAAAAAAGAAAAAAGAAAAAUAAAGAGUAAAUUAUAAUCUUACUCCUAAAUGUUUUAAAAAGUGCAAAUGGGUUCAAAUAAUUAUUAAAAUGCCUAAUAUCACAAAACAGCACUACGUUUGGCUUAUAGUGUGAAAAAUGUUCCUACGUUUCAAAUUUAUAAAAAUGACGUUUUUCGCAAUGAAAUGUGGAAAUAAGAAUGAAAAUGCAAAAAAAAUGUAAACAUAGGGAAGUUUUUCGCAAGAAGUGUCAAACAUAGGGAUGCUUUUUGUUAUUAUGCCUUAUUAAAAUAUUAAAAAAACACUCUCCCUCUCUCUCUCUCUCUCAUCUUCUUUUCCAAAUGAGUCAGCCAUAUUAGAAACCAAAAAACUCCAGCAGACCACCACCAAAACUGAUGGACCAACAUACCAUCGAAAGCCCUUACUUCCCUCUCCACAUACCACCCAACAUCCAAUCUUGAAACCUUCAUGCCAAUAGAUUUUCUCGAAAUUGCAAGCUAAAAUACCAACUCGCCAAUACAAAUACUGGCUGUAUCACUUGUUUUGGAGAGACCCAUGCCAUUUCUAACACACCUACCGACUAUACUCGCCAGGAAACCUCUCUUCAUGAUCUUAAAAUAUCAACAAAUGGUUCAGUAGUAUGGAGAUUCGGCGGUUUGGGCGAUGGUUGGUUGAAGUUUUUUCACUUCUAACGUGGCAGUCCCAUUUGGAAAAGAAGAGAAGAGGAGGGAGAGAGAGAGAGAGAGAGAGCUUUUUGUUAUUUUUAAUAUUUUAAUAAGGCCUAGUAGCAUAAAACGUCCCUACGUUUGACACUUAUUACAAAAAAGUCCCUACAUUUCAAUUUUUUUUUAUUUUUAUUUUUUUAUUUUUUGUAUUCUCAUCCCUAUUUUUACGUUUCAUUGUGGAAAAUGUCAUUUCCACCAAUUUGAAACGUAGGGACGUUUUGCAUACUAUAGGUCAAACGUAGUGACAUUUUGUGCUAUUAUGCAUUUUAAUAAUUAUUUGGAAUCACUUGCAUUUUAAAAAUAUUUAGGAAUAAGAUUGUAAUUUAUUAUUUUUUAUUCAUUUUUUUUUGUUUUAUUUAAAUGGGGGGUAUUUUGGUCAUUUCACAUUAAAAAUGGUGAAAAUGACUUUUUCUGCAAUGAAACGUUGAAAUAAGGGCGAAAAUGUCAAAAAAUAAAAGGUAGGGACGUUUUGCAAAAUAAUAUUGAAAGGCAGGGAUCUUUUGUGCUAAUUACCCAUAUUUAUAUAGUGGUAAUAUUAUACUAUGUAAUAUGUGCAUGUGUCUUUUGAACUUGAACUUCACUUAAUGAUAACAAUUUUAAUUUAAGGGAGUCAUAAUGGACUAAACCUUGAAUUAGGUCCAUUUGACUAAAUUUCAACUAUUCCACACAUAGUAUCACUUUAGGCUCAGUUUAUAAUAGGUAUCGCUGUUAAUGGCCAUGCACCCUUAUCUUGAUUUUAGAAAAAGUCUAUAAGGAAUAGCCCAAUCCCAUAGUCACAGCCUCAUGACAACUGUAGAAGCUCGAGAAAUAAAAUGAAAUUAGGCUAUUAUGUUAUAAUGAUCUAACACCACAAGCCUAGCUCGUUCAAAAAACGAGCUAUGGAAGCUCAACCCAUUUAAAAUUUUGAAAGCCCAAGUCAUAAGUUAAUUAAGAGCCCAACAAUUUAAGAGAUUAAGUUUAAGUAAAUUUGAUUACAAAGAUUUAAUGGAUAACUGGGUUGCCACAAUGGUCAUCUACAUGAAAUUUCAUAUAAGCAAUUCAAGUUCGAAUCAUCACGUAGAUGUUUUUAUAAAACUUUUAUAUGAAUUAUUUUUUAUCGCUUAGAGACUCUUCAAAUUCUUAGUUAAAGAUCAAAUUUAAUAAAUUUAAUGAUAAUACAACUCCCAAACUUAGUUUUUCAUUAAAAAGAAAUGUUACAAGAAGUGAAAGGUCACUUUUUCACCACACCCCUCUUCAAAUCCGAAUUUCAUCUCAUUUUCUCUAAAAAAAAUAUAUUUCAUAUCAAUUUAAGCAAAGGGGAAUAAUAAGAGUGAGAAGAAGAAAUGCUUUCUAUACAUUUUAUUCUUUGAUAUCCUAGAAAAUUCAAGGUAGGUAGAGGUUCAUGUGUUUACUUCGUUUCAAAUUAUGAUUAUCGAUAAAUGUUUGAAUGAAAUGGUACUUCCGGCUACGAUGCUUUGGCACUGCAACAAUUUAAAUGCUCAUUCCUUGGCUCUACGUAUUAUGAUGAUGCUAUAAUAAUUGGAUUUUGCCGAAAAUCCAUCUACGUGCGAUGGUAUGAAUCUAUAGUUCGAAAUUUCUAAUUUGACAACGAAAUGCACUGAUGAUAUCUAUUGAGUUUCAAACUCAUGGGUUAAUUUCCUUCCUAUAGGUUGAAUAGAUUUUUCUUAGGGCGUAGAUGAUGAUAAAGGAUGAUACGACAUGCCAUAGAGAAGCUAGUGAUUUAAUAACUUUAGUUGAUUAUAAAAUAUUUACGUUUCCUUUAAAUUAGAUUUCUAUGGAUGUUUUGUGUGGAUUUAUUCUAUGAACACUUUUUAUAAAUAAAUUUAUCUUUGAACAUAGACAUGUGUCAUAGGAAUAAAUUUACAAACCACCAUUUACAAAAAAAAUAAUAAUAAUAAAAAUAAAAUAUGUUAGCGAUUUAAAGUUUUUCGGUCUCUAGAAAAAAAAUCAGAUUCCACCUCGUUUUUAAAAAUUCAUAACUCCUUUGUUACUUGAUAUUUUUAUACAAAACAAGUGGCUUUGGAUAGGCUAAUAAGUUAGCUAUUGAAUGAACUUGGAAUCAUGUCAAUCCGAUGUCAGUAGAAUUUUAUAUGUUGCAUAAAGUAAACUGUAUUGGGUAGAGGCUUCAUAUCCCCAGCUUCGGUCUUGAAUUCAAAAUUUCCUAACUCAACCGUUACUUGGAAUUUCUAGAUGAAACAAAUAGGAUUUGAUAGUAUCAUGGAUUAGAUACUAAAUAAAUUUGAAAUCAUGUGGCUUUGAUGUCCAUAGAAUUUUACAUGUCAUUUUAAGUGAACUGCACUGGUUUACCUUUCAACCAGGUUGCUGCUGGAUUUUGAGAAAUAUUCUAAUACCUCAUAUGAUGCCAAUGGAAGCUACUUUUUGACUAUGUAAUAUUAUAAGGAGUUUACUACUUGACAUUAAAAUUUGAUGAAGUUUCAAGAUCGAUAGCUAUACAAACGAAUAUAUUGACACUUACCCUACGAGAAAGAAAAAAAAAAACAGCUUUCUUUAGUUAGUGUUAGCAGGAUUUUGGGAAAAAAUUUAACGCCUUAUAUGUCACCGACGGAAGCCAAAUUUUGGAUAUGUUAUAUUAUAAGAUGUUCCCUACUUUUUCUUAAAAUUUUAUGAAAUUUUGACAUUGAUAACUAUGCAAACAAGUUUAUUUUAUAAUUUUAUAGUAAACUGCAUGUUAGGAAAAAUAUAAUUCUUGAGGAAUUUUUUUUCAAAACUAAAUGUUUACGUUUUCAUUAGAGUAGUUAAUUAAAUUAUUAUUUUAAAUAAUUUCUAAGUCUAACGCUAAGUUACAAUGGUUUGAGUGACGUUUAUGUUCAUGCAAGUCGUGGCAUUACAGCGUAGUAUCAGAGCACGAGUUUCAUAGAUUCUGUAGACUUAGUGAAUUUAUGAAAUGAGAAAAAUGAGUGAAUUUAUGAAAUGAGAAAAAUGAAAUAUUUAAGGCACUCCAUGACAUCUUGCAUCCAUCAGUUGACCUCAUCCGACGAACCCAAGGUAUGGAAUAAAAUAUUAUGUUCCACUUUCUUUUUCGAGCAUGAUUUAUAAAUAAUUUAAACUUGAAUCUACGAAAAAUGCUUUUGAUGUUUAGAACGAAAUAUGUUAUGUAAGUUAUAUUUUGUUUAAAUAUACAUGAAGAAAUGAUGAUUGCUCAUAAUAUUAAAACCUCAAGAGCAUAAUACAUAAGUUGAUAUCACUAAUAGAGAUAAAACAAAAUUGGACACUUAUAUGACAGACAUGUUUAGACUUAGAAAGGCUACAAUUAGUAGAGCAGUGUUGAAUCGUAGGUCCAUCAUUCAGUCCUAUGAGAACUAUGUGAUUGACCCUUCUUGUCCACUUGUUGAAUACGUACAUGACAUCUACGAGAGGUGCAUGGCAGUAGUAGACGCGGGAUUGGAGAUCAUACAUAUCGAGGCUGUGAAUAACCUCAUACAUUCACUCCUUCCUCAAUGGGGAAACAUGAGAGUCAUGGUUAGGGAUAAGAUGCUAGAAAGUAACCCUUCAGAGAACCCCAAUACAAUUGAAUUUGGUAUAUAUUGUCAUAUGUUUCUAGACAAAUGGAGUGAAAGCAUAGAACCUCAACCGGAGAUAAUAAUUGAGCCCACUGAUGAGGUUGAGCCCGAGCCCGAACCUCAGUUUGAAUCAGACCUAGAGGAAGAUCCCGAAUGGGAACAUGAGGAUGACUUUGGGUUGGAAUUAGAGAAUGAUCAUGAGCAUGAACUUGAACCAUAGGUUGAGAUGGACCUAGAGUUAGGACCUGAGAUAGAAGACUUCUCCGAAGAUGAAUCUCCACCUUAGAAAACUCGCAAGAUUCAUAGGGAUUAGAAAUUUAGAUUCCAUUUCCUUGUGAUAUCCUUUCUUUUAUGUCGUUGAAAGUAAAAAGUUAUCGAACUAUUGUAUAUCCUGAUUUCAAGGAGUACUGAAUAAAAAAAACAAUUCUGAUCAAGUUGAGAUUUUUUUUUUUAAUUUCUGGUGUUGAAAAAUGAAGUUAAUGUGAGAUAUUAUAUCUUAUCUCUAGGGAAAUGUCUCGAGCAAACCAAAACAAUUUGGUAUAGGAUCUCCUACAAACGGUUAAAGAUUUUGCAGGUUGAAUAAAAAUCCAGCUCCACCUACACCACCAGCUCGUAUUACUCUCUCGACUCAUGCCUUGGUGGUUGAGUUAUUUUGAAGGCAUGAGCCCCAUUCCUUCGAUGGAGCAUCUGGUCCACUAGUAGUUGAAGGCUGGCUUUGUAAGUUAGAGUGAAUUUUUUGACUCAUUGAUUGCAAUGAUGCCCAAAAAGUCCAAUGUGUGGAGUUUAUGUUUACCGGUGAUGCAAGCCAUUGGUGGGAUUCAAUGUCCCGAACUAGGACUCCAGAGCAGCAAUUGGCAUUAACUUAGAAACAAUUCAAGGAGGAAGUGAUGGACAAGUAUUUUCCUCAGUCUCUAAGGGAUUUCAAGGAGAAUGAAUUCUUUUAGCUCAAGCAGGAUAAUAUGUCCCUGACUGAUUAUGAGUGAAAAUUUGACCAACUCUCAAGGUAUGCUCCACACCUGGUGGACACGAAAAUUAAGAAGACUCGAAUGUUUGAGCAAGGGUUAAAUACAGAGCAACACCAUCAUACCAUGAGAUGCUGGAACGAGCUCACGUUAUUUGGUAUCAGAAGGCAAAUGCAGAGCAACACCAUCAAUUGUACAACCGGUAGGACAAAGGACAAGUUGGAAGAGAAAAUGGAAUGGUCAAGACAAAGGAAAACACAAAUGGCAAAAUAAGACGGCUAAUACUGGACCUAGUGCUAGAAUUCCCAUCUCUAUAUUAGUGAUUCUUCCAAGGAUGUGUGCUACAACAACUCUUAUAAAAGUGAGUCCUCCAAGGAUGUGUGUGACCCGUACCUCACGAGAAUUCCCAUCUCGAUAUUAGUUUAGGGUGAAACCCUUCCUAACAUCACAAUCAUAGCACUAUCACCAUAAGGAUAAACAAAAAUAAUGUAAUGCUAAUACAAGUCAUGCAUUGCGGAUUGUUCCUACCACAUUGAACCUUCUUCAUGGGAUCUAAAAUCACUUAUUCAAACUCGAGAUUUGAACAUGCGGGACAUUUCUUCAUCAAUGUCAUUCAUAAUAGGGUUAAGGAUAGUAGCACUACUGCGACUAGAUUGACCGCCUGAGUCUUCUUUAAUGACCUAUCCCCAAAAUCCACAAUUUUAGCCACUUCUUUUAUUGUCAUUUUCCUUCUCCACCACAAAACAUUUCUCAAAUCCAUUCUUACAUCGUGUGCAAAGGCGCUUCCUUUUGAAUUUGAAAAAAAAAUGGUCUUUAGCUUUACAACUAUGACAGAUUCCAGAGUUCUUUCCAGGCAUUCUACGCUGGGAAUAAAAGACAGACAACAUAUGUGAACUCAGUCAUUUUACCAAUUCAAGACAAUGCACAAAUGAGAAUUACUGUGAACAUUCAAUCGGAUAAGCUAAUAAUGAGUAAUUUUUGAAAAUGAAUUAUAAAAAUCACAGCUAAAACACUACCUAAGGAUAGCAAAUGAAUGAAGGUAUCAUAUGAGCGAACAAAGCCUUAGUGGAAGCAAGAAUUGAUAAAAUAUAUUGAUGUAAAAAAAGACUACUUGAGCACAAAAAAUAAAUGGAAGUAGAUUAACUUAAAUGCGUUCGUGCUGAUUUCCCCAUAAGAAAGGUCGUGAGGAGAUGUCAACGGAGUCACUGGGUCUUGUUGUUUGACGGAGAUCGAAGAUUCUGGGUCGUGUAAAGGUGAAACCUUUAGCCAUAGUAGGUGUGGCGACUGGAGAUGGAAGGAACAGGGAUUUCGAUUUUGGGCUUUCAAAUAUGGGGGAUACACAAGUUCUUUUUUUACCCAUUUCUCCCACUUGUACUUGGACGAUGACUUGGGAUUUUGGUCGGUGAAGGUGCGAUGGUCGGCGAAGGCGUGGUGUGACGGCAAAGAUGAAGGGUUUGGAAAUUUGGAUUCUAGAGAGAGUAGCAGCAAUCUUUAUUUUUUUCAUUUAUCAGUCGGUUGUGUCUUUUUUGUCUUGUUUAUAUUUUCUUUUGCCCUUUUCGUUUCAUUUUUUCCCCUAUAUUUCAUGUUCCAUAUUAGCGAUUUCAAAAUUGAUGCUAGCUGAGUAGCCUUAUUAAUUAACAAAUUCGUUAAGUUUACUUCAUUGCUGGUUCAGCUCCUCCUUUGCUAUCUAACUAUAAACUUAGAUUAUAUGAGAUAGAAUUUAUUUAAAUUAAAGAAAAAGAUAUAUGCUGCUAAGGUUACUACCUAAUGGAGAGUUAUAACAUUAUAAAUUUAUCGUAAAAUAAAUACCUUAUAAUGUAUUCAAGAUUUAAUAGAAUUAUAAGUAUAUUGUAAUUAACUUUAAUUGACAUGUCAAUUGUCUAGGACGUCCAAGGAACAUUACACUGCAAAACAUGGUUAGUCACAAUGAUGACAAAUUUAUAUUAAACUAGUAGUAAACACAUGUAUUGUACAUCUUAUAUACAGAAUGAAUGAUAUGAGUAAUAUUUGUAAAGUAAUGUAAUUGAUAAUGUUAAAAGAAAAAUUAAAAUUAUUAGAGAAUAUAUAUGAAUAAAAGUUUUAUGAAAUUAUGUACAUAAUUUGAAAAUGUUGAACAAAUUGAAAUAUAAUGUUUUUUUUUUUACUUAUUUGUUUAUGCUAGAUAUAGAUUGGACCCUACUUCAACCAUUAUAGCAACAUCGACCAGCUUUGUGGUAUAGACGUACACAAAGAAGAAUCAAAUUAAGAGAUGUACAUUUGACUAAAUUUAAAAUGUUUACUUAUAAGUAAACUAAAUGUACAUAAAUAAUUUUCAAAAUAAAAAAAAUAUUCAUUUUGUUUGUAAUAUAAACUUCUUUUACCUUAAAAAGUAAAAGCAAAAAAAGUAUCUUAUCUAAAUAGAUUUAGAGAAAAAUAUUACAUACUAAUCAUGCUUGUCGUAUUGAUCAAUAGUAUUUAUUUUAAAUUAAAAACAAAACUUACAUUCAAAAAUAUAAGUUUUCUUUUGAAUGGGAUUAAUAUAAAUGGGGGAAUAAAAAUUCUCCUUUUAAAUGUAUCGAGAUAAAAAUCUUUUUCUUUUCUACAUAUAUUUAUAUUUAAUAAGUAACUAGAUUACCAUCAAUUUUUAUGUUUAUACAAAAUGAUCAUGCGAUAAUAAUAAAAUUCCCAAUACUAUGUUAGUUAUUAUUUGGAACACAUAAUAUUAAUUUUCAUUAAUACUUAAAAAUUUGGUUUUAGUGAAAAAUGUGUAAUUGGGAUGCGAAGCUUGUGUUUAGUGAGGUGGAUACAAUUAUGGAAAGGAUAAGUAACUUCUAAUUAUUUGGAGUAAUUAGUAUGAUUUUUAAGAUCGAUAGAUAAUUUCUUCCAUCUUUGACACGUUCCCUCCUAAUGGUUCAUCUCAUUUUUUCUCCCCCCCCCCCUCCCCCCCAAUUUAUUGUCCUUUGUGUUUAAAUAGUUAUAUUACCUAUUAUAUUAAUGAAAUGUACAAUUUAUAAUCUUUUGAAUGAAAAUGUUGACAAUUUUAUGUAAGGACAUAAUAUAAUUAUAUAAGUAGAUGAAUGUCGAUUUCAAGUGAAGCUCACAUAUAUAAAUAAUAAAUAAUAUAAUACAUAUGCAUGUACAUAUGAAAUAAUAUUAUAAUAUCUUAAAGGUCACAUUAAUGAUAGAUUAAUUGUAGUCUCCUUUCAAGUAUAUAGUUCAUUUUUAUAUUGGAGUACUCAUAAUUUUAUAUUAAUUAAAUUAAGUUUAAUCACUUAAAAUCGAAGCUUGUCUACAUAUAUAAUUAUAUUAAAACUAUAAUAUAUAUUAAUUUAUAUUGUAAUUAAUCUACCAUUAUAUUAAUGUAACAUUUAAUAUAUUAAUUAUAUAAUUAUAAUUAAAUUACAUCUAUAUGUGUGAGCUUCAAUUUUAAUUAGUAAAUUUAAUCUAAAUAAUGUAAUUUAAGUAAUUAAACUAAAUUUGAUUAAUGUAAAAUUCUAAGUACUCUAUUAUAAAUCAAUAAGUAUUACACUUACAUGGAUUUGAAAUGAAGUUAAAUUAUAUUAAAUGGUACUAUAUUAAAUAUACGGCUAGAAUCGACAUAACUAAAUAUAUAUAAGGGUAAAGUUAAUAUUCAAAAGUUUCUCCUCAGUUUACAGUUUUAAUAUAAUGUAGAUAUAUCCUUAUGCAACAUCUUAAAUAAGUGCAAAAUUCACGAAAAAAGGUAUGGGUCGUUACAUUACGAGAAUUGUGGUAGACUUAUUCUGAGCAAUGAAGAUCCCAUCUUUAGAUUGAGUUAUCUUGAUCCCAAGAAAGUAGUGCAUCAACCCUAGAUUAGUCAUCUCAAACGUUUUCAUCAUGUCUUGAAUUUCUCGAUCAUCUUUUCAUCGUUUCUUGUAUAGAUGGGAUCAUCAAUAUAUAGAGAGAUUAUGAUUGUACUAUUUCUCUCUUGAUUUUUGAUGUAUAGAGUUGGUACCUUUGACUUUCCUUGAAUCCCUGCUCAGUGAAGUAGUUGCUUGCUUUAUUGUACCACACUCGUAAAGCUUGCUUUAAUUUAUAUAUUGCAUUCUUACCACAGGGAGCUUGCUUUAAUUUAUAUAUUGCGUUCUUUAGUCUAAGUACUUUGUCUUUUUGACCUUGUUCUAUGAACCCUUGAGGUUGUUCUACAUAAAUUUUUCUUCAAGAUAGCUAUUGAGAAAUGGUGAUUUAACGUCUAGUUGGUAAAUCUUCCACUUCUUCUUCUUCUCUGCGACUAGUGUUAUAAGUGCCUUUAUAGUGUCAUGACUCAUUGGUGUGUGACUGGAGCAAAUAUCUCAUUGUAAUUGAUGUCGAACUAUUGUAUGUAUCCUUCACAACUAGUCUUACUUUGAGCUUUAAGAUUGAGCCAUCAACAACACCUACGACAUUUUUCUCUCAAGGAAGAUCUAUGAACUCACAAUUAUUGUUUUCUUGAUCAUUUUUAUUUCUUCGUCUACUAUUUUUAUCCAUUCUAGUUGUUUUGAAGCUUCAUCAUAGCUUUCACAUUCUACAAUCAACAAGUUGUACUUUUGGUAUAUUUAUGAUAGACUUCAAGUUUCUCUUGGCCGCGAUUUUGGUAUGUUAAAUGGUCCUUCUAUCGUUGCUUGUUGUGAUGACUCUUGUUUGCUGUUUUCCCCGACGUCAUCAUCUUGCAUUUUGUGGUUGUGUUAGGAUGCUAACAGCUUUUUUGUCAGCUUGACUAGUAUCAUGGUUGUAGGAGACAUCUUUGUCAAAUUUAAUAUCCUGAUGUAUAAUAAUUAAGUCCUUUGUUCUCAAGUAGUAGACUCGAUAGCUUUUAGAUUGAGUGUCAUAACCUAAGAAGAUUAGCAUCUCUAUCUUUUUAUCUAGGUUACCUCUUUUUUUUUUUGGGGAAUGUGUGUGUAGCGAUGCAGUCGAAAACUUUGAGAUGGUCUGCCGAUGGUUUUUGCCCUUUCCAUGUUUUUACUAUUGUUUGUUGGACAUCGAUUUAGCAGGUAGAUUGCGGUGCUUAUUGCUUCUACCUAGAAAGCUUUUGGAUGAUUUUUUUUCUAGUAACAUAGCUUUCGUUCGUCUCCAUUAUGGUUAUGCUAUUUAUUUUUGAUAUGCUAUUUUGUUCAAAUGCAUGAGUUGAUGCUCUAUUCCUUCAUCUUCACUGAAUUUGUUGAAUUCAUUUGAUGUCCAAUCUUUGCCUCUAUCACUUCUAAUCGUCUUGAUAAUGCAACAGCUAUGCUUUUUGACAUAACUUUCGAACUUUUUGAAAAUCUCAAAAAACUUGGAAGUAUUUGUGACAUAGCCAUGACUCAAUCACUUGCAACGUCAUUGCCUCAUUAUUUGCAUAUCUCCAUUGAAUUGGAAAGCAUCUUUUUCCCUUUUUUUUUUAUUUUUGAAAUUAUAAGAGAUUUAUCUUUCAUGUCAUAUAUUGUGUAAUAAUCUCAUUCGAAAUGUAAAGUGUAUCCCUUCUUCAUGAUUUGAGCUAGGCUUAGUAGAUUCUAAUAUGUUGUAGAGACCAAGAGAGCUGCGUUGAUAUAUCUCUUGACCUUUUUUGUAUCAAAGUCAAUAGUACAUUUAUAUGUUGCCUCCAUGAAAUCACCAUUAUCAAAUUUAAUUUUUACCUUGAUUUUAUCAAGUCAACAGAAAAUACUUUCAUCAUAUAAUUACUACAACUACUAUCCAAAUACCAUGUAUCUAGUUUCAUUUAGAUACAUCUUCGCUGGAGACAUAGAAGAGAUUUCCUUCUAUAUCUUUUUCUUCAGAGAAAUUGGCUUAAUGAUUUUGUUUAAAACAAUAGAAUUUUUCUUUGUGUUUAUUUUAUUUUGUUAUUUCAGCAUUAUGGUUUUCCUUUAGACAAAUAAUCCUUCUCCAAAUAACUUUUCUUUUACAAAUGCCAAGUGCAUGAUACUUGUCAUUAUUAUCCACUUAUUUUUCUUGAGUUUCUAGAUUUUGUUUGAAUUUUCUUCCACCUUCUUUAGAUUUUUGAGACCGCAUAUUAAUUUUAGAUUGAAAAGCAUUAUUUGGGUCAAUUUUAUAAUGCCUUUCUAAUAUUUUCUCAAGAGCUUCUAUGGAUCUCAUUUACUGUAGGUGUUAAUUUAUCUAUAUCUUUAGACUCAUUAAAAUUUUUCUGACAAUUUUCCUUUUUAGGAAUAUCUCCUUAAUAAGUUCUUACUUGAUUCAUGAUUUUAUAUACCACUAAAUAAUAAUCUUUUGCAGUUUCAGAAUCUUUUAGAAAUAUCUCUUAGUAUAAUGACUUUAAAAAACUUAUAGAGAAAGGUAUCUUAGAUGGUGUAAUGGCUUCAUACCAAGUAUGUUGAAGAAUGAAAACCCUUAAAAGAAUUUUUUAUAUUAGAUGGUCUAAUGGAAUCAUAUCAAAUUCAAACUCACUCGUUAGGAAAAUAAACUGUAGCGUUGUUUCUUUUGUAAAGUACAACGAAACAUUCACUACAUUAUUGCCAGCUAUACUAAAAAGCAUAAUAGGAACCAAGCAGCAAGAUCAUGUAAGGGUAAAAUGAAAAAAUCUUAGAGAAGCAAUUACCAAAAAAUUUCUAAUGUCAUGAACAUUGGAUCAAGAACCAAAUAAUUCUUAUAGUAGCUAUUAUUGUAAAUCUUCUUAAAGAAGGAAUGCAAAAAGCUUCAGUAUAUUGAUGGGUAUUAAUAUAGGUGUCCUUCCAUGCAAGCACACUCAUCAUGGAAAAGGCCAAGAUGAAGAUAAAAUGGAGCUCACUCAUCAUGGAAAAGGCCAAGAUGAAGAUAAAAUGGAGCUCGGCCUUUUCAAUUAGGGCCUCCAUCCAAUCUAUUUCUUUAUAUCAUCAGACUAUGAUAGUUAAACUUCCCUUCACCUUUGUUUACACAUAUGUCGAUGAAAUCCCUCGAGAAAUCUUGAUUCCGAGCUUAGAAAACAACCAAACCAACACCAGUUUACCUCAGCUGAACCCAAAAUUUUCACACUUGAUUACCACAACUUUCCUUCCACAAAGGAGACUAUGGUGGUGGUAUAUGCAAUCCACAAAGGAAGGAGAAAGAUGAAGAAAGCCACCAAAAACACUCCAAGCUCUCUAACUUCAAAGAAAGACAACUUUCUCUCUCUUUUCUUCUCUUGUUUUUUCUCUUGCAUACUACAAACACACACGGCUGCUAGAAGAGAUGGGUGUAUAUAAAGCCAAACCACUUUGGUCACUCAAUUGGGCCAAGACUUAUGCAAAUGGGUUGAACCUAAACUAAUGGCCUAUUAUCCAAGUCCAAACUCACCACUAAAUGGUCCAACUAACCAAAAGACAAUCAGCCCAAACUUGGGCCAUCCAAAGGUAUAGGUCAUUUUCGAGUUGAGUCAAGUCCAUGGUGUCGAUAAAUUAUCCGAUAAUUGUUUUAAAUCAUAGUCUGAAUUUAUUGGGUAUCAAAAUCCAACAAAUCUCCACCUUGAUGCCCAAUAAAUCUACAAGCAAUCAAAACACAAAGUUUAUACUUGUAUAAUCAAGGUAACCAACAAAAUUGGAUCACAAACUUUACCUUGUGUUUCUAACCUGAAACACAUACCAUACCUAUUCCAUGUACUCAUCCGAGCUAAGGUCACGAAUACCCAAGUAGAAACAAAUAUUCAACAGAAAACAAUCAAGAGCAAGUACAUAAGUGAUGACGAUAUAAUAUAGGAUAACACAAACAAAUUUUUUCAGAACCACAAAUUAACACUAAGUCAAUCAAACACACAGUCAAAUAUAUAUGCAACAAAUCCAUAAAUGAAUCACGAAAAGAUCUCACCAUACUUAUCCUAUCCCAUUCUACAUUGCUCACACCUAGAGAACACAUAUCUCUUCUCAUCGGCAACUAUGCUCACUAGACUGAUAACUCAACCCAUGUCUAACUGGUAAAUUACAAUAGAUUCUAAGUUCUUGGGAUAAUCAUUUAUCACCACAUCACUUCUCCCAACCCGUAUGGAUAAUGGGUACCUCUUUCAUACUUCACCUGUACAGCGUCUCUUAGCAGAUAAAAGAUUCCAACAUUUAAUCACCUCUCUACUCGUGAUCCAAAUGUCACAUUCCACAUCCCCCAUACAUAUCAACAAUGCACCUUUAGGCAUCUAUACUCCACCUUACCAAUAGACACUCAACAUACUGCUAAUGCAUCUCAAACUCACUAUGGCAAAUUAAUAUUUUUUGGCUACCACAAAGGCUACGGCUGAAUUAAAAUUUACCCAUGCACCACAAGGUUACUCCAAUCACCAAUGCUCAAAGAAUCCACAAAGGAAAUGGCGAAGGUGGCACUCGUAAAGGGAAUAGAAGAAAGAGUUGGUUACUUUACUACACUCACAAAAGAAGUUCACAAAGAGAAAGAAUAUAACCUUACAUGGCUGCCUCAAACAAUCUCAUAAACCACAUAGGCUUACAAAGAUAAAAGGAGAAAAUGGCUGCCCAUCUUUCUUCUCACUACCACACUCUCACACCACUCACAGAGUAAAUGGAGUAUGCCACAGAACUCAAUCCACUAUGCAUGCAAACACAUUUCACAAAGUAACAAAAUCACUCUAAUUAAGGUAAUUACACACAUCAAAUACGUCGAAAGUGUAGCAUAUCAACAUUGCAAUAAAAUUAAGUGAUCACACACAUGCAGAAAGGAUUACACACAUGUACAUGCAGUAACCUAGUUUACUCUCAAUAAAACUCACACAGGUCAUCACUCAACCUAAUGACGAUAUUCGCCUCACCUCUCCCCUUAUCUUUCCUUUAAUUAUCAUUCGUAGGACAACCUAUCUCACCAUGUCCAAAUUUUACCACAGUCAAAACACAUUUUAUUUUUCGUUCUUGCCUUAGACCUAUACAUGCCAUCAGUACCAAAUAAUGACCACAAGCAAAGUAUAAUGCACAUAGAAUGAUCAAAUAAACUUUCCUAAGGUCACAUGCAAUUCUAACAGUGUAGAAAAAUUGGCAACAAAUUUAUAAAAAAAUUAAGGCAAAUAAUUCCUAGUUUUAGCAAUAGGCAAUGGUUACCCUUUCACAGUAACCCAAACCUAAUGACACCCCACAUGAUGACUUCUAAUACGAAAAAUAAAUUAUUAGCCUACACAAUUAUUUUAACAACAACAAUAAAAAGUAAAGAACAUGAUAUCGAAGGGACCACGUCUAAAGGUCUGUAAAUAUUGAGAGACACGAAUUCACCACUUUAGGAUUAUCAUUGUUCAUCCUAAAGUCACCAGCAAUCGUAGCAACACAAAAUGGCAUUUGACACCUGAACAUCCAAGGGCAAAAUUGUCCAACUUUCACUGCAUUGCUCAAAACUGAAAUCCAGAAACACCACAGGGUCCGUCUCAUCAUCGACAACAUUCUAUAUUUUGAGACCAUCCCCUGACUCCAUCGGACGGGCCUGUAUAUGCCUUGCCGGCGUCUCCACACGUCAACGUUGGCGUCGGUGGCCACGUGCCAUCCUUCUGGCUUUGUUUCCACCUGCACAGUCCACCAAUGGUGUCCGUUUCUCCAAAUUCUUUUUGGGUACUUGAAAAAAGAUUGUAGAGUGAAAAACACCCAACAAGCAAAUUGUGCAGUCAAAAGGGGGGUAAAUCAAGCAUCUCAAGUUCAAAUUUCUCCAACUAUCAAGGAAGUCAAUAGUUGUUGGAUAGUGGAUGUUGUAAUCAUGUGACCUCGGGUGAAAGUAUCUUCAUUGACAUGGAGAAUACAAAUUCAAUAGUGAGAUUGGGAAAAUGAAUAAUUGGAGUUGAAACGAAGAUUCAAGACUUAUUCAGGAUGUUAUGCAUGUGUUGGAUUUGGAUCAAAAUCUACUAUGUAUUGGGCAGCUUCUAGCACAUGGUUUUUUUAUACGUUAUGAAGAUGAUGCUUGUGUCAUUCAUCACAAAAAAGGCUAGGAAUUUGUUCAUAUCAAAACUGAAAAUUAAGAAUAGAAGUUGAUUGAUAAAGCUUAUCGAAUGUUGGCUUAUGACUCAUGGUUAUGGGAAAAAAAGACUUCGUCAUUUGAACUUUCAAGGGCUGAAACAAAGACCAGAGUAGAAAAACAUGGUGUAGGAGCUUCCAAAUAUUGAGAAAAAAAAUCUGAAAUUUGUGAGGGAUGUGCACUUGAAAAGCAUCAUUGGCAACUGUUUCCAAAAGGAGUAGCUUAUAGAGUAAAAAGGCCACUUGAAUUGAUGCAUACAAAUGUUUUUGGACCGAUACAUACACCAUCUCAUUCUCAAGAUAGGUAUGUCUCUUUAUUGAUGAUUUUAAAAGAAUGUCUUGGGUUUACUUCAUGAGACAAAAAUUUGAAGUCUUUACAAUUUUAAAAAAAAAAAAAUUCAAGAUUUUUGUAGGGAAAAAGUGGUCAUUUCAUAAAAGUUUUGAGAAGUGAUAAUGGUAUGGAGUAUAAUUCAAAGGAAUUUGAUAAUUUUUGUCAAGAUAAAGGUGUUGAAAGACAAUUAAUAGUUGGAUAUACUCCACAACAAAAUGGAAUACUAAGAGGAAAAAUCAAACCCUAGUAGAGAUGGCAAAGGCUAUGUUACAUGAUGAAAGGCUUCCAAAAGUUUUCUGGGCUGAAGUGGUAUACACAGUAGUUUAUUUGUCAACAUGAGUACAACAAAGGCCAUAUGGAACAAAUUACCAAUGGAAGCUUGUAAUGGAAGAAAACCAUUGGUGAAGCAUUUAAAAGUGUUCGGAUGUAUUUGCAAUGCUCAAGUACAAAAAGAGAAGCGAAACAAGCUUGAUGAGGCAAGCUUGUAUUAAAUUUUCAUUUUGCUCACAAUCUAAAGGCUAUAAACCGUACAACUUGACGAUCGAGAAAGUGAUUGUUAGUCAUGAUGUAUUGUUUGAUGAGAUUGCCAUUUGGAAUUUGGAAAAUGAAGAAGUGCUUGAAAGAAAUAUUUCCAUCCUAAUUGUUUUCCUCAAAAUUCAUUCAAUGAUAAUGUGGAAAAUGAAGAAAAUGCAAGUCAACCAAGCUUAUCAUCAUCAUAAUCAUCAUCAUCACCAAAUAGUCAAAUACGUUCCUCUAGUUCAAGUUCAUCAUCACCAACCUCAACUCCAAGAGAAGUGGAGGAUUUGAAUGAUGUUUAUGCAAGAUGCAAAUUUUGUGUGGUUGAAGUAAAAAAAUUUGAAGAAUCCAUGAAGGAUUAGUGUUGGAAAAAGGGCAAUGGAGAAAGACAUAGAAGUAAUUGAAAAACAAGGCUUGGGAGUUAGUUGAAAGGCCAAAACAGAAAGAUGUGAUAUGUGUAACAUGGACCUACAAGGUGAAGCAUAAUUUGGAUGGAUCAUUCAAGAGAAAUAAAAUAAAUUAGUGGUGAAAUGGUAUGUACAACAACUCGAGAUUGACAAUGAUGAAACUCUUGCCAUCAGUUGCUCAUCUAGAUACCUUAAGAGCUCAUAGCUCUUGUAGCCUAAAAAUGUUUGUUAUUGUACCAACUUGAUGUUAAAUCAGCAUUUCUAGAUAGAGAACUAAAAGAAGAUAUGAAUGUUAAACAACCUCAAGGUUUUGUUGCAAAUGGAAAAGAAGGCAAAGUGUACAAGUUAAAAAAGGCUUUGCACUGUAUCAAACAAGUAUCGAGGCAUAGUAUAGUCAAAUUGAUGGCUAUUUCAGAACAUAAAUUUCUCAUAUGCAAAAGUGAAUCAACCUAGUACAAGAAACAUCAAGGUAAAACUGAUAUACUUAUUGUUGCAUUAUGUGUUGAUGAUUUGGUGUUUACUGAAAACAAUGCAAAAAUUAUUGAAGAAUUUAAAGUUGACAUGAUGAAAAAUAUGGAAUGAAUGAUUUAGGGCUGCUACAUCAUUUCCUUGUUAUAGAAAUAUAUCAAGAUAGAAAUGCAAUGUUUAUUUCUGAAAUGAAAUGUGCUGAAAAAGUUCUUAAAAAAUUCAGAAUGUUUGAAUGUUAAAGUGUUGAAAAUUCACUUGUUUGUAAUGAGAAAUUGAUGAAGGAUGGUGGAGAAAAGAAAGUGGAUUAAACUCUUUAUAGAAGCUUGAUUGAAAACUUGCUUUAUCUUAUCGCUACAAAAUUGAAUGUCAUGUAUGCCGCAAUUUUAUUUCCAAGGUUCAUGAAUAGUCCAAGCCAUAAGCAUUUUGUUGUUGGAAAAAUAUUUUUGAGAUUUAUAAUUUGGACAAUUAAUUUUGGAAUCGGAUUUGAGAAGAAGAUAGAAGUGAAGUAAAAAGGUUUUUAUGAUAGUAAUUGGGAAAAUUGUGUAUCAUGAAGAGCACAUCAGGUUCUGCACUUUCUCUUGAUUCGAGAGUAUUUUCAUGGCUAUCCAAGAAGCAACAAAUAGUUGCACAAUCCUACGCUAAAGCUGAAUAUAUGUCAACCUCAAUUGCAACAUCACAAGUCAUUUGCAUAAGAAAAAUUUUAGAAGACAUUGGAGAAGCAUGGAGAAGCCACACCAAUAUAUUAUAACAACAAAUCAGCUAUUGCGAUGUCAAAAAAUCCAGUUUUUCAUAGUCAAACAAGACACAUUGCAAUCAAGUACCACUUAAUUCGAGAUGCAAUUGAAGAUGGAGAAGUAGAACUCAACUAUUGCAAGUUCGAAAAAUGAUCACAAGGCAUUUCCAACAUCAAGAUUCCUACAAUUGAGAUGAGCACUUGAAGUUGAAGAAAAACACAUUAACGGGGAGAAUGUUGAUAUGCAAUGUGUUUUUAGUAGAAAAGUCAUCAAACGAAUGAGGACUAAAAAUGUAAUAUGUUUUAGAGUUCAUAUAAAUUGCAUUGUAUGCCCUAAGUUGUGUAAUGAAAAAUUGUGAAGGGAAUCUUGGAAAGAAAGAAAAGUUCUCCUUUCGAUCUUUUUUCCCCUAUUUUCAAUAGCAAGUAAUAUGUUGCAGUAAUCUUUUCUAGCAUUCAUACUGCCCUGUUUUCGUUCUGCUAAUUAAAAUCAACUAGUUUCAUAUAGGUGAAACUACUGUUGAAAUUGAAUUGCUCUUGUUCCAUACUCGUGAAACCAGUGUAGUUCUACUAAAAACUGUAAUCUCAGGCAACAAGUACUUAUUACAAUCUUCUUAGAGAAUAACAAUGAACAGCCUCCAUUUUCAAGAAAAUCAUGAACACAGAUCAGGCUUCCCUGAUAAAACCUGUAAGAUAAUCCCUGAUGAAAUGUUACGUGGCAUCAAUCAAAACCACUAGUAUUACGUGAUGGUCAUUAUGAUUGUGUUCAACAACAUAAAUUUCUUAGAUUUAACCAAGAUCUAUUAGCGAAAUUCUUAAUUCGUUCAGUCGAGGAUAAAAUUGGUAGCUCCACCAUCAUAAAAGUUAUAUUUGCUCAAAAAUCUAUAAUCUUCAUGUCCAUUUGCAAUUUAGAAUCACUUGAAGUGCAUGAAGAAUUGAGUAAAUUUUGAUAAAAGUAAAACAAUAUUUUCUCGUACUCCUCUAACCACCUUCAUACCAGAUCUAAAGACUGAAGCCUCAUUCAACAUAAGAUCUCAAGACCUCCGCCCGUUGCAAUAGUAAUGCUCCCUCUACUAGCUGUCUACACCACCAAAGUUGCAUCAUUUGCUUAAACGGUAUUUCAAUUGUUCGAAGAAUCCAACCAGUACACCUGUUUCCUUGGUCAAUCGAUUGACAGUAGACCGUGCUAUUCCUACAUAUUUUUUUAGAUGGUUUUUGAUCUAUGACCAAUCGAUUUUGUACCAAUUCGAGAUUCUUUGGACUGAAUUGGUCGAUUCGAUCUGAUUUUCAGAACAUCAGCUAUUAUCCACUAAAUAUGUAAUCAAAAUAAAUAUUAUAAUCAAUUAUAAAACAAAAAAAAAAGGAAAAAAAAACUUUUUUUUUUCCUUUUUUCACCUUCUGAUUAAAACGUAUGACUGAUGUAUACGAAGUCCCCUCGUUGCUCCAUUCAUCAUUCGGGACCAAAAAAUGCGGUAGAGUUGCCAUCCCUAUAUAACACAACCCGAAUUUCUUGGCACGACACAAUAAAACAAAGGGCCAACCGUGUUAAUUAUCAAUCAUGGGUCCUAUCCUUAAUGUUAGCCGUUCGUAUUUUUAUUUUUAGAUAAGUAUAAAACAAUCAAUAUAAAAGUGCAACAUAAUAUUUUGCCCCCAUUUCUGACCAAGCUUAUGGAAUAUUUGAACACAAGCCUUUAAAAGUGACCAAAUAUGCCAAUUAAUGGAAAAUUUGAAGAUAAGAUCGAUAAAAAAAUUAUAGGAACAUAAAUGCAACAGUAAGAAAAUUUAGAAACCUGUAAUGCAAAUAAAAAGUGAUUCACUAGCAGAAACACAUUUAUGGUAAUAUAAUCAUUCUCGUCAUAAACCUCAUAUAAAAUGAGUAAUUUUUUAAAGUAAUUUACCCCAUUUUAAGGUGAUUGUGUUGUACGAAAAGCUUAACACUUAUUACACAUACAAGCAAAAUCAUGAUUUAAACCUAUUUUUGCACACUUAAUAAAUAUUAUAACUAAUCAAUCGAGAUAAGGCUUAAAUUCUAGCUCAUUAAAUCUAUAAAUAAUGCCAUCACAAUUGUUAACCUAACUGGCAUAAUGAUGAACUCAUAAUGUCCGUAAUGCAUUCUCAAUGCUGUCUUUGGAAUAUCACAAUUCCUAAUAUUGAGUUGGUGAUAACUUGACCAUAAAUCGAUCUUAAAGUAUACAUUUGCACCUCUCAAUUGAUUGAACAAAUUGUCAAUUUCUAAAAAGGAGGUAGGUAUUCUUAAUACUCAAGUAAUUUAAAUUUCUAUUAUUGAUGCAUACCAUCAUCGAUUCAUACUUCUUGUUUUCAAAAGGCAUUACACUCCUAAACGAGCCACUAUGGUCAAAUUAACCUUUUAGUCGAGCAAUUUCUACAAUUUUAUUUUCAACUCUUGCUGCUCUUAUGGAGCCAUUAUGGCCAUUCUAUAUGGUGUUUUAGAUAUGUUGCUACUAUGUGGAAUAAGUCAAUCAAGAACUCUAUUUGUCCAUUUAAUGUGUCAUAGAAAUCAGUAAAAGCAUGAGCUUAUCUUAUCAUAUAAAUGAUUGCACGGUCUUAUGAAAAGAAUGGAAAGGAGUUAAAAGAAAAUUCUCCCCCGUACUAACGAGUCUUGAGAUUGGCUAUCUUUUUAAAUCUACAUCUUGAUAAGUUACAGCUUCGAUGACUUUUUGUUUGAACAUAUGGGUAAUGGGUCGCCCAUAUGGGGUGACCUGACCCGCAAGAUUUCAUAAAGGGUAGGAGGGAAUGAUUUGAAUUUGGAAUUUAUAUCUGCAAUUUCUCAUAAUCUCAUUUUAACUCCCAUAUAACUUCCAUUGAUGAUGAUAUUGAAAAUGUGGACAAAAAAGAUGGCAUGAAAAAAAAAGGUGAAAUUUUGUAUGAAAAUUGACAUCAAAAUUGAAAAGUCUCUAGAACCAUGUCUUUUACAUUAAAUCUCACGAAAAAUGGCAUUUAGAUUGUGAAUAAUAAUCUCUUCCAUUGUCAUUGGAGUUGAGACCAUUGGAGAAUACGAAAAUGCAGAUUUUGGAGCUUUGGAAUGCAAGGUGAUUCAACCACACAAAAAGAUCUUGGAAUUUAUCAUUUCAAAUAAGUUUCUUAAAUCGAAAUUCAUGUUAAAGUAUGCUACGAAUUAUUAUUGAUAUCAAAGCCAUAAGGUUGAAUUCCUUAUUAUAAUUCAUGCUUAAAUAUGCCAUUACAUGAUACAAUUUGGGUUAUGAAUCUUGUCUGCAAAGUUUUGAAACCCUAUGUAGUAUUUAGUGGCAUCAUUUGAUAAUUUAUUGCCAUCUGUUCGUUCAUCUUCAUGCAGUAAGAUUAGUAUGGUUAUCUCAUAACCUUUCCAACCAUAUAAAAAACUCAAAUUUUGGACUUAAAACGAAGAAGUUAUAAGGUUUUGAAAUUUGGAUGAUAAUUUGAAUUUUAGGCAUGAAACUUGAUAAAAUCCUGAUAUUCAUCACGUGAUAACUUUUUAUACGUUAAAAGAAAUGAAAUGGUUUCCAUUAUUCAUUUGGUAUGGUUGGAUAGAUCUUCUUGAGACCUUUCCAACGAUAUGAAUAUCAUUCAUUUUGGGCUUAUAAUGAGAAAGUUAUGCCUUCCCGAAGUUUGGAUGAGAAUCUAUUUUUGUAUAAAAAUUUGUAACAUCGAAAACUUCAUCACAUGAUAACUUCUUUCGUACUGUGUUUCAUGAUGCCCAUUUGGUAUUUUGGAUAGAUCUUCUCAAGACCUUUCCAAUGAUAUAAAGAACAUAAAUUUUGGCAUUGGAAUGAAGAAGUUAUAGGUUCUCGAAGAAUUGAUAAAAACCUAGAAAUUCUAUUCGUUCUAUUUUAAGGGCUUGUUUGGUAGUGAUUUUGAGAAUGAUUUUUUGACCGUAGAGAGAAAAUUGGUCCUACCUAUGAGAGAAGAAGUAAAAAAUAACGGCUGACAUAGUGAAUUAACGGUAAAAAAAAUUGAUUUUUUGAGAGAAAAAGCACUACCAAACAUGCUCUAAGGAUGAACAAUAGUUUUUUCCCCUUUUUUUGGUCUCGGUCUAAUCUGUUUGGAUCCAGAACAUAGUCUUCAAAGUUGAUAUGUAAAAUCGAACCACACAGAUGAACUCAGAACUUUAAAAUUGAUUGAAGAGACGAAUCAACGAAAUUUUUUCCAUUGGAUAAGUGCUGUGAAUGGGUGUGUAGUAGGUGUUCACCACCCCACUUUCAAAAAAAAAAAAAGUUGAAAAGUCAAAUAAAACUGUUGUUUGACUUUUCAAAUAGAAUUUACAAAUUUACAAAUUAGUCCCUCGAAUAUUCUUGAUUUUUUUCUUAUGUGCAAUUAACAUUAAUUUUCAGAUAAUAAAAUUUUUUUUUGGACUGGAUUAAAUUAUGAAAUUUUUUAUAAAGAUCAAGAAUAUUUGUUAAGUGGUAUUUGUCUGAGGUUUCUUUUUUUUUUUUUUUAAGUGUUUCAUAUUUAAAUGAAAAAUAAUCUGAAGGUAUUUAAAAUACCAAAUUUUAUAUACGUUCAUGAGUUGUGUGGGUCUUGAUUAGGUUAUGUGAUCCAUUGUGACUUAUUUCCAUUUUUUUUGCUCGAUCAGAUUUGCCUAAAUCUACGUACAUUUAUAGUAUUGCAUUAUAAAAUGGAUCACAUUUAUAGUGAAAUUAAAUUUAUGAUAGUGAAAUAAUAGGAUUGCGAACGAUGGAUGGGAACAUAGUGAACUUUCGAAUCUGUGCCUAAUGUUGAACUAUUAUAGACGUUAAUUUGCGUUAAUGUAAAAUUAAAUAUGUGCAUAAAUGGGAAAUGGUUGAGAAUAAAAUGUCUCGAAAAAUCUGAUAGAUCUUGGCAUCAAAAUUUAUAAUAGGUGACCUUAAUAAAGGUAAUAAGCUAACUGCGAUAACAUUUGGCAUGAUAAGAUUUUGAGUGUACUGGAAUGAUAUAGUGCUUUAGAGAGAAUUAACCACACAAUAAAAAACCCUAUGCAGGUUAUACUACUCUAGAGAAUAAAGAUCAGAACUUUAUUAAGCACGAGAAAAUAUAGAUUCUAGUACUUGAACAUUUGAAUUGUUAAGUUAUGAUAAGAAUGACUUUUUUUCUCGAAUGUGACUUAGCUGAUGGUUAACAAAGUGUUAACAUUUUCUUGGUCACAUUAUUUUUAGAUGAGUAGUAAGUUCAAACUAGUCUCUUCUCAAUAUAUGAGAACUUUGAAGGUCAUUGUAACUUACAAAUUGAAGUGUCAAUUUUCUAUAUUGACACUAUCCCCUAUGGGAGUAAAAAGACAUGUGACUUGAUAUUGCUGAGUCUCAAGGACAUGCUUGUGUAGCAAUGUUCUAGCUUGCAUAAGAUUCAAGUCGUUGCUAAGUCUCGAGGGCAUGUUUGUGUAGCAAUGUUCUAACUUGCAUAAGAUUUUGAAUCUUAAGCACUAAAUGAGCUAGAACAAAUACAGGAUAGAUUAGGAGACUGAAAAAAGGGACCAAAAAGAACAUAUCGGAUAGUAAAUGAAUAAAAAUGGUUUUGGCAGAGGAUCAAUGUUAUGACGGUUCAAGUGCUUCAACUAUACAAUUUUAAUCUCUUAACUAGAAAGUGGUUAAGCUGAAGGCUCUUGCACUUGAAUAUAUUCCUCUCAGUAUUGUUUACGUGUCAAUACUAUACAUAUUGGAUCUUAUCUUAUGUGGAUAGUGGAUUCAAGGGUUAAAAAUCCACUUUAUAUGAGAUCAAAAUGUAUAUUAUUCUAUUGUGGAGACUUUGACUCGAUACAGAGUACAUAUAUACAAAUAAUGAAGAUGGGAUGGAUGUUUAUAUAACUGAUACUACAACUUAGUGUUGCAAAGUGGAGAAACUGACCUCCGAUUCGAUAUUAAGAUAGUAUGAAAAAACUCCACUAAAUUUGAUCUCAGUUAUUGUUCUUCGAAGAGUGGUCUCUUACUUGAACUUGUAUGUGGUAGUUCUAUUCGUACUCACAGUGGUAAUGUUUAUUAUAGUUCUGGAUAUUUGUACAUUGGAUUGAGGUUUUGAGUUGAGAAAAUCAUUCAAAACUGUAAGAGCUAAAUUUCAUAGAAUAAAUCGAUCUAAAUUUCUUUGCGGGCUAUGAUUAAGAGAGAUAGAGAUGAAACUUCACUUUUCAUUUUAUUUAUAGAUUGACUCACACAUUUCAGAUAUGCGUCUGAUUUUCUUAAAUUGAAUAUAUUGUAUUGGUUUAGACUUUUCUAAAGUCGAGUAGAAAACCAGAUUGUGGAAGUGAAGACUUUGAGAAUUAUCUGAUGGCGUGAAUCUCUAUCACGAGAUAUCAAUGAUCUAUGUAAUGAAAGGGAUUCUUAUUUGAUAGACUAUUCCUUAAUUGACUGAAUGAAAUAUUGCUGAAUAUGAUGAGGUUAGAGAUAUAUAGUCCAACUUACAUAUUUGCUUUUGGAAAGAGAGUUGGCUAGCUACAAUGUAUCAGCUAAUGGAGUUCUCUCAAUGUUGGCACCUUCAGAAUAUAUAAGUUUUGGACAUGUAUACAACCAAACAUGGGUUAUCGUAGACUCGUAAUGGAUUAUACAUGUUCUCGAUAAUGAGUUUGGGAACAUGAAUCUAUUAAGAAUGAGAUGUGUCUCGAUAACAUACAUGGAGUCCAAAAAAAGGUAUUUAAGUGAAAUUUUUUACGGAUAUUGAGUCACAAGAUGUGACAUUUGAUAUUUUUCCCAGUAAGGGAGAAAAGAUUGGAGAAUAUCGUUGAAAUUGAUAUUAUAAGUAUUGAUGAAUUAGUUUUGAAUAUAUAAAAGUUAAUUCAAACUUCUGAUUCAAGUGGGAGUAAUCUAUUUUCGAGUUGGACCUAUCUAUUUGAAUGGGAGCUAUCAAAAACUAUCUAAUUUCUAUGACUCUUGGUUUCGAGUAGGAGCUACGAUAUAUUUAAUAUCAAAGAUUCUUAGUUUCGAGUGGGAGCUAAGAUCUAUUUAAUGUCAAUGAUUUUUGGUUCAGAAAACCAAUGGAGAAUCUUGAGAAAAGUGAUGAAAGUAUAUAUAUGGAGUAUAAAAUUUCAACCCAAUCUAGGAUAUGAUAGAAGUUCUAUUUGGACAUUGUGUUUUUUGAGAACAUUCAGAUUCUUGAAAACUAAGUGAAAAACUAAUGAGUUUUUGAUAAAUAACGCUUAUCUCUUUGAAAAAGGGGUAUACUCAAUAUGAGUCUAUUGAGUUAGAUAGCAAUUUUUUCAUAACAAUGGGAUUUGCUUCUGUACGUCUAUACUAGUCAUGAUAGUAUGUUUAAAUUUAGAUUUACACCAAAUAGAACCAAAGACUGUAUUUUUAUUCUCAAUUGAGAAAUUAUUAAAGAGGUCAACAUGAAUCGUCUUGUAAAUUUCAUGUUAAAAGCUUUUUUUUAGUAUUGUAGUAACUUUAUAGUUACAUGCAUGGUCUACUACUGUCAUCUUAAGAGUCGUACUUGAGUUUUUAAUAGGGUUAAAUCUCAUACAAGAAUUUCGUCAUAUGGAAGAAAAUUACUAUAUUUGUGUAAAGGUCUAUCUGAUGGUAAGUUGUAAUUCUAAUUCUGAUGUUAUAUUGGAUUGGUUAAGCAUGAAAAGGAAUGUAUAUAGACCAUUUUGAAAUAGUUGUCCUCGAUUUUUGAGACAAAGGAUGUGGAUUUAGCAGAUAGCAGUAUACUAUGAUGUAUACUUUCCAUAACAUUGGUCAUGUCAUGGAUCUAGUUAGUAGGUAUCAAUAUUAUAUUUAGAAAAUGUAUUGUGAUACCUGAAGGGUGCUGCUAUCAUUUAUCCUAUUUCAUCGCCAAAGGAAUCACUUGUGAUUGGAAUAGAUAUACAAUUGUCAACUAUGAAUGAGAGUAAGUCGAACACAAUUAGUUAUUAAACUUGUGCACUCUUUCUAUAUAGUUUAGCAAUAAGUAUAUAUUGUAAUUUAUAUCUUGGCAGCUAAAGAAAUUGUUUGGUAUAGAUGUAUUGAGUAUCUAAUGAUGCUAUUGAGAAUAUGAGAUCCAUGAUAGUUACAUAACUAUUUUAUAUGUUAAGAUCUCAAGUAUCAAGAUAGAAACAAACACUUUAUGGUAUAUCUAUAAGAGACAUUAGCAAAGAAAGUGUCUUCGCGAUAUAUCUACAUAAAUGAUGAUAUGUAAUAUGAAGAUGUCGAGAGAUAUAUUUGUUUGUAACAUCGAAUCUCUAUAAUUUCGUAGAAUAUGAUACUUAGCGUAUCAGAAAACUCUUAAUUGAGUUAUGUAUGCCCAUAAAUGAACAAUUUUAAGUUCAUGUGUAAUCUAAUGUUGGGAUUUUGAGAUAAAUUAUUUGUAUACACAUAUAAAGUAUGUCGAACGGGUUGAAAUUGGCUCACUCACACAAGCAAUUGCCUCAAACACUUUGAGAUGUGCUAAGAUGAGACAAAGUGAUCAUGUUGUGUACACGAUCAAGUCGCCUUGAUAAGAUAUUAAGAUGAGAUUACAAUAAGUAAUUGAAAUGAAUUUGCUAUCCAUUAAACUUAUUUAGUAGCCAAAUCCAAUUCUGAAUUUGAGAUUGCCUUGAAGAGUGAACAUAAGGAGAACUAACGCUAGGUAUCAGAAAUUACCUGAACUAAGAUCUGUACGGUUUUAUUUGCUUACAAAGAAUAUGACAUAUGCUCUAAGAAAGGGAGAAAAAUUCAUAACACGUGUUUCAUACCACGUGAGCUUUUACAACCAAUAUUGGGUAAAUGAGUAAGUGGAUCCCUACUUCCUCAUUGUGUGAUAUCUUGAAAUUUAUAUAACCUCAUAUAUACCCUUAUGACUUUUGACUGUUUCUUGAGAUUUUAUUUCAGUGUUGCUACUUUAACAUGUUGCCAAUAAAAAUGAUUGAUUCGAUUUGAUGAGGCAUGUCUAAGAAAGCAGGUGAUUUAAAAUUGAAGGAUUCAAGUAGGAAAAGAAAACUGUUUUGACCAAUAUUUAUAUUUGUAUUCACCGAUCGGACAAUUGGAUUGAAACAUUUAGGGUAUAGAACACAAUUGUGAAUACAAUGAUGCGAUGUAGGGUUCAAGUAUGUUCCAUAAAAUAUUCCAGGGAUCCUAAAUACUUGAAUUAAUGUUGAAAAAUGAGUUUGGGGUAUAACAAGAUAUGAUGUUCCUCUAAUAGUUUACUAUAUAUCUCUAACAGGUUUAUAGUACUGUGAACUCUAAUAUUACUCGCUGGUCCACAUCUAUUUGUCGUAUAAAUCUUCGUGAUAUAGAUCUUGAGAAGGAUUUAAGAUGUGGCAUUCGUUGUCCAUUGUGGUCGGAUUAACCCCAUCAUAUGCGAGUGGGAGAUGUUGGAAAAUACAAAUAAUAGGUCGUCCAUGUGGGGUGACCCAACUCACAAGAUUUCAAAAAGGGUAGGAAGGAAUUAUUUGAAUUUGGAAUAUAACUUCCAUUGAUGAUGAUAUGAAAAAUGUGGACAAAAAAGAUGGUAUGACAAAGAGGUGAAAAUUCGUAUGGAAAUUGACAUAAAAAUUGAAAAGUCCCUAGAACCAUAUUUUUGGCAUGAAAUCUCACAAAAAUGAUACUUGGAUUGUGGAUAAUGAUUCCCUUCCAUUGUGAUCGGGAUUGGGACCAUUUGAGAACAAGAAAAUGCAGAUUUUGGAACUUUGGAAUGCAAGGUGAUUCAACCACACAAAAAGAUCAUGGAAUUCAUCAUCUCAAGUAAAUUUCUGUACCUGAAAUUCACGUUAAAGUAUGCUGCGAAUUCCUACAAUUUUAAAUGAUUUAUGGGCUGACUUUUAACUGAUUUAUAGGCUUUAAAUCCAUUCUCCUUUACUUCUCUUUAUUCAUGCAUUUUGUAAGUGAACCCACAAUAUUAGCUCUUAACUUUACAUAAUAAUUUCAAUUUUGAAAUCAUAAUGGCUGAACCACAUCUGCCAUCUGACCAAUCUUCCUUGCUUGUAGUCUGGAUGUACCUUAUUCUUCAUAAAAGAAUUACAAGUACUUGAAUCAGUUCUAAUAAUAAAAUUAUCAGAAAUUAUAUAAAGUCUAAAUUUUGUUAUAGAUUUUUUCAUAGCUAAAAUUUCUUUUUCAUUUAUGUGGUAAUUUCUUUCUGCUUUAGAAAAAGUUCCAGAAGCAUAUCUACAUAAUUUUUCUUCAAAUUGAUCUUGAGGAUCAAUAGCUUUUAAAACUACUCCCCAAUGUUCUUGAGAUGCAUCUGUUUCAAUUAUCAUUUUAUCUCCUUCUCUAGGAUGAUAUAAUGAUGGUAAGAUUUUUAUUUUUGAUUUGAUUUUUCCAACAUAAAGAGUAUCCUCUUUAGUCCAAAUCCAUUUAAAAUCUUUUUUCAAUUUCUUUUGCAAAGGUGUUCUCAUUUUUGCUAAAUCUUUGAUGAAAGAUUCUACAUAAGUGAGAAUCCAAGAAAUCUCAUCAAUUGUUUUUCAUCUUGAAUUUCAUUUGGAAAUUCAUUAAUAUGAAUUAGAAUAUGUGGUUUAAGUUGUUUAUAACCAUUAGCAAUAUCUAAACCUAAAUAUCCAAUCUUUUCUUUAAACAAUUCUGCUUUCUUUUCAGAUAGCACAAUUCCUGCAUUUAUUGCUUCUUGUAAAACAAUAAUUACAUGUUUUUCAUGUUCAUCUUCAGUAUCUGAAAAUACUAAGAUAUCCUCAAUAUUGAUAAAGAUAUGACUCUUUUUAGCAAUAUUUUCUCCUUGAAAUUCUUUUUUUGUAAUCAAUUUUCAUUGUUUUCAAGAAUUUUUCUUGUAAAACAUUCAUUGCAAAUGCUUUUCUUUGUUUUGGAAUCCAUAAUCUUUUACCAGAAAGAGUAAAACUUAUAGAUUCAAUUUCUUCUAUGAAUGGAUGAUAUAACUGACAAAAGUUAUUUUCAAUCAUAAAAUCAAUUCCAGUUUCCAAUUGGUAAACUGUUGGUAUUUUAACAUAAAAAGUUUUCCAUUGUGAUUUAUGGUAUCCAUUAAUCUCAAUGUUUAACACUUUUACAACUUUAGAAGUUUUAAUUUCAGAUUUAUCUGCAAUCUUUAAUUUUAAGAUUUUCUCAGAUGUAACCCAAAAUUGUUUAGGUAUUAUCCAUUUGCUUGCAAUACAUAUUGAUGCUCCAGUAUCUACAUAAGCAUGAAUAUUUAAUAUUCUGUAUCCUUCAAAACUUAGUUUUAUAGGUAUAUAGAUUGAAUUUGGAUUAGUAAUAUUUCUAUUACUCAUCUUCAGAUGUUUCUGAUUCUGAAUAUUCAUAUUCAGAUUCUGUAGUUAAGUAAUACAAUGAUUGUGUAUCACUUGGAUCUUCUACUGGGUAGAAGCCUUGUCUUUGAAAUGUAGUAAGGAGUUUAAUCCUUUCUUCAUUUCCUUGUCUUGCUGGGCAUUCAUUUGCAUAAUGUCCAGAUUUAUUACAGAGCCAACAUCUGCAAUUCUUUUUCUUUUGCGGACAAAAUUUCUUUUUAUCCAAAGUUUUGUUUUUGUAAUCCCUUCCCCGGGAUUUUUUUAAAAAAAAAUUUCUUUCUGAAAUUUUUUUCUUUGUAUGGUUUUUUUUAUAUCUUUUAAAAGUAUAUUUUUUCUUUUUAAAAGAUUUUCUUUUCUCUUCUUUAUUUUUGGAUGGUAUGCAACGAUAUUGUCCUGGAAUUCUGCUGAGAUAAUUUUCACAACAGAGUUUUGGAUUUUUGUAAAUAGCUUGUUUGCUAUCUCUUACUAAAAUACUUUCUUUGCAUUUAUCUACAAGAAGAUUUUCUCAAUUUUUUAACAACCAAUCCUAAAGAUCCGUCAAUUUUUAAAUUGAGUAGAGGAUCAAUAUGAUUUUCUUGUUUUUCAAUAGCAUUAUUAAAAAGUUCCAUUAUCUCAUGAUUGAAAGGUUCAGGAAGUUUUCUAAUAAACUUUUUAGUUAAUUCAUUCCAUUUGUUAUCAGGACAAAUGUAAAAGUAUUUUGAAAAUUCACAAGUGUAAUUUUCAAAUUGACACAUAUCACAAAUAGAGAUUUUCUCUAAAUGAUUAAGUGCAUCAGCAACUUCAAUUGUUGUUCUUUUACUUUUAAAAACCUCGUAGGUUUGUCCAGUAAAUUGUUUAUACAAUUGUUCAACAAUUCUUUUAACAAAUUCUGGUAUACUUAUUGGGAAUCAUGCCAUAUAGUAUUUUUAACAUUAUCAUCAAAUUUUUCUAAAAAUGUUAUAGCAUUACCUCUGGUACUUGCUGGUACAUAAUUCCAUGAAUUUGCUUCAUGUCUGAUGAUUUCUUUAUUGACUAUCAUGGCUAUCAUUAAAUGACUAUACCAUGCAUCAAUAAUUUUUUCAGGUUCAAAUGUACAAUCUAAAUCUAGAAUUGUAACAUGUUGUUGAUUGUUUCUUUUAGGAACAAAUUUAGAUUGUAGUAAAUUUUUACUCAAAUCUUCAUUUAAAGGAAUUGGUCUAGGAUUAUAAUCUCGUUCAACUCUUUUUCCAUCUCCUAUGGGAUUAGAACUUGUGGGUUCCUCAAUUCUAAUUCCUUCAUGUUUUGGUUCCCUAAAAACAAUAGGCUCUGUAUUUGUAAAGAAUCUUUCAUGAAUCACAAUGUCUUCAUCUGAUUCAGAAAUUUCUUCGUUUUCAUCAUUUUCACUUAAGGAUUCACUUGGUUUUGAUUCCUCAGUGUCAGAUUUUAUUGUCAUAAGAUUUUCAUUAUUUCCAAUGCUAAUCUUUUUAGCAAUAUUUUCAAUUUUUUGUAAUUCUUCAUUUUCAAAAGAGAGAAGUACAUUUAAGAGUCCUAGAUUAUUGCUAGUCUCAUAAAUGUUUUCAAGACUUUUUUCUGAAUUUUGACAUAUUAUUUUAAAAAUCUUAUAUCAAAAUUUCCUUCAGAUUUGUUUGGAUGAAUUUCUUCUCCUUUUUCAAAAAUUCCUAAAGAGAUUUUAGGAUUUUUCUUUUGUAAGAGUUUUUCAUUCCUCACACCAGCUAUAAUUAUAGCAGAAUGUUUUUUCAUCGAUUUUUCAUUAUUUUCUUGAAGAAUUUUAAGAUUUAUCUUAAUCUCUUCAAUACUAUCUUUUAUUUGUUUUAUUUCUUUCAUUAUGUCUAUCAAAGACAUUUUAUUCGUUUGGUCCAUAAAGAGUUCUGGCCAUUGCGUUGACUGUAUUUCUUAAUUCUCUUAAUUCAUUUUCUUUGCUUGUUCAAGCUUCAUUUUCUUCUUUCCAUUUAAAUUUUGAAAUUUGUUUUUUAUAAGAUGAACUCCUUAUAAGAAGUGGUCUUUGUUCCUUGAUUAAAGGUCUUUGGUCAUCAAGAUUGAUUUCCGAAGAAUUUUUGGAUGGUUUGAUUAACCAUUCAAAUUAUGUUUCCUUAUGUUUCAGAUAAUCUGAAAAUAAAUGAUCAAUUUUUAUUCCUUUUGGUUCUUUAACAAUUGCCAUAUUAUGUUGGUUAUGAAUUGAAUAACUAACAAGAUAUGAUAUUGAAAAAGGUACAUUAUUGUCUUUGACUAGAUCUGUUCUUCCAUACUUGUGUAUGAAAGAAAGUAUUCCAUCAAAGUUUUUAUCAUGUGGAAUUACAGAAAGUCUUGGAUAAACUGUGAAAAUAAUUUUUCCACAUGCUAGGUUCCCUUCAAGAGCUCCUAGACAUCCUUCAUUAGGAUUUUGAAUUCUUUCAUCAAUCAAACACAUUGAUAUUGGUUGAUGAAUUUUUUCUGAAAGAGUACUUCGUAUUUGGAUACGAACUGCUCCAAUUCUUGCCCAAUAUAGAUUCUUGCUAUUAUCAAGAUCUAUUUUUUCUUUUGCUUUAUUUAUGUCUUGUUUAGUAAGUAAGGAUAUUCCUAUCUUACCAUAAGUAUGUUGGACAUGUAUGGCAAACUCCUUCUGAGAUACACCAUAGUAUAUAUGUAUAUUUCUCUUCAUAAAUUUCUCUAGGAAACCUAUUUGAGAAAAUAUUUCUUUUGGUUCAAUUACAAGUUUGGUCUUGCAAAUUUGGGCAAGUUUUUUAUUUGAAAUCAUAAUUUCUCUUGAGAAAUUACCUUGUGAUGCAAUCUGCUCAUAGAUCUCAUCAGUUUGUUCAAUUGUUUCAUUAUUAUGGUUUUCUCCUUCCAUAACUAAUGAUGACAUUCUAUAUAAUGCAGAAUAAAAGUUCUAACACUAUAUUUGUAUUUUUGUAAAGCAUCAAUUUCUUUCAAUUUAGCUUUAACAACUUUAUUUCUUGGCUUAUUUGUUUGUAACAAAUAAUUGUAAAUAUCUUUGUAAGAAAUAUAAACUUCAUAUUUUGAAGUAAAUAGAAGUAUUUGAAUAUUACAGAUAAGACAAUCUAUCAUGCUGCAAUAUAACCUAUAUAUUUUAAUCUUUCAAUUAAAACCUGUUUUUCUUCUUUUAAUUCAUUGAUCAUGUGAUCAACAAAAUACUCAUUAUUUAUCCUUUUCCUGAAUUUUUCAAAAUCAGAAAUUUCUUCUUUAAGUGAGUAAAUAAUUUUAUUUAAAAGUUUUACCUCUUUAUAAAUUGUUUUAUAACUAGGCUCUGAUACCAUUUUGCGGAAAAUUGUGCGGAAGUCUAUAAUAUGUAUGUAUCUUAAUAAAAAGUAUACAGAUUUUUUGUAGGCAGUAGAAUCCAUAUGGAAAUCAUGCUUUAAAUAAAUUUAAAAAAAUUCUUUAAACUCAUAACUUUCUUACAGUAUGUAUAGAUUGAUGGCUUCUCCUUACUUUUUCUGUCUGUAUACUCCUUUGCCUGACUUUGAUGAAUCUUUUUGGACUUUCUUCCCUUUACGGCCACCUGCCUGACGGUACUUUAGUCCUAUUGAUUCUGUAAAGAUCCGUACAUGGUUUGUAUAUAGCACAAGAAAAGUACGAAAAAUUGACUAAAACAUGAAAGUUUUAUUCAAGAAGAAGGUCUAAGAGUAUAAAGAACUCUUAAACUUAUUUAAUUACAUGAAAAGAUCCAAAAAUGGAUCUACUGUCUUUGAGGGUUUAGCCUUGCAGUGUAUACAUUUGGGAAUUCAGAAUAAGAUAAGAAAAUUUUUCUCUAAAAAUUUCUCCUCCCCUCCUCUUCUUGAAGUCGUUCUUUUAUAGCCCUCCAGAAAGAUUCCUUUCUGCUAUCAUUUGUUACCUUGUCAUUCUCAACAGUUUUUCUUUUACCAAAGGUAAAAGUAAUGAUAAAGUGAUAUGACAUGAUUUUUGUCUUUUUCCUCAAUUUUUCAAAGAUGCUCCCUCUUUUCAAAAAGCUGGUGGCAACAUUGUCAAAAGGUGUCCAAAUUUUCAAAAAGCAGAUUUCUUUUUGAAAAUUAGUCUGAUCCAUCCUCCUUAGUUUUACUUUCGAUGGAUUUCUUUUCAGUAGUGGAUUCAGUCCCUCCACUUGUCUCUCAUUCAGUACUCCAAAAUGAUUCUUUUGGAGAUUUGUCUUUCUCUUCAAGCAAAUGGCACCAUUUGCAUUCGUGGUAUUUGCCAAGACUCUGCUUCAGAGAUUUGCAAAGAUGUCCUAGGUGGUCUGCUAGUGAAUUGGGCAAAUUAUAAAAAUUCUUUUCAAAAUUACAAAGAAUUUUUAUUCCUUCAUUUUGGAUUGUUUUCCCUGUCUUGCUUGUAACCAAGAUAAAAUCGGUUGAAAAAUUUAUCUUAAUUUUGGACUUAUUGUUGAAAGAUUUUAAUCCAGUUAAAAUCCUUUGGUAUGAAAGAUUUCUCCAGUCUCUGAUGAUCAUCUCAUUGGUAUAUUCAACCUUUCCUUGAAUUGGUCUUUCCAGGAAAACUUCUGGUAUUGUCUUGAUUUGAAUGUGAUGAUAUCCCUUGAUAAGAUAUCCUUCCUUAUCCCAAAAAGGGAUUGUACUGUUAAUUUUCAGCAUCAUCUGUAGAUUUUGGUCUUUAAUAACAAUUCUUUUAAAGUCUUUUAAAACUUUAACUAAAUUGCUAUCCAAUUUCUGGAUUUCAUUCAUUGAUUCACUUAGGAUAAUCAUUUUGAUCAAUCCACAGUGAAAUGCAAUUUGCACAACUGUUGGAUCAGCAUUUUCAAAGAAAAUAUACUGUCCAUAUUUUUUAUCAAAUGUUCCAUAAUAUCCUUUUUCAGGAUCAGAUGGUCCAACUGUUCUUGCUUCUUCCUCAUAUGUGAGAAAGUCUUCAAAAGUAAUUCCAUUCAAAAAAUGGCUUUCUUGGGGUUUUGGAAUUUUUCUUUUUAAUCGACUGGGAAUUGAUUCUGUUUAGGUUUCAACAACAUCUUUAAAAGAUAUCAUUCUAACCUUUUGGUUUGCAUUUGGUGGGAUAAAGAGUUCGGCUGGAAAUCUGGGUCUGGCUCUUAAUGGAGUUGGAAUUUGACAAUAAUUUGGUCUCAAAUGGAUAUUGUCAAAUUCAAAUAAUUGUUUGUAUGGCAAUGGGCUUUAACCUUUUUCUUCAUAGAAUUUGGUAAAAGCUUCAUGGGCUUCAAUAUAGGUUUUAAAACUUGUGUUUGAAGUUUUUUCCUUUCACAAGUGGUUCAACUUGUGUCCAGUUUGUAUAGAAACCUUUUUGUGGUCCAUUGAAGAUCACAUAAAAUUUCUUUCCCGCCAUUGAAGUAUUUACACCAACCAAUGGUUGAUUUUCUUCUUUUGGAUUUUGAAUAUCCUUUUGUUCUUGCAAAGGUGUUCUCAUUUUUGCUAAAUCUUUGAUGAAAGAUUCUGCAUAAGUGAGACAUCCAAGAAAUCUCAUCAAUUGUUUUUGAUCUUCAAUUUCAUUUGGAAAUUCAUUAAUAUGAAUUAGAAUAUGUGGUUUAAGUUGUUUAUAACCAUUGGCUAUAUCUAAACCUAAAUAUCCAAUCUUGUCUUUAAACAAUUAUGCUUUCUUUUUAGAUAGCACAAUUCCUACGUUUAUUGCUUCUUGUAAAACAAUAAUUACAUGUUUUUCAUGUUCAUCUUCAGUAUCUAAGAAUACUAAGAUAUCAUCAAUAUAAACACAACAAUAUCUUCAAUGUUUCUUAAAAAUAUUGUCCAUAUGUCUUUGAAAAAUAUCAGAUGCUUGUUUUAAGCCAAAUGGUACUACUUUCCACUGAUAGUGUCCUUGUGGACAACUAAAAGCUGUAAGAUGUUUAGCUUCUUGGUCAAAUAUUACUUGCCAAAAGCCUGAUUUACAAUCAAAGGAUGAAAAGAUUUUCUUUCCUUUAAUUAUUUGUAAAAGACUUUGCAUAUUUGGAAUUAAAUAUCCAUCAGUCUUAGUUAUUUUGUUUAGCUGAGAAUAAUCUACAACCAUUCUAGCUUUUCCACGUCUUUAUUCUGAUUCUUUUCUUACCAUAAAUACUGGUGAAGAAAAUUGAGAUUUGCUUGAUUCAAUCAAUUUUAAAUCAAGUAAUUCUUUUAUUUGGAUUGAGAAUUCUUCUCUAUCUUUAGGGCUAUAAGCCAUGGCUUUAGCUCUUACAAUAGAAGUUUUGAAUUCAUCAAGUAAUUCAAUAGUUACUGUCAUAUUUCCUGAAAAGACCAAUUCAAGGAAAGGUUGAAUCUACCAGUGCGAUGAUCAUCAGAGGCUGGAGAAAUCUUUCAUACCAAAGGAUUUUAACUGGAUUAAAAUCUUUCAACAAUGAGUCCAAAAUCAAGAUAAAAUUUUCAACUGAUUUUAUAAUGAAGGAAUAUUGAUUUAAAUGCACAUGAUAUGUUACUUUCAUAUACUUUUUAGCAGGGAUAUACCUUUACGGUUUGAGCUUCAUAAAAUUGUCCGAUUUAACUUAUAUGUAAUAUAAGGAUACACCAAGGAAUUGCAUAUCAGUGACAACGAUGCCAACUCAUUUUCUUUGUAAUAGUGUCAAAAUUCAACUUCUAAAAAAAAGUGACAUUUCAAAAAAAUUGUUGUUAAAUUUAGCUUCUAUGUAAUAUGAAAAUAGUAAUGAAAUUGCAUAUCAAUGACAAUAAUGCCAACUUAAUUUCUUUUUAACAGUGUCAAAAAUUUUCUUCUUGAAAAAAUUGACACAAUCAUGUCACUUUUGUUAAGAAAAAUAGAAUAAAAAGAUUGGACAUAUUGGGCCACUGAGAAGAUUACGCAGGCUGCUCGAAGGAUAAAAAAUAAUAAAACUUAAUCCUUACCUUUUCAAAUUCUUCUUCGUAUAUUGCUAUGUAUGUAUGUAUUUUCUCUAAUGGUAUCUCUUCCAUUGUUGUUUUGUUUCAAUUGAAGAGGAUAUUUUAUAAUUAUUAGGGUUUUAUGAUUUAGUUGAAGAAGAUAAUUUAUGAUUAUUAGGAUUUUAGUUAAGCACAAAUUCUAAAAUAAUAUAAAAGGGAUCAAAAGAAUUUAAUGAAAAUAAAUAUGAGUGGAUGAAUUAAGAACUAUAUAUUUUUAUUUAAUUUUAUAUAUGUCUAUUUAGGUAAAUUUACAUAAGAUAAAAAAAUAUAAUAUAAUUAUCUUUUUUCAAAGUUGACGUAUAUAUAAAAAUUGUAGAUGUAAAUAGUGACAUUCAAGUUUUAAUAUUUGAUCAUUGCUCCUAAAGGCUAUAGUUGUUUAUGAUUAUUUCCCCCUUCUAUAUUGCUUGAACACAGUUUCUUUUCUUUUUCUUUUUUUUUAAAUUUUAAAAUGUUUGUCACUUUUUUAAGUGUUUGUCACCUUUUUUAUUUUUUGUCACUUAACUUUUUUUUUAAAAAUUUGUGUCACUUUUUUUAAUUUGUCACUUUUUAAAAAGUUCUCACUUUUUUUAAGUUUUUGUCGCUUUUUUCAGUAACUUUCUUGAUUUCUAUCACUUUUUUAGUGAUAAACAUCACUUUUUUAAUAAUAAAAAUAAUAAAAAAAGAAUAAAAGUGACAUUCUAUUUCCUUUUUUUUUUUUUUUAAACAAAAAGUGACAUUGUGUCACUUUUUAUUAUUACACAGUAUUUUUUACUUCUAAAAAAUCGUUCAUAUGAUUUUUCAAAAUAUCCCUCAUUUUAAAGGUAUUUUUGUAAGUUGCCCAAGGGGAAAUUAGGUCAACUAUACUUAAUAAAUAAAACUUUAGAUUAAUAUUAUUAAAAUUGAUUAGAACUAUAAAUUUCCGUAAUUAUUACGUCCACAUUGGUUUUAUCAAUUUCUGAAAUUUUGCUACUUUUGGAGCUUUCUUGAGUUUUUGUAACUCUUUUUGAAUAUUCACAUUUUUUUUAAAUUCUUGUCACUUUUAAUUAAUAAAUAGUAUUUCUUUUCAUUUUUUCUUUUAUAGGAUUAAGAGUUAAUUGUAAUGAAGGAAUAUUGAUUUAAAUGGACAUGAUAUGUUACUUUCUUAUACUUUGUAGCAGGGAUAAACCUUUUUUAUUUGAACUUCAUAAAAAUUGUUGUCAAAUUUAGCUUAUAUGUAAUAUAAAGAUGCGUCAUGGAAUUGCAUAUCAGUGACAAUGAUGCCACCUUAAUUUCUUUGUAACAGUGUCAAAAUUCAACUUAAAAAAAAGUGACAUUUCAUAAAAAUUGUUAGCUUAUAUGUAAUAUAAAAAUACGUCAUGAAAUUGCAUAUCAAUGACAAUAAUGCCAACUUUUUUUCCUUUUAACAGUGUCAAAAUUUAACUUCUUGAAAAAAGUGACAUAAUCAUGUCACUUUUCUUAAGAAGAAAAAUGUCAUUUUCGUUUUACACAAGGUGGUUGUAUAUGCAAUCUAUUUAAAAGAAAAUUUCAAUCAUUUUGUUACUUAUAGAUUCAUUAUCUUGUCUCCAUAAUAAAUUUAUUCAUAUCUGCAAAAUGAAUAAAAUGAAAUAGUGUGAUUUUUAUUUUUUUUACAAAAAAAUUAAAAAUAAUAGUUUAUGUCACUUUUAAUUUUCAACAAAGUUCGGGGUACUUUUUAAAUUUUGCCAUGUCAACACUCCCAUUUUUCCAUAUAAGCCUAAGUUAUUUGUCAAUCGGCACAAUGAUAUCUUGAUAAUUAAAAGAAAAAAAAAUCCUUAUGUUAUAUAAUUACAAAAAUAAAGUUUUGUUUAAAAGAUAAUAAUACCUUUUAAGUUACAAUGUAAGAAUCAAACACUUCGCACUUAAAAUUUCAAAAUCAAGUCACUUUUUCUCUGUUUACUUUAGCAUAGAUAAAAACUCUUUCAUUUUUUAUCUGCUUCAAUCUUAGAAUCUCAUAAAUUUAGUAAACGCUCAAUAAAAAAAUAUUGUUUGAGUCACUUCGAUUGGAUAAGUAUAUUUACAGUUAUUUAAUUUUGUUUUUGCUAAAUUAGUACAUAAUUUUAAUUUUUAAAUCUUAUUUCAAAAUAGAUAGAUAAUUUUUGCAUUUCCUAAAUAGAUCUAUAAUUUUUUAGAAAAAACGAGAAAAAAUUCACCUGCAUGUAUAUUCUUUCGAUCAGAUUCAUGACUAUCUGGAAAACGGUCGACCUAGCCAUCUGGACACAAAGAAGAGUCGGCCUCGUCAUCUGGGCAGGCUCUUAAUAGCCGGCUCUACCUAGUCGGCCCAAAUAUUUUUUUGUUAUUAUUAUCCAUUUUUUUAAAUCCUGUCUCAUAAUGCAAAUACUGGAUUAUCAAUAGUCCCAAUUGGUUACUUUGGUGAAUUUGAAGGGAAUGAAAUAAAUGAUGUGCAUAAAAAUCAAAAAGUGAAAGAUAUGGUGUUAUUGAAAUUGUGAUAACAUCGAGUACAUUAUAUGGAGAAAUGUACCAUGAUUUACAGAACAAGAUCGACCUCGAUCAUUUUCAGUACGAUAUAGAAUUAGGAUUUCUAUUCAACAAGUAUAUAUCCAUUUCAAUUCUACCUAUAAGGUUACUUCUGAAGUUGAAAUGAAGGUUCUAAUUGAAUUGAACAAAAAUCGCACGACUCUAAUUUGCGUAACUUUAGUGAGGAAGAAUAUCCUCGAGAGUGAGCACAAAAAUUCCAAUUGAGGGGAUCGUAAUGUGAAUGAUUUUUGGGAAACUGUGGAAAUAGCUCUCGAAGAUGAUGUGGUUAUUCUCGAGAUAGUUGUUUCUCACUACAAUCUCACAGUUACGUGUAGAAUUACUUAGAUAGUUUAAGACAAGGAAGAUUUCUUUAUUCCAUCGGCGACGUAAGUGGGGUGGGAACUCACAGACUGGAUAGAGUGCACGAUAUCUAUAUGUUUGCAUAUGAUUCCCAAUGAAGAAUUACAUAUUGAGUAGCUAUUUUAAAUAAAGAGAGAUUUGCAAGAAGUUAUGCACUGUAUUACAUUGAAACAUAACGUUGAAUUUAAAGUAAAGAAAUUAAACAAAUCAACCUAUACAAUUAUAUGCAUUGAUGAUAGUUGUCUUUGGCACGAGCAAUAAAAAUGUACAUGAAUGAGUUCUUUAUAGUAUGCAAGUAUGCAUGAGAACAUAUUUACGAUGUGUGUUUUUAUCAAAAUGAUCAUGGUUUAUUGGACCUACAGAUGAUCUAAGAUCUUCAGACAUCAUUAACGACGUCUGCCAAGAGUACGAGGUGGUCAUAAGCUACUAAAAGACCUGGAAGGCCAAAUAAUGCUUAUUAAAGGAUUUAAUGGGAUUGGACAAUGAGAGUUAUGCUAAAUUGGCUAGUUUAUUGCAAUAAUAUGGGGAUAACUAAUCAUGCCUCAACAUUUUUUAUUGAGACAGAGCUCGGGAAUCGCUUGAAGUAUUUCUUCAUGACUUUUGGACAAUGUAUUCAGGGACUUUGAAAUGCGAUGCGAUCCCUAAUUUAUUCGAUGAUACAACCAUGAAAUCUAGUUAUGAAGGCAAGUUAAUUAUUAUUAUAUGUCAUGACACCAACAUCUAAAUUUACCCUAUUGCAUUCGCAUAACCUAUAGCAAGAAUGAUCUAUUGAUGCGUUAGUUCUUCACAAUGCUAAUGAAAGCAAUUGGGGAUGUUGAUAACCUUGCAUUUUAGUUGAUCGGGAACAAUAUAUAGUAAAUGGUAUUGUUGAAGUUUUUCUCGAGGCACAUCAUGGGAAUUACUUGUACUAUAUACAAUGUAACCUAAAGCUAAUUAUCGUGGCAAUUCCAUCGUUACAUUGUUUAGGAGAGCUACAAAAGCUUAGAAUUUUGAAGAUUGUUAUGUUCACGCUCGAAAUAGACAGUAAAUCACAUUUUGCGUAGAAGUAUCUAAAAAAUAUGGGGAUUAAACAUCGGGCAAGCUCACAUUUUUUAGGAUGUUGAUACAAUAUAAUGAUAUCAAAUAAUGUAGAGACACUCAAUGCAUUACUCAAGAAAGAUUAAGAGUUACCAAUUUUCUCAUUGAUUGAGUAUAUUCGCAAAAAGCUCCAGCAAUGGUUUCAUGAUCGACAUGUAAAAUCAUAGAAUUGCACAGGUGCACUAAGCCCAACUUAGGAAGAUAAAUUCUUAAAGACCCUAGAGGUAGUGAAAAUGUACAUGUAGAACUACUGGAUCAGUUGUACUUCUCUAUGAUAUUUGGACGUAAUAUUGUAUACAUAGUUGACUUAACCGAUAACACCCGCACUUGUAGAAGAUUUCAACAGGAGAGUGUUCCAUGUGAACAUGCAGUCGCAUUGGUUAUGCAUAGAGGCUUUGCACCAAACGCCUUAUGCUUUCCUUAUUAUACGGCUAAUCUUUGUUAAGCAGCAUAUGCUGAGGCCAUAUUUGUUGCAUAAUUAUUCGCGUUGUUAAAUGUCAAAUGAUCUUUGGUGUCUUUGAGCCCAAUCGCGUAACAUUUUCAUAGCCAUGUCGAUGUGCUAUAGCAGAAAACACUAAUAAAAAAGAGAGAGAGAUUCAUUUAAUUAAAUUAACCCAUUACAUAAACAUAAUAAAUAACAAUAAAAAUACACUUAUAUCGUCAACGAGUAAAGCUAAUUUCGUUAUUACAUCUUCAAAACACUUUCUAGCAUUCAGUAUCGUCUUAUCCCCUAUCGUGUAACUAUCUCUAAAAAAGAAAAAAAAAUAUUACUACAAGCAUAGAUGAGUUAGUACACUUUUUAGCAACAUCAUAAAAUACUUACUCAAACUUAAAGAAUUUGAACCAUUCAUCGAACGCUUUCUUCUACCUAAUAGGGUCGAUCUCAUGGAAGAGAUUGGAGAACAUCUAGUCCACUAAUAUCAUUCUCGUUGCCUCAAUCGUGAAAGGAAAAACUAUGUAAUGAGAUGGCAAUCUCAACCUCUUGCUGACCACCAACUUUGGCAUGUCAAUAGCACGCUUCGUACCCUUUCAUCACCUUCAAAGCCCUCCCACAUAAAAAUGACAUCCUCUAUCAUGUUGAGCGUACUUUUCUCUUUCGCUAUCCCCUCCGGUACCUCUGUCACAUCAUUUACCAUUCCAAUGAUCAUGGCUCAGUUACUUCCUCCGUCUCAGGACCCAUAAGAUCCUUCAUCAGACUUUCUAUCUUAAGCACAGUCACAUCCUCUGUUAGCCAGACAAUCACUGACUCCAUCACCAUCAGGUUAUGCCUUUCGUCCCAGAAACCUAUCCUUUUUCAUACCCUCCGUCUUGAGCACCGUUACAUAAUUUGUCACCCUAAUGGCCAGUGAGUCAUCACCAUUGGGGUUGUCCCCUACAUAACACUGAUAGAUACCCUCCAGUAUUGGGACCUUUCCCUCUUUAGUUGCUAAAAUGAUUCGAAUGCAACAGUCGAUGGCCAUGACAAAUCAUUAUACCCUAUAAGAUCCUCUCUUCCAAUGUCUCCACCACCUUUUCCGUCUUAAGCAUCGCUAGUCCUCCGGUACUCGCAUCGCUUGUCCCCUGCCAUCUCCUCGUCAACCUACUACAUUACCUCAUAACACUACAACUUCAUUAUGAAGGUCUCCCAAAAUAGACUCGUAGCAUUCUGACAUCAUGUCAUAACUCUGCUACUUCACCUCUUAUUCCCCAUCGCAAUGUCCCUAUCAUCUCUCAUAGUGCUCCUAUCUUCUCUCAGAUAACCUUAGAGUACAAAUAAAUCAUCAAAAUAAUAAUUCUGACUGGGUACAAAAAAUUCAUGGGGAAAGCAUCUGGAUAUGGGAGAAUGCUAUCUCCUCUGUAAAGGUGAUUUUAUUAAUGAAAGUGAUUUCCUCGAUGAAGGUGAUGGUCAAUCUACUAGACGGCGCUCCUACAUAAAUAAGAACUUUAGCAUUUAAUAACUUGAUGAAAUAUUACAUCACAAAAUGGUAAUCAACAAAUUAUAUUCAAUUAUCAUACCUUAUCUCGAUCUAGGAUGAACUUAGGCAUCGAAUCACCUUAAGUAGGUGAAAUCAAUAAUUCAAGCACAUAAUUAUAACCCUCAUCUUUCAUCGACUCUGUCAAGUUAGUGAGGACUUCAAACUGAUUUAUUGACAUUAUAAUCUGUUGAUGAUCAUAUAUUGAGAUUGUAAAAGAAUAUACAGUAUAAAUCAUAAAAGUAUAACACUCAUCUCAAGUUCGUUGAUGAGAGCUGAUAAUUGUUUGGCACUUGGCUUAUCAUGUGCUCAUUAAUGAUGCAUCUAAGGAUAGCGUAUCUCACUUCUUUUGUUGUACCCAUAUCUGCAACACUUAAUGCCAAUGGCAAGCUAUAUACAUCAUACUUACGCUCGAGCUUAUUUGUCUUGAGCAUUGAAUUCCUCCAAAAGACUAUUAGUGUAUCCUCAUAACAUCUCUUCCAUGUGGAUAGUUGUUAAGGGCAUCAAUAUCAUCAACAACUUCAAAAUGAAAGAUGUCAAUCGAUAUUUUUUGUCUCGAUACCUCAGUAUACGUCCAAGGAUAUCCAUUAAGCCUAGCUUCAAUAUCUCCAACCAGUUGUCGUAUACCUCGAAUGCAUUCUAUACUGUCAUAGAACUAAAGUUAUUUAUAUUUGAAAAUAUUCAUUCAGCAGCCUUUUGUUUCUCGAAAUAUAGGUCAUCGCUAGUUCUUUCCUCGUACAUUUUAGUCCAGUGACGAGAACAAACUCAAAUAAAGAGAAUCUAGCCAUCUGGUUGUGUCCUAAAUUAAAGUAGAGUGAAUCACCAUCGACUGACUUAAGUAGCCAGCAUAGUAAUCAUCAAAGAGCUACCUUGAAAAACAUCUCUUAAUGGAUAGAGGGCCACAAGCAAGAAUAGCAUAACAUAUCUGCAUGUUUAUCAUCGACCAACUUCAAUACCGUCGUAAAGCUAUCAAAGUUAUAGUUCAAAAUAACUUUCCUGAGAAUUUGUCUUAUCCUGGCAUCGAGAUGGUAAUCUAUAAUACAAAAUUUAAAAUGUUAGAGAAAGAUAAUGCAAUAAAUCAUAAUAUCAAAAAAUUAAACUAAAUGAAUUGUUUAUUACUAUACUCAAGAAUUAACGGAUAAUGAAAUAAAAGAAGUGAAAGUAAAUAAAAAUUAAACAAAAAGAAUUAACAAAAAAAUAAUAGUUCAAUUUAGAAAAUGAAGAUAAAAUGAGGGAAAAAUUUAUGAUUUUUAAAAAUGCAAACACAAUAAUUAUACACUAAUUGCAAUUAUAAAGCAGAGAAAUGAAAUUAAGAUAAACAAAAAAUUACAUUAGAAAGGGAAAAAAAAUCAACAAAGUUUAAAAUUUUUUUAAAAAAAUCAAGGGACAUUUCUUGAGCUAUAAUUGAUAUUAUAAAAAUGUUAAAUUGAAUAGAUAAAAUUUAAUUUAAUUUAAUUUAAAAAAAUAUGAACCGUUAACAAAAUCGAAAGGAUGCAUAUUAAAAAUUAUACAUUUUAAAUAAUAAAGAAAGAACAAAAAUAAAUUAAAUCAUUAAACUAAAAAGGAUUUAAAAUAAAAAUGGAAAUUAAAUAAAAAGGAAAUUUACCAACAAUUAAAUUGAAGAAAAAAAGAAAUUAUAAAAAAGUUAAAAUAAAAUUUCAAGAAAAAAGUGAUUGGGUCAUCUGAAAUCCAGAUGUCACAAACAAUAUGGCCUAGUUGGAACAGACAACUCUAUAAAUGGCAAAGAUCGCUAUAUCUCACGAUCUCCGUCCCCCAAAAAUCACAAAUCUACUAUUGUUUAAUCAUAGUACACAAAAGUUCUCAAUGGAAAACAUGGAUACAAAAAUACUUGAUUUAUUCAAGUAAAAGUUAACUGAAAAGUGGAGCAAAGCUAACCUUGUUGAGAAAUGGUGAUUUCUACAGUGAUCGACGUGGGUCCGGGUUGACGGUGUGGGUUUGCAAAUCUUCAAAACCACUAUAACCCCCCCCCCCCCCCCCCCCCCCCCCGCCCAUGAUCCCAAACCCAGAUAAUGGACAAGUGAAAGUAGCUUGCGGGUUGAUAGUAUUGUGAAACUAUAUCACAUCUUAUGACAUGAAUCCUUAUAUGCAAAUUGAUCGAUGUAAUUGACACUAAAUUCAAUGGGUAACCUAGUAAGGCGUUUGUCUUCUCUGUCAUCAUUCCACCCCCCCAAUUUUUCCUAUCUUUUCUUUAAGGGUAUUCAUGGCCUUUUCAAGUUUUUAAACAUUUUUUUUUUUUUUACAUUUUUAUCAUUUUUUUUACAUGAUCAAAGGCCAUUGUAGUUAGAUGCCCAACCAUCUAAGAACUAAUUCCUCAUCUAAUCCGUGGCACAUGCUUUACCAACAAAGUUAAAAUUCUUUAAGCGCCAUUUUUUAUUUAGAAUAAACUUGAGUGGCCAUUUGUUUAAAUUUGUGGUUGUAAUAUGCAAUUUUAUCGAUUUUAAAAUUCAAUUUUGUGCAAUUUGUCUUGUUUUUCUAUUAACACCUCAAAAUUUUCAGGCUAUUUGCUUAAUCUAAUUCAAAUUCUUCAGAUCUACACAACAUCCUACUACAAAUUUCAACUCAAGAACACAAUUAGCCACCUUUUUUAUUUUUUUCUCUCCGUAAACAAGAAUUUAAGGAACCCAGAUUAGUCUUACAAUCUUGAACAGAUGGAUCCAAAUCUAAACAACUUCCCAAUUCUCUCAUAUGUCAUGGCCAAGUUUCCCAUCUUUAAAUGCACUUUCUCCACUACUUGGGUGUGCUCAUCACCCUUAGCGUGUGCUCGGAUCACGAGACUGUUAGAUUCAUUAACACCGUAAAUAUUAUGGUGUUCGACAAGGAUAUGUACUUUUCAUGACUUUUCAAAAUACUCCCACAGGUAAGGUUAUCUAUUUAAGUACCCCUAUUUUAAUUGGAUGGCAUAUGAAUUGGUCAAAAAUCAAUGGAAGAGGUCAGUUUCAAUAAAAAUUUGUACGAUCAGUUCAACCCAAAUUGACCCAUCAUUCUUUAUACACUUAAAAUAUAAAUUGUAUGGUGAUACGAAAUUGAGAUUAUGUAAUGUAAUUUAUUGUUUAAUACUACUAUUAGGGUUUAUAGUAAUUGGCUAUUCUUUAGACAAAAUUAAAGCUAUAAAAGAGUUAUAAAAGUCAAAGUGUUAUUUAGGAAGUUGUACAAGUCAAUAAGAAGCCUUUGGAUUUGAAUAUGGAACGAGGAGAAAGUGUAGCAGGAAUAAUGCUAGUUGGCCACCCCUUCAACGCUUGCAUACCACUUUAGAGAAAUCAAUAGAACAUCUGCCACUUGCUUGUUACUCAAACGACAAAGCUAUUGGUUCCCUAGCACUCGAGAAAUGAUAUUAUCCGAAGAAUUUAUAUUUCAUGAUUUAAAUAGCUUUUUGAGUCCUAAACAACCCCAAACAUCUUCUACGGUAUAUACUGAAGUACUAUUUCAUCCAUGUUGAUGGUUGAUCAUUAUAUUCUUUCCAAAGAACCUUUUGGAGAUCUUACAUCAAUUCUGUACUUUGAGAUCAAUCAAUCACACUUUGAAAAACAUCAAUUUCGUAUAAUCCAUUAGAGUUCUGAAGAUUGAGAAAGGAAACUGGAGUUUUGAUAGGACAAGAUCAAGGAGUUCUUAUGAUCCACAGGAGAUGAACGAUUCCAGAAGGUUGGGAGCUAGUGCAAGAGCACACAGUUCAGGGGGCCCUGGUGAUUAAGAAAGUAGGUCAGAGAAUGCUAGAAGUUAGUCGAGUCUAGAUCGUAGUAUAAGUUAAUUUUAUAUAAUGAAUUUUACUGACUUGAGCUCAAAGUUUUUUAUCCUUUGCGAACGGUUUUUCUCCUUUAUUAAUUAUUUGUGUUAUUUACAUGUUAUCUAGAUUAAUUAUUAUUUGUGAUUUGUUGCUUAUAAUAAUUGAUAAAUUUAAAUUUCGCAUUAAUCAACUAGUCACUAAUUCUCUAAGUGUUAGUUAGGUCAAACUUCGUUAUUUCAAUUUGCAUCAAAGCUUAAAUUUGAUCCUAGACUCACUUUAUAUAGAUGAGUCCGUCACUAAACAUUUCUCCAUAUUUUGAUGAAAGAAAUUAUGCUUAUUGAAAAGUGAGAAUGGGAGAUUUCUUAAAAUGUAUAGAUGAGAGAAUUUGGGUUUCUGUAGAAAAGGGAUGGACUACCCAACUACAACUGUUGUAGGUGUAGUUACCCUGCUGAGGUUGCCAAUUUGUUUAAAGCUAAUCUAGAUGAGUAUAAUUGGCAUAGUAAAGGACUCCAUGCCUAUUUAUAGAUUUGUCCGCCGAAACAUUUAGAAGAGUGUCUAUGUAUGAGAUUGUCAAUGAGGUUCGGGAUAUCUCAGAGACCACACAAAAGAGAACCAAGAAUGUUAAAAACUUCAAAAUGUAGAUGUUGACAACUGGGUUUGAAGAAAUUAGAAGGAAGGUUGAUGAAUCAUUCGAUGAUUUCUAUACGAAUUUGAAUAAUAUAGUUAACUCUAGCUUCAACCUAGGUGAGAAAAUUUUUGAAACCAAGAUUGUCUGAAAAGCUUUUAGAUCCUUACUUGAGAGGUUUAGACCUAGGAUCACAGCUAUUGAAGAGACCAAAGACUUAGAUGGGGUUAAGAUAGAAGAACUUGUUGGAUCCAUCUAAGCCUAUUGACUCACCAUAUCUCAACCUAAAAAGAAUAAGUCUAUGGCCCUAAACACUAUUAGGGAAGAAGAGUAUGAUUCUACUUAUAUUGAGAUUAUUAAUGAUAAUGAGAUAGCUUAGUUUUGUUAGAAAUUUUGAAAAAAAAAACAUUAUGAAUAAGAAGAAACCUCAAGAGAGAUAUAUAGAGGAGUCGCUAGUAAGCUAAAAAAAGGAUCAUGGGAAGACCAAUACUAGGAUGUUUAGAAAGAAAUCUCUAUCUGUUAGAUGUCAUAAAUGUCGAGGUUUUGGUCGCUUUAGGAAUGAAUACACUAAUGAUAAGAAAACCAUGGGUAAAGCUAUGAAUUCUACUUUUAUUGAUGACGAGUCUAAUUCAGACAAUCAAAGUGACAAGUCCAAAUUUGAGGGUUUUGACUAUAUGACUUUUACUUCUAGGGCUAGGAGUGAAUAUGAUAAAGAGAAUUAGAAGGUUGAUGACAUAGAAUGAUAUCAAAGCUCAAAGGAAGAUUACGAAGAUAAAGAUGAUAUUCGUAAGGCUUAUGAACAACUGUUUUACUAGAGUUUUAAGGUGAAGAAAAUUGAUAAAUUCUUCUUUAAGAAGGUUAAUGAACUUGAGCUAGAGUGAAAGACUUACAUCUGAUCUUCAAAAGUCUAUUAAAUGCCUUAGUAAGUUGAAUGCUAUGAAUGAAUCCUUAAGACUAAGGUUAAGACCCCUAUAAGUGAUCUUGAGAAGUCUACCAAAAGCCUUAGUGAGUUAAGAUUAGUCAGUGAGAACUUAAAGGCUCUAACGAGUGACCUUGAGAAAUCGAAACUUAAUUUCAUUCCUUCAUGAAUGGAUCUCACGGACUUGAUAUAAUCUUUAAGGGUUGAACCAACUUCUUGGGAACAUGAGAGGUCUAGUAUAUAAUAAGAGUGAUCAUAAUAUUUUGAGUACUUCUAAGGCCACUUUAUUCCUACCACCAACAGUCUAGAUAUGUUACAAAUCCUGAACACGAGUACAAGCAUAUCUUAGAAUAGAAGCCUACUAGACAUCAUAGGACCAACCAAUCCAGAAAUCAAUAAUAGCAACCACGUAGAUUUGGACCUAGGUUUAUUCCUACAUGUCACAAUUGUGGUGAGUGAGGACACACAAGGCUUAGACACACAAACUUUUGGAUAGGAAUAUAAUAUAUCUAGUUGGGUUGACUUACUUAUUAAUCAGGUUGGUCACUUGACCAUGAUGUUGGUAUAGUUGACCAGGAUUAAUUCUGCAUCUAGGAAAGUCUAGGUUAAAAAGAGUGAUCCAAGAGAUAAUGAAGCUAAUCUCGGUGCUAUUAAAGGUAAGAGCGUUUAUGUACGUCAACUAGGUUUUUUUUUUUUUUUUGUAUGUGCUAGCUAGUUCAUUGUGUUCAUUUAUUCUUGUAUGCAUCUCAUUCUUUGUAUAUUCUUUUUGAUUUGUUUGUUUUAAAAAAAAUUAAAAAAUACAAAAUAAUAAAGGGGAGAAUUUUCGAACUCCAACACAUUAUUUGAUUUACUUGAACAUGCUAGUUGCGAUCAAGUAUGAGUACAACUAAUGAUAUGUAGUGUAGUUUCCAUUACUUUGCUUAGGUUUUACAUGGAGUACAUAGUGUAGGUUUAUUCAUGUACCAUAUAAAAUGCGCACACUAAAAUCUUGUGAGUGAGUCUUGACCGCGUGUGUGAGACUUAGGAUGACAGUCAUUUGUAUGGUGAAGUAAACUUGAGCACGAUUGAUUUGACUUUUAACUAGUUGACCUAAACUUUUUUAUAUUCCCUAAAAAGAAAAGUUGAUUAAUCUUAUACUAUUCUUUGGAGUCUAUUUGACUCGAGAAAUUAAAUCUGAAGGGUUUCUCAAAACCUGAAGCUCUAUGGCCAUCUGACUUUGAGUUAUCGGUCCAAAGCUCAUUAUAAGGAUUAUUUUAGUUAUUUAAUGGAGAAGUCUACAAAUAAUAUGUGAAAAAAAUUACAUAUGCUUAAACUUAGGGAGAGUAAAGGAAAAUCUAUAAAUGAAAAAUGAAUUUCAUUGUUUAAAAGGUUGUAGUUGUCAUGGGGUUGACUUUUACUAUUAGAGGAAUAAACUCAUUCUUUAGUGAUUUUUCCGCAUGUCCUUUCUCACAAAUUUAAGGUUUGGAGUCUUGCUCAUGAGGAAUUAGUGGCACUUCACACACAUGGAUCAUUUAUAUAAUUUACUCCAUUUAGACUUGAACUAAGUGUGUGGAAAAGUUUAUAGUUUUAAUAGGUUCAUUGAAAAAGUGCUAAGUAUCGAUUUUUAUUUAUUAUUAUUAUUAUUAUUAUUAUUAUUUUAUUUAUUUAUUAUUAUUAUUAUUAUUAUUUUUAUUUUUUUUUAACUUUGCAAAAAGUGGUUUUUUUUUUUUUUUUGGGCUAAUUACAAGGAGAUUGAUUAUAUGGUAAGUUUUCCUAUGUCAUUUAUGACAAAAAUGGGGAGAGAUAGAGAGUGUUUUGACUCUGUUUUUGAGACAUUACAUUGGUUUUUCAUAUCAUUUUGGACUCCACAUAUUUGCUUUGCUAUCUUAAGUUUUGAUGUCUUGUGAAAUUAAUAUUGUUGGUGAUGUUUUGACUAACAUUGAUAUUGCAUUUUAACCUAGCUAGCAUGAUCAUGAUAUUAUGCCUUAAUUGCUAUUUUUCUUAAUUUUUUUAUAUGCUUUUACACUUGGUAUUUAAAUUGUUGAUUUCAAGAAAUAUGUUUAACAAAGAAAGCAAGUUACAGCCAAGUCAGUUGGAUUUUAGGUAGAUUAGUUUUGUUUACUUUGACUUGUAAUACUUAGUUUUCUCACAUAAUGUCAAAGGUGGAGUUUGUUAGGUAUUAUUGUAUUUCUCUAUUCUUUAGACAAAAUUGAAGUUAUAAAAGAGUUAUAAAGUCAAAGAGUUAUCUAAUGUUGGGAAUCUACUUAUCAUGGCAGCAGAAAUAAAAACAGAUUUCAAUUCCCAUCAAGGACCUGCAUUAUGUUUAGAUAGAAACUGUGACAGAAUUUGUACCUCUCUUUAAUUCUGCAAAAUUUUUUGCUAUUCUUUCUUUGAUUCUACAAUUUUUUUUACUAUUCUUUCGUUGAUUCUACAAACUCCUUUGCUAUUAUUUCGCUCGAACAAUCUUGAUUUUUCAUCCACAACUGUCCAAAUUGUCCAAUCUCCAAUGGAAUUCCACAUAGAGAACAAGAUUGUAGAGAGAGCUAGGAUCUACUUUUCUUGUGCUAGCAAGAGAAAUGAAAAUUCUCCACAGUUUUCUAACCCUAGCUGCUUAUUUGUAUAAACCCAAUCAGACUUGGCCCGUCUACUAACCCGACCCAGUAUUUAAUUAACACAUUUAAUUAAAAUCGAUCCAUGAAUUAAUUAAUCUAAUUAAUUAAUUUGGGCCUAUAAAUAAGUAACUCAAUUAAUUAAUUUAUCCAACGCUUGUUAAAUUAAUUAAUUUACAAAUUACAAUCUUCUAGUUCUCCUUUUGUGUGCGACCCAUCAGGUUCCCAAUCACAAUACCUAAGGAAGUGAAGUACUAUUUUGAUCUAAUCAAAAUUCAUAAAUUAAAACACCCUUUUAAUUUAUAAUCAAUUCACAUUCGCCGUCCUAUAUUGAUAUCUAGCAAUGUGUUAGAGCAAUACAUGUGACGAAAAAUGUCACGUGGUAUGACAAAACCAAACUCAUUCGUUUACCGUGAAACUAUAAUCCCUUCAUCAAUAUAAUCCGACCAAUUGUGAGAUAUGAAAGUGUGUCAAUCCUGAUUAUCAGUCAUAUCUUUCAUUCCACUAUAAAGUCAAUAUAAGUCGAAAAAUCCUUUUCGACUUCUAAGUACACCUUGGUUAAGGAUUUCGCUAUCGACUUAAUUGAAUGAAAUACAUAUUAUAAUCUCUUACUAUCUAAAAAUGAUGAAUCCUUCAUACGAUUCUUGACAUAUUUGAACGAUAACGUACUAGCGACCCUUGACAGAACAACAUCCAAUACCGCCAAAGUAUGACUGUCCUCAUAUAAGGCACUAUGAUGACCUCAAGUUAAAGGAUCAAUUCCACUACCAAACGUUAGAGAUUAAUCACUGAUACUCAGAUAGUUAUCCAUGUGGAAUCUCUCAACGGGUCUCCAAUGUUUUGUUCGACAACAAAACAUCCACUUGUUCAUUUAAGAGUCUUCAUACUUAAGCUUGUGAGAUCAACUACUUAUUUUACAAGAAAUACCAUACGUGAUGGUCUAUCUGAAAUAACGAUAUCCAUAUCUCGUUAUUACUUACGACCAUGGACAAUUUAAGAUUCAACCACAUGUAAUUUGUAUCUUACAAUCAUAACUCUUUGUGAUUAACAAAUUAUUAAGAUUUGAAUUUACAGACUGUAUUUUAUAAUUUAAUUGAAUAUUAAGUAAAUAAUAGAUCUGCCAUAAAAUUGCAUUAGUUAUAUAUUAAAAGUAUUUAUGUCCAAUGUUAAUUGGACCUAGGGCAUAAAACUUGCAAAUUCCCACUUGAACUAGAUCAAUCACUUAUGUAUCCAAUAUCAUAAGAGCCUAUAUGAUGAUUAUAUUUACGCUGCGACAACUCUUUGUUAGUGGAUCUACAAUAUUGUUAAUUGUGGGAAUUCGUUUAUUUCUUUACGUCAUUUCUUUGUCUUAUCUCUCUGAUUAGAUGAUACUGUCUUAAUACAUGUAUGGAUCAUUGAUGAGACCUCAGUUUCUUCGCUUGUGCUAUGGCUCUAUUGUUAUCACAAUACAAUGGCAUGUGAUCAACAAUAGGAACUAUUCUAAGUUUAUUAAUGAACAUCUUGAUCCACACUGCAACCUUUUACUGCUUCUGAAGCAAUCAUGUAUUAAGUUUCUACUAUUGAAUCAACGGUCAUUUCAUGUUUGGAACCUUUCCAACAUAUCGCUUAAGAGUAAACCAAUUUCUCCAUAUAAAAUAUUCUCAAGAUUUUAUCUAUGAAGAUUAGGAUGAGUUAAGCAAUCUUCUAGAUCUAUCUCUAUAGAUCAAGUUGCUUAUUCCAUAUCAUUCAUGAAAAAUCCUUGAACAACCAUUAUUUCAAUGAUUGAAACGUAGGGAUGUCGUUUUCUAUUAAUAAUGUCUUAAAUAUAAUAUUUGGAAUGCGACAAUGCUCCCACUAUCUUCUUGUAAAAACACACAAUUCGUCUUCAUAUUUGAUGAAAUCAAACCUUUUGAUUUUUCCAUCAAAUCGAAGAUUUCAGCUCCAAGAGGCUUGCUUUAACCCAUAGACACGGUAUAUAAUUAUUGCAACCAAAAUCGGAAGGGACUUUAGCAUGGCUACCGGCAAAAGAUUUCACCAAGUUCAACACUUAACCUUUUGCUACUAGUCUUGCUUUGUAUGUACGGAUAUUCCCAUCCAUAUUGAAAUUUCCUUAUAAACCAUUUAUAACACAUGGGUUUUAUCCCAUUAUGUCGACCAAGGUCUAAACCUUGUUUUCAUACAUUUAGUUCAUCUUGGGUUUCAUAGCCUAUUGCUAUCUCUUUUAAGUCAAUACUUGACUUUGUUUUUGUGCAAUAAGUAGGUUCAUCAUCCUGGAUCAGCAAUGCCUGAUUAGCAAUCAUGGAUUCGUACUUUUUUGAAGGUCGAAUGAUUCUACUAGAUUCACACAGAGUUGACAUGUCCUCAGGAGUCUCUACUUCCUGAUCAAGAGUAUGUCCCUCAUCAGAUGUGGGAUCAAACUCAGAUUCAUCUACUUGGUCAACUAUAUCUCUGGCUCUUGAACUCUUUCAAGCUCUAUUAUGCUCCCGCUGCCCUCUCCCAGAGUAAACUUUUUCUCUAAGAAGAUGAUAUAUUGUGAGACGAAGACUUUCUUCUCAAUGGGAUAACAGAAUUGAUAUCCAAAUAUCUUCUUUUAAUAUCCCAUAAAUAUGUAUUUAUCGAAUUUGGUCUCAAACUUAUCCAAUUCAUUGCAUUUCAAAUAAGCGUCACAAUCCCAAACUUUCAUAUGAGAUAUAUUGGGACUAUUGUCUUUCCAUAGCUCGUAUGGAGUUCUGUUAACCAACUUAAAUGGGACGUGAUUUAGUGUGCAGCACACUACAAUCAGCGCAUGACUUCAAAAAGAUUUUAGGAGAUUUGCAUGGCUUGUUAUUAAUCGUACUAUACCUAAUAGUUUACAUUUUCUCCUUUUAGAUACACCAUUAUAUUACAGUAUAUGUGGAGGAGUCCACUGCAAAAGAAUCUCAUUCUCUUUUAGAUAAUCUAAAAUUUCAUCUUUAAAAUAUUACCACUUGAUCAAAUCUUAGUGUGAAAAUCUCUUUACCUAACUGUUUCUCUCUUAGUUUGAAUCUUUGAACUUUCAAGUUCUUCACGCUUGAAUUUCGUUAAGUAUAUAUGACUAUUUCUCUAAUACUCUUUAGUAAUUUUGAUGAAAUAAGAGAAACAUCACCUGACAUCAAUUGGCAUAGGUCCAUAUACAUCAGUAUGCAUUAGACCAUUAAUUAUGCAGACCUUUCUUCUUUUCAAGUAAAAGGAGAUUUGGUCGUUAUGCCAGACAUGUGUAAUUCGUGCUUGUCAAAAUCAACUUUCCCCAAGUAUACAUCUCUAUGUAACUUUGGAAUUUCAUUUCAUCUAUAUGACAAAGUUUACCUUGCUAGAUUUAGGUAAUAAUUAGAUUAUCGCAUUUAUGCUUUAUUAUUUCUAUACUCAUUAUAGAAUGCUUAGUAAUUAGAAUAUAAUAUCGUUUUGUAAUUUACCAUAACCAUUAAAUUCUUUAUCAAACAAGAACAACAAUUAUCCUUAACAGUAAAAUGGUUCAUGUCUGAACAUGAAACCCAUUUAAUGUUCUAGUUAUGGUGGGUACAAAGUAACAUUUUUCUAAUUCCAAUACUAAGUGUAAAGGCAAUGGCAAGAAGUAUGCUCCUACAGGCAAUACAGUAACCUUUGCUCAUUUUCAACUUGUAGGCCAACUUCUCCCUUUUGCAAUUGUCUAUUUAUAUUUAAUUUUUCCAUGUUUGUGUAAAAAUGAAUCCACAUUUGGUAUCAAAUGCAUAAGAAGCUCAUGAAGUAGACAUAAGCCUUGCAAUAUUUCUUCCAAUGACCUUUCAUUAGACUUGGUAUUGUCCUUUGCUUUGACCAUAUUAGCCAUAUUGGAUGCUUUCCCAAAGUGUCUUUAGACUUCCUCUUAAUACCCUUAGAGGAAUCAAUGGCUUGCCCACUACUAACUUUGUUACUGGGCUCAACAGUUUAAGCAUAUUCAACAACUCAAUGUGUGUGCAUUUGAACUUAUUCAUAUCAUAAUUCAUAAUUCAUAUGAAUAACUCUCUGAUAGAAAUUGCAGAACUAAGUCAAUACUUAGUUCCUGGUUCAUGAUUGAACUUAAUUGAGACAACUUCUCCAUGCCAAUUAUCUUCAGUACACGAGCAUUGGCUGAAGAUUCAUUUGUCACUUUGCAUCGACAUAGUUGCUUGAAAAUCUCAUAUCCUUCCACACAAGAUUAUUAUCAUACAACUCUUUGAAAUGAAAAAUCAUACAUUAACAUCUAUAUUCUCAAGUUGCUUUUAUAACUCAGUGACAUAAUGCAAACAUUAGACAUGUUGCAGUACUAUUGCCAUCACGGUGUUAUUAUAUUAGCCACCUCUUUCUUGAUAGAGUCAUCACUAGGUGUCUCUGAAAAGGGCUACUUCAGAACAACCAAUUUUCUCAUGCUCGAGAACAAUUUUCAAAUUGCGGUGCCAAUGAAGAAGAUUUAAUUUAUACAUGGUUACUCACGAUUCAAUAAAUAUAAAUGACGAAAAGAAAAAGAAUAAUAUAUAAAAUGUAUCAAUUAAUUUAACAUGGACUUUUAUUAAAUUAAUUAUGUUCCUACUAUUUAAUUCAAAUUUAUGACCCUCUCACAUAAAUUUAUGGAAUCAAUACUUUAUUCUCAGUGAGGUGGGAUUUCAUUUGUUAUAUUAAGAUCUUGAGUGUACUCAACAAACCUUAAUAUGACAUUUGGGUAAAUAUUAUUAUCAAUUGUACCUGCAUACAACUCCUAGAUCAUUAAACUAACAAUUCUUUGUCUUCACACAUCUUAUUGUAAGCUUAAUGUACCUCUAAAAUUUAUCUCCUUCAGUGUACUCAAAAAAAGAUAAAUUUUAGUUAAGUCGGACCCAUCAUUCAGAAAUAUCUAAUAUUUCAUAGUGUAGACUAGCAUGGAGUGUACUCAACAAGUUGAGAUGAUUUGGAACUCUGACUUUUCACUAUAAUGAUGAAAGGCGAAUAAUAAAUUUACUUAAUAUUUAUUGAGGGGUUUUGCAUUUAGAAGCUCAUCAAUGUUGAUAUAAUCAUAUAUACAAUUUAUUACGCAUCAAACAUGCAAAUAAACAUAUAUGUAGUAUAAUAAUAGGGUGGACGAUUAUAGACUUUAACUAUCUAGUUUUUUCAAGCCAUAAGGAAUACUAGUUGGUCAAUUCCUAGGGGAUAUAGCAUUGAAUCAGUAUAAAUGCAGCAUCUUCAUGGUCUCCUCCUUUUCUUGUGUCUUCAAUUAGUUCAGUUGCAACUUGUAUUUUAUACUAGUUGGCACGCAAGCUUAACUGUAAUUGAACUCACAAGCCCAUAACAAUAAUAAUAAUAAUAACGGACUCACAGGUCCAAAAUAAUUAAGAGGUCGUAGGCUCACAAUAAUAACAAUAAUAAUGAACUCGCAAGUCCAAAACAAUUAAGAGUUUGCAGGCCCAUAAAAGACAAGAAUAAGAUCAACCAUUCAAUACAUCCACAUGGUCGAGUCCAUAAUCAUCCACUAAUAAUACAUUCAUCCCAUAAAUGUAUUCAUAUAUAAUAUCUAAAAUUAUAUGCAAAUAUGUUUCGAGUUUCUAGCAAUUAAAGUCGUCUAAACUAUUUUAGACAAAUGAAUCGGAACAAUUAAAUAAUUAAUUAAUCAUAUUAAUCAAUUAAUUUAAUUAGCGAGCAUAUUUAAUUAAAAUCAAAUUUUAAUUAAAUACCGAAUUAGAGUCCAACUCCAAUUCCACAAUUUUAUAGGGCAAUUUUAUUUAAUUAAAAUCAAAUUUUAAUUAAAUAUCAAACUAGAGUCCAACUCUAAUUUCAAAACUUAAGGCGGUCAAAAUUAAUCAAAAUCAAAUUUUAAUUAAAUAGCAAGAUUUGAGACGAAUUUAUUUAAUUAAAAUCAAAUUUAAAUUAAAUAUCAAAUUAGAGUCCAACUCUAAUUUCAAGGAAAAUUUGGGGUAAGACAAUUUAAUUAAAAUCGAAUUUCAAUUAAACGUCAAAUUAGAAUCCAAUUCUAAUUUCAAGAAUAUAUUCGGUUGAAUAAUUAAUUAAAAUCAAAUUUUAAUUAAGUAUUAAAUUAGAGUCCAGCUCUAAUUUAAAUUGAAUUAAUAUUUUAUUCUAGGAUAACAUUCCUAAAUAAAAUAAAAUUCAAUUGGGGUCAAAGUUUAAUAUAUAAGUUAAAAUCAUAUUUUAAUGAAAAUAUAAAAAUUCAUAAAUUUUAAAUAAGGUUUUAAACGGGUCAAAAUUGAAAUUUUGGGCCAAACCCAUUUGAAAAUCAAAUUUAAGUUCAUUUUAUAAUUCAAAUUUAAACACUUUCAAAAUUUGCAGUUUGCCCCAAAUUAAGAUUAAAAGCAAACCCUUCCGAUUUAACAAAUUGUAGAACAGGUCCUUGUUUUUAAAAUUUGCGAACUAACCCUUUUUCAUAAUUGUAGGAAGGGGCCUUCAAUUUCAUAAAUUGCAUGUCGGGUCCCAUCCCAAAUCUCUCAAACCGAUUUCUGGAAACCCUAGAAAAACCAAAUUUAUUUUUGUUUUCUUUCUUCUCCAGGCUGAAGGUGUAUUUUUUUUCUUCUCCAGGUGUCGGCAUCACCGCCAGCGCUUCAUAAACAAAUCGCAGCAAGAGUCCAAUCACCGGGCAGCCCUUGCUGCGUGCUGCAAUAUUUAGCAGUGUGAGAAAAAAAUAGCUGCAGCGAUGCCACUGCAGAUUGCAGUUGUGCUAGCAGCCAAUGGCUGUGGUGGCGCACAGCAGCGCCUACCACCACUCGUGUCACUUUCCGAUCUAUUUACCAAUUUUUAUUUUUAUUUUUAUUUUUUGUUUUUUCAAAAUCAAAUUUUGAACAAAAAAUAAAUUCAAUAAUUGCUAGAUCUAAGAAAACAUGAGUAAAUCAAUCUUUGAUUUCAUCAACAUGUAAAUCAAUUCCUAACAAACAGAAAGUGGGCUCCGAUACCACUGUUGGGAAUCUACAUAUCAUGCACAAUGGAAAUAAAAAUAUAUUUCAGUUCCCACCAAGGAUCUGCUUUGUUUUUAGAUAGAAACUGUGACAAAAUUUGUACAUUUCUUUAAUUCUGCAAACUCUUUUGCUAUUCUUUCUUUGAUUUUGCAAAUUCCUUUGCUAUUCGUUCGUUGAUUCUACAAACUCAUUUGCUAUUAUUUCGCUCGAACAAUCUUGACUUGCCACUCACAGCUGUCCUAUUGUCUAGCCUCCAAUGGAAUUCCACACAGAUAACAAUAUUGUAAAGAGAACUAUGGUUUAUUUUUCUUGUGCCAGCAAAAGGAAUGAAAAUUCUCUACAGUUUUCUAACCCUAGUUGCUUAUUUAUAGAAGCACAAUCAAACGUGGCCUGUCUACUAAGCCGACCCAGUAUUUAAUUAACUUAUUUAAAUAAAUUCGAUCCAUGUAUUAAUUAAUCUAAUUAAUUAAUUUGGGCCUAUAAAUAAGUAACCCAAUUAAUUAAUUUAUCCAACGCUUGUUAAAUUAAUUAAUUGACAAAUUACAAUCUUCUAGUUCUCCUUUUGUGUGCGAUCCAUCAUGUUCCCAAUCACAAUGCCUAACGAAGUGAAGUAUUAUUUUUUGAUCUAAUCAAAAUUGAUAAAUUAAAAGUCACCAAUUUACAUUCGCCGUUCCAGAUUGACAUCUAGCAAUAUGUCAGGGCAAUACAUGUGACGAAAAAUAUCACCUGAUAUGACAAAACCAAACUCAUUCGUUUACCGUGAAAAUAUAAUUCAUUCGUCAAUAUGAUCCGAUCAAUUGCGAGAUAUGAAAGUGUGUCAAUCCCAAUUAUCGAUCAUAUCUUUCAUUCUACUAUUAAGUCAAUAAGUCGAAAACUCAUUUUCGACUUUUGCGUACACCUUGGCUAAGGAUUUCACUAUCAACUUAAUUCAAUGAAAUACAGAUCAUAAUCUCUUACUAUCUAAGAGUGAUGAAUCCUCUAUUGGUCAUUCAUAACUUUCAUACGAUUCUUGACAUAUCUGAAAGAUAACGUUUUAAUGACCCUUGACAGAACAACAUUCAAUACCGCCAAAGUAUGACUGUCCUCAUAUAAGAUACUAUAAUGACCUCAAGUCAAAGGAUCAAUUUCACUACCGAAUGUUAGAGAUUAACCACUGACACUUAAAUUGUUAUCCAUAUGGAAUCUCCCAACGGGUUUCCAGUGUUUUGUUCGACAGCAAAACAUCCACUUAUUCAUUUAAGUGUUAUCAUACUUAAGCUUGUGAGAUCAGCUACUUACUUCACAAGUAAAAAAUGUCACACAUGAUGGUCUAUCUGAAAUAACGAUAUAUGUAUCUCUUUAUUACUUACUAUAACGGAUGAUUUAAGAUUCGAUCAUAUGUAAUUUGUAUCUCACAAUUACAACUCUUUGUGAUUAACAAAUUAUCAAGAUUUGAAUCUACGGACUAUAUUAUCUAAUUUAGUUGACUAUUAAUUAAAUAAUAGAUCUGCCAUAAAAUUGUAUCAAUUAUACAUUAAAAGUAUUUAUGUCCAAGAUUGAUUGGACCUAGAGCAUAACAUUUACAUGUGGGAGGUUGCAUAAGUCAAUUAUGUGUCUUUGUGUUCGAGUAUUGAACAAGGAGAAAAGUAACUGGAAUAAUGCUAGUUGGCUGCUCCUUCAGGGCUUGAGCAUCACCUUAGAUAAAUCAACUGAACAUCUACCGUUAGCCUGUUGCCCACUUUGCGAUCGAGCUGGCAAUAAUAUCGGUGAAAAUUAUGCUUUGCGAUUUAAAUAGCUUUUUGAGUCCUAAACAAUCCCAAACACCUUCUACUAUAUAUAUCCCAGUCCUAUUUCAUCUAUAUUGGUAGUUGACCAUUAUAUUCUUCCUAGAGAACACCUUUUAGAGAUUCUACAUCAAUUUUAUACUUUGAGAUCAAUCAAUCACACUUUCUAAAACAUCAAUCCAAAUUUUCAAAACACCAAAUCACCCAUUUCUAUAUAAUCCGUCAAAAUUCUGAUUAUUGAGAAAGAAAAUCGGAGUUUCGAUAGGACAAGAAUAAGGAGUUCUUGGUGAUCCAUAGGAGAUGGACGAUUCCAAAAUAUAUAUAUAUAUAUAUAUAUAUAUAUAUAACACCUUUUAGAGAUCCUACAUCAAUUUUAUACUCUGAGAUUGAUCAAUCACACUUCGUAAAACGUCAAUCCAAAUUUUCAAAACACCAAAUGACCCAUUUCUAUAUACUCUGUCAAAGUUCUGAAUAUUGAGGAAGGAAACCGGAGUUCCCGUAGGACAAGAAUGAGGAGUUCUUGGUGAUCCAUAGGAGAUGGACGAUUCCAAAAGGUUGGGAGCUAGCACAUGAGCACACAAUCCAAGAGAGCCUUGGUGAUUGUAGGUAAUAGGUCAGAUAGUGCUAGAAGUUAGUCGAGUCUGGAUUGUACUGUAAGUCAUUUUGUCUACAGUCAAUUUAUUGGCUUGGCCUAAAGUUUUUUGAUCCUUUACGAAGAUUUUUUUUUCCAUGAUCAACUAUUGGUGAUUUUCUUUUAUGCAAAUUAUAAACUUUGGUAAUUCAACAUAUGAUAGACUUGCACGUGAAUUCAUAUAGAUUAAUAAAUAUUUGUGACUUGUUGCUUAUAAUAAUUGGUAAAUUUAAAUUUUGAAUUAAUCACCUAUUCAACCCUUUCUAGAUGUUAGUUGGGCCAAUUUCAUCAUUUCAACUAUGUUACUUGAACUUCUCUUUAUUUAAGAAAUUAAUAAUAAAAAAGUUUCAAACUAUAGAAUUUUUAAGUAUCACUUAUUUUAGGUAUUUACAACUUUUACUUAACCCUUGUUUUGUUGAACAAAAAAAGUUUAUUAAAAUCUAAUCCAAAGUCAACAAUUAAUGUUAAUCAUAAGUUUCAUGGAUGACACAUGAUGGAAAUGUAAAUGAUAAGAAGGUUGUUUUGUUCGUAACACGUGAAAGGAUGUUGCUCGAAUUUUGCUCAGAUGGAUGUGGAAGAAAUAUUGAACUUCACCAAUUAACGAAAAAAUUGUAAUAUACUGAUAAAAACAUAUGUAGGAUUUUCGAACCUCGUAAUCAAAGAAAAAUCUUAAUCUGUAGAUAAAUUUUAAUAAAACAAAAAAAAUGUUAAAAUGGCGAGAAUAUCACUAAAUUGACUUAAAGCAGAAAAUUAAUCAAACGGACCCAUACACGAUGAAAUUUACGUUGAAAGUUUGACAACAUCAUUUGAAAAAUUUGUUGAAUUGAAAAAUGCUUCGGAAUGUAAUCACUUGCGUAAAUGUGACACCAAAGCUGAAAGUUGUGUGUUUCGUAGCUCGUUAUUUUUCCUCUUCUUUAAUUAGUUUAUUAUUUUCUCUUCUAAUCGUUCGACACUAUUUCCUUCCACUUUAGAACAAUUCAACCCUAAGUUGUCAUCAAGAUAUGAAGAUUUACCAUUAUCUGAAAUACAUUCAUAAAGAUCUGCAACAUUAAAUGUUUUAGAAAUCAUCACGUGCUUAGUAGGAUUAAGGUUUUUUUUUUUUUUUUUUUUUGCAAAAUUUGAAAAGGCCCGUACUUCUUCUGAUCUAGUUAUUUCUGACUUCCAUCACGUUCUUUCCUUACAAACAUCAUAACCCUAUUAUUCACCUAAAACAUUUUCUAGUGCCUAUCUGUAUCAAUAGUGGCCUUAUACUUUGCAUUGGAGCUUUCGAAUUUUUCUUCUCCUAUUGAAUCACCUCCAUAUGUUGUUCAGCUAGUUAUUCAAUUGUUGCACUCUUUGUCAUAGUUGUUCCACCAAGUUCCUUUAUAUUGUCGGAAAACUUACUCACUAAAUUUGUAGUGGUCAUAAAAGUUUUCCCUUCCACUUUAAAAGUUUUCUGGCAGAUCCUAUCUUUUUAUCCUUCCAUUUGAACAUUUAGGUGUUCUCUACACUCCAAUGUAUGACAUCCACAUCAAACUGUCACUAUUUUCCCAAUAGAACAUAACAUGCAUCAAUCUCAAUAAUGUCACAAAUAAUUUUUGAUUUGUAAAGUUCCCAUGAACAAAGAUAACCUAGAAAUUCAAGUCAUCUUAAUAGAUAGGCCCUUCUUAGUCGAACCAAUGUGAUAAAAAGUUUGAUGUUGUUUAGUUGCCAUCUUUAGAUGAUCAACUAGCUUCUUUGCAAUCACAUUCUCACAGCUAAACUAUCAAUGAUCAGAUAAAAAAAAAAAAAAAAAAAAAAAACAAAAACAACACUUGGCAUAAAAGAUCUUCCUAAUUUGAGUCAACUAUUCCUACUUGGGCAAGCAUAAGAUUUUUUGCAGUAUAUAUACAAACUCUCCUUGUUCUUUUUCACAUACUUCAUCAGAGUAUUCUUCCUCUAGCACCGGAUGAAAACAUGAAUAAUAAUAAUAAUCAAUCUUAUUCGUAAUACACAAAGAAGUGUUGCUCAAAUUUUGUUCGAACGGACAUAGAAAUAUUGGAAUCUACCAAUUAACGAAAUAAAUUAUGAUAUUAUUAAUCAAUACAUUUGUAGGUUAUUCAAUCCCUUUAACACAAAUUUAAAGAAUUAAAACGAACUCCAAUCAAUGCAAAACUCUAAUUCUGUAGAUAAAUCUAAAUAAAAUUAAAAAACUAUAAAAAUGACAAAAAUAUCCUUAAAUUCACUCAAAACAAAAAAUUGCUAAAAUGGAGUCCUAAAUAUUGCAUGCCAUCCACGUGUAUGCUCUUUGUGGUGUAUGCUGUCCACGUAUAUGCUUUUUGUUUGAUGCCAUCCACAAUUGCUAAAAUGAUCCACCAUCUGACUCAUUCAAAUAUUGCAUGCCAUCUACGUGUAUGCUCUUUGUAGUGUCCACAGCCACGCGUAAAAUCCAUAUACCUCCAAUCCAAUGUAUAAAGAUCCGACCAUUGUAAUUGAAAGCUAACUGAGAAAACCAGAAGAUAAAUGGCAUCAAAUCUGAAUCCAAGGUAUGCAUACACAGUGGUUUAUGUUAGAGAUGUAGCCAAAUCUGUUGCAUUUUACGCCAAGGCAUUUGGUUAUCAAGUACGCCGCUUAGAUCACUCUAACAGGUAAAUGACAUUGAAAUAUUAUUGCAAUCAAUGACAUUGAAAUCGUAUUGUUACGUUAGAAUCUCGAAAUCUUAAUGCAUGUUUAGGAACGCUUGUCAAGUUUUAUAAACUAUCAAACGUUAUUUUUAUCUACAAAUUUUAUAUGAUUCACGAUUUAUAAUCUACUGCUAUACUCUUAUCAUAAUUACGUGUAAAUGAGUCUAGCAUUGUAGAAGUAUAUUGAUGUCAAGUAGACGCGGCCACCAGGAUGGUCUUGUUGGGGUCCCUAUGAUUUGUCCGAAUUUAACCCAUCUUUCAUCUAAUUGAAAUUAGAUUUUGUAAAUUUUGAUAAAAAUUGACGAAAUGAAUGGUUGGGAAGUUAUGAAUCUAAUGAAAUGGGUUAUUUAUUUAUUGUAAGCAAAAUUUCAUAUCAACUUAAAAUUUUUGUCAACCUUUUAAUCUAAACCAAGCAGGGUAUUAAAUGCUUUUGAUAGACAAUAAAAAAGAAUACUAAGGAUAUCAACGGCCAUGAUUGAUUUGGAAGGUGUUUUCUUCAACAAGCCAACAACAUCACGAAAAAAAGUCAAUGAUGAUCAGGCUGAACGAAUACUUGCAUCCUACAUCUCUACCUUGACUUUGCGGAUUGGGUCCAUUAAAAAUGAAUAAUAUAACCAUAUGAUCUAAUGUUUUGUAUGUGAAAAUAUUUGAAUCUUGUUCUAAUUUCUUGGGAUCUACAUAUGUUUAUUAAUUUUGUUGAUUGGAUUGGUGUAGAUGGGGUGAGCUGGAGAGUGGGGAGACCACAAUAGCAUUAACACCUGCGCACCAGCACGAGACGGAUGAUUUGAGUGGCGAGGUGCGUAUGCCACAAUCUAGCAAUGAGAGGAACUCAAUCGAAGUCUGUUUUGAAUAUUCAGAUGUGGAUUCCGCCUACAAGGUAUGGUAUAAUUAUUUCCCGCUUGUUAAGAAAUAAACAUAACUUCCUUGUGAAGAUUUUCUAGCAAGUUUGGCACACUGUGAUGUUUUGAGAUUGUUAUUUGUGGACGGAUCAGAAUGCUGUCGAGAACGGUGCCGUACCAGUUAGUGAGCCAGACGAGAAGGAAUGGGGACAAAAGGUAGGAUAUGUUCGAGAUAUUGACGGGAUUGUCGUGAGGAUGGGGAGCUACGUGAAUUCGUCCAAAGCCCAUCACUGAACAUCAGCCUAUAUUCUGGAUUUAUCUCAUCUCAUCUCAUGGCUUUCAUUCCCUUCCUUAAUGUUUGUACCAAUUACAGAUCAUAUACUUUUGGAAGUUGCAGCUCAUCAUUUGAAUUAAUCUUUGUAGAUUGGGAUUAUAAUCCUCUAUAUACAUAGUUGGGUCAAUUUCAAGCGCCAGUCUUUCCAUGACAAAUUCGUUUAUAUUGUGGUUCUCCUAGUUCAUGAUUUGGACCUAGGGUCUUUAUAUAAUUCUUGUAGCUUGGGAUAAUUUUCUUAUAUUUAUGUUGGAAUGUAUGUACGAAAACAUUUAACAUGUGUUUAUUUAAGUUUUCAUAGUCAAGGGCGUUCAAUAUAUAUUCAUUAUUCAUUGGGAUAGUCUAUUAGUUAUUUGAAGGCACAUGAGCAAUAUGUCAUGCACAAUGGAAGUCUCAACGUAUGCAUUGUAGAUUUAUUAUAGCUAGAGAAUCUCAUAUAUAUGGAGUAAUCUCAAUUGAUUAUCUAAAAGUUAAGAUAAUUUUGCGGUUUCACUUAUAAACGUGAGCAUUACUUAAUGAACGCGUUGAUCGAUCAAUUAUAAUUUUUAUUGACGACAUUUCGGUAUCCUCAAAGGAUAAGGAACAACAUUAAAUGCAAUUGAAGAUUGUAUUAGAGAUGCUCAAAAGAGAUUAAUUACAUUUAAAUUUAAGAAAUAUGAAUUUUACUUCGACCUAUAAAUUUUUUCGACAAGUACAUCAUUGCACAAGGAAUUGAAGUGUAUGUGACUGGGGUUAAAGCCAUGGCUAAUUGGUCUAGACCAUUUAUUGUCGAUGAGGUCUGUAAUUUCUUGUGAUUGAUCAGUUAAAUCAGAGAUUACUAAUGGAUUUUUUAAAAUAAGGGACAAAAUAACUCUACUAUCUAGAAAUGUGUAUUGCAAUUUCUGGAUUAUUAUAUGAUGAUUUUUGAACUUUUCAAAUAGAAAAAAAUUAAAUAGAAAGAGAUAGAUUAGAAACAACAUAUAUUAUAACUGGUCUCUCCAAACUUUUCAUUUACAAUUAAGCUGGUCGUACAGGGCGACAUGGGUACAACCAGCAUAACCAUUACAUUUAAGUCCCAUUAAGAGAUUCAAGAUAUCAUACACGUUAUUAUUUUUGGUAGUUUGACAUUUUUCACGGAUUCAGGGUAUAAAGUAACACCAGUGUGCAAAAAUAGGUUUAAAUUAAUAAGCUUUUUGUACAAUGCAAUCACUUUAAAAUGGGGCAAAUUGCAUAAAAUUAAAUAAAAAUCAGUUGCUUUAUAUGAGAUUUAUGAUGAGGUUGGUUUUUUUGUCACAAUUAUAUCUCUUUUACUAUACAAAUUUUUAAUUGUAUUACAAGAGUCUAAUUUUUUCUUUUGUCGCAUUUAUGUUCCUAUCAUUUUUUAUCACUCAUCUUCAAUUUUUUAUUAAUUAGCAUAUUUUGUCCCUUUAGUUUACUUAAAUUUUUGUUUUAGUUUUAUAAUUGAUUAAUAAUAUUUAUUUAAUAUAUUUAUUGUGUAAUAAUAAUGUUUUGAAAAUCAGAUCCGAUUUAUUUGUUUAAUCCAAAAAUUUUGAACUGGUUCCAAAAUCGAUCGGGCACAAGUCAAAAACUAUUUAAGAAAAGGUCGGAAAAGUGGUCAAUAAUAAAUCGAUUGACAGUGGACAUGGGUUUACUAGUUGGAUUCCGUAAAAAAGUGAAAUUUCUUUUUGGUAAAUGAUUCUAUUUUUGCAUUUAAGAGAUGAUAAAUGAAGAUUAGGCUUGAAGAUGAUAAAAUAAUAAAAGAAAAGUGGCUCUGCCGAAAGCUUACGUCCGUGUUUCAAGAAUGAGGACUCAAAAGUGUGGCUGGAUUCACGAGACUUGCAAUAGAGUAACAUGGAUUAAAAAUGCACAUUUUGAAUUAAAUAAUUAGCAUGUUUGACUCAUCUAAAAUUGUUCCAUUAAUGAAUUUUGGGGGGAAAAAAUUACUUCAAUGUUUACUAACUUAAAUUGUUUGGUCGGCAAAGGUAUAGUUUUUCCGACUUCAAUUCUUUGGGUUGGCCAAGGUAUAUUUUUCCCGACCAAAAAAAGUAGUCAACCUAUGUUUUGCCGACUUUGUGUUUAAACCUUCACCAACCCAAAUUAUGAUCAAAAAAAUCUUUAUUAUUCCCAGCCAAAUUCUUGUUGGCAAGUAAAAGCCUAAAAAUUUCCCGACUAAUAUGUAUUGCGUAAAAACCUAUAUAUUUUCCGACUAAAAUGUAUUAUGGUCGGUAAAAACUUUUGUUGGCUGGCUUUUGGCGAUCAACUCCCGACCGAAAUUUUGUAGUACCGACUAAUAUUUGACAUUUAGCGAACAGUCUUUUGGUUGGGAAAAAUCAUAUUUCUUGUACUCUGAGUUGCUCAUUAUAUCUUUAGAGAUAAAAAUGUAGUUGAUAAUAUUUAAAUUUUCAAAUUAUAUUAGAAAAUUUAUUCCUUUAAAUUUUUUGUUGACGUCAAAAAAUGACUAGCUUAAUUUUAUCAACUUUAUUGAUGAUUUGUGAGAGGUAAUUUGAGCCAAAAUAGUAAAAUUAUGCUGAACCAGUGGAAUUGAGCUGAAAUAGUAAUAAAAAUAAAGUGUUUGUAUUAGGUAGAGAAAUUUGGGAGUAUAUACGAUGUGCGUUUAGCUUGUUUUCUCAGGGGACCACUACAAUCCUUUUUAUAGAUAAAGAUGGGCAAUUGCAUGACUUUACAUCAAAUCAGCUAGAAUGCUGACCUUAAUGUGUGUGUCAAUAACCCAAUUUUGAUUAUCUAUUGAGGUCGGUCUCCAUAUGUCAUGAUGAAUUUGAGGCGGAAAGUAAUCAUUGCAAUGGAUGGUCACAAUUUGGGUGCCUCUUUGAUGAAAAUCGAGGCUUUGAUUAUUCAAUCUAAUUAUUUGUGAAGAAAGAUCAUGUUGAGAAUGUGACAGAAUUCACUAUCAAUCGUUAAUUAGAAAUUGCGCGCAUAGAUUUUUCAUGACCAUUAGUUUGCACCUAUACAUUUACUAGCUGUCGUUUGUAUUUAUGAUUAAUUAUGACAUCAAAAUAAGUUUGUUUAUUUGGUGUCUAUUCAAUUAAAAACGCAUUUAACUUAGCCAUCUGUUAUUUCAUGAAUUCUGUGAAUUAAAUAUUGAUUACAUAUGUGAUUUGAUUUCAGUAAAUAAUAUUCACAUUUGUAGAAUUCUGUUUUCUUUUUCGGUUAAUUUACAAUGGUACAUAUUAAUUCCUUCGUUUUAAAUUCCUUGCGUGUUGGAUUUAAUUUACUAAAAUGGCAUUUUUUUCACUUUUAUCCACUAACAAGUGCAUGUGGUUAGGUGUUUGUUCAGUUCGUUUCUGAUUUGGCCAUAACUGAGUCAUAAGGAAUUUUUUUUUUGUAUUGCAAUAUUAUUAAAUGGAGGCCAGCAAUUUCCAUGAAAGCAUGUGAACUUUCUUGCGAAGCAGUUUUUAAGGCCAGAAAUUUAUUAAGAUGAGGGACUCGGAUAGUCAUUUAUGGUAGGUGGAGCAGAAUGGACCACCGAAUUGGAAUGGAACCAAACCUUCCCAUUAGAACAUAGUCUCUAUAUGGCAAUUCAAUCUUGGCUGCAAUUGGUGUAAAAUACAUUAGAUUAUUUAAAUGCAAUAAUUAAUCAUGAAUUUAUUUGAUAUUCACUAAUCUGUGCAUGGAAGUCUCUAUUAUAUUUGAAAGUGCAUGUGUUUUCUUUAAUCAAAAUCAAUUGUGGUGCAAGAAUAAUGCCACCUGUACAUUAAAAAAAAUAAAAUUAUAUAAUGGUUUACAUACAAAUAAUAUGUGAAAAAGAGAACUUGAAAGGAUUUUUUUUUUUUUUUUUUUUUUUGUUAAGGAAAUUCUGACCCAAUAAUAUAUCACUAUAUCAUGUAUAUGUAAACAAUUAUGUACAUGUAGCACAACCAGUGGUGCAGGAUGAUCUAUUUGACCCCGGCAGCAUUACCAAAUGGUGACAUUGUUCACUCUUGAUGUAGUGACCGUUCUUUUAAAAGGCACCUUGUGCAGGUCAAUACGUGAAAUUGGCCCAAUUCACAACAAGAAGUUGGACCCUUUGAGACCCCAGUUUUGUCCAAAGCCAAAAUUAAAAUAUUGGAUCACGUGGUGAUGCAAGGGGAACAUAAAAGAGUGCAGUUUGGUCUUGAUAAAAAACUAAAUACUUAACAUGGAGUCACUAUUUCGUCCUGAUUAUGGAACCAUGGCAGGAAAUUCAACUAAUCCAAUUCUUUGUGACAAGUAGAUUGCAUUGUUGCUAACAAAGUAGGUUCAUCCUUUGAAUAAAAUUUUCCAUCCAUAAAACUUUAGAGUGGCAGCCAUAGCAUGAGGUUUCUGCAUCCGGUUACAAAGGUUAUUUGAGGAACACAUAAUACCCAUGAAUGUCGAUAGAUGUUGAUGGCUAUGCCACCAAUAUCAUGUGUUAUAUAUUUACAUGACUUUGAGGCUAUUGUGCCAAUACCUAAAGUUGACACACUAAAGUUGGUUAGAUUGCAAUACACAAUGUUAAACUGGUACUAAGUAGUUUUCAUUCAAAGUGGGGCAAUUUUUCUGGAGUCAACCAACUUAUGAUUUUAUUUCAUUUUAACUAUCCUACAUACAUUCAUGGUUCAAUACGAUAAUUUUGUCCGUAAUUAUGACCAAAACCAUCCAUUCCCACAAUAACCAACAAAAUGCACAACUUUGCACUUUCUAAAUUCUUAAUCAGUAGUUGGUCGAGAUUGCAUAAAGUCAAAUUUAAAGUUCUUAAAUUCACUCAUUUGAACUUUUUUUAUGGCCAAAAAAUUUCGAUCUUCAUAUUCAAGUAGGAUUAAUCAUUAUCUUCGAGCACGGUUAAGAAAAAUAUGAAGUUGAAUUACAGGAUGAAAAUUGAAGUGAGGGACCAAGAUGAACUUCACUCUAAAUAAAUCAAGGAUCUAAUUCCAUUAUAUGAUAUAAAUGUCCACUGGUUUAUAAAUUUUCAUAAUCCUUCUAAAAUAACCAUACAUCCCUCGCGUUAAUCUCAAGCAACUCCAUAUCUCUCUCUAACUUCGCGUCCGAACUAAUUUUUCAGGUAUAUGUUUUAUAAUGAAAGCAGCUUUUGAUAAUUUGAUUUAAAUUUGUGGAACAAGGAUACGAGUAAUUGAGUAUUGCUACAUUUUUAUUUUUUUAUUUUUUUAUGAUCUGAUCUCAAGAUUUAGCAUUCAAACCUUUUUUAUCCAGUGGAAAAUUUCAAUUAUUUAAUGUAACUGUCUACCUGCUUGAUUAAAAACAGUAUUUUCAAGAAUGGAGAAUUCGAUUAUUAUUAUUAUUACUUUUUUAUGAAUUAAAGUACUAAAUUGAAAUAUGUUUUUGAGAUAAUGUAAAUUAGGGAGUGGGAAUUAAAGUGAGUAGAUAAUAUUUGAAAAAAGGGCUACUGAGGUCCCAGUGAUAAAGAAAAAGUGAUUUAGACGAUGAAGGUUGGAUGUUAAAGUCCUAAAUUUUUAAUGACAAAACAAAAGCUCAUAAUAACUUUAUCGAGAGAAAGAUGAAAUAAUUUGACAAGCACUUAUUGGAGGAAAAAGAAAAAGUAAGAAGUCAAUAAUAUUACAAACUAUCCACCUCACAUAAUACCCACUUAAUGCAUGUAUAAACGAGGAAAAAGAGAAAGGGCGCGAUAAUAAGAAAUCACAAUUAAAAAGGUAAUGAAAAAAAAAAAUUAAAGGUAGAGGAUGGAUAUUGUCUACUGUACCAAGGUAAUUGGUGAGGAAUCAGCCAUCAUUCCACAGGUUUUCCGGGAAAAGUGAUACGAUUUUGUUCCUUCCGCGUGUUUGCUAAAGACUUCCUAGCAUUCCCUGUAUCACAAUUUAUUCAAACAGUAUAAAAACCAAAGAAGAUGGAAGUAUGCCAAAAUCAAUUGAUCAAAUACUUGUUGAUUCCAUCAAAUUUUCAAAACUGAUUUAAAAUUACGAUCUAGCUGAUUCUAUACAAAUACCGUGUUUGGUUGCUUCCCAAAAAAAAACCCGAUAUAGGAUCCAAAAGAACUGGACAAAUCCAAACUCUUUACAAUGUCUCACAUUUUCUUCAUAAAAACACAAUUUCAAGAAGUUCAAAGGGAAAUGUCAACAAAAUGAAGGACAUCACAAUAAAUUAAAAGGCAUAAUUAAUAAAAUAAACUAAAAGAUAACGUUUGAGCAACAGUGGAAUGUUGUACCAAGUUCUCAUAACUCGUGGCUGCUUCACAAGUUCAUAAAUAUAGUUGGCAUAUUAAAUAAGAAAAUAUGAAAUAGUGUUAAAAGUCUUUCGACGUUUCUUUUUAUUCCAUGCACAAUAAACAAGUCACACAGCCUUAGGAGAUUGAAGGAAAGAGAAAAACGAGCCACAAAGCCUUACCAGCAAAACUCAUGCUCUGUUUACUCUAUUAGCAUCGCUAGUGGGAGAUGAUAACUUUAAGCUCUUCAUUUCCCAUUUCUUGUUGUUCUUCCCGAAUUUCCAUAGCAGAUUUUGCGACAGAUUCUGCGCAUCCAUAUACCUCAAUCUUCUGUAAGGUCAAGAUAUAACCUAAACUGGAAGGGAUCUCUUUCAAACAGUGGCAAUAUCGCAGCACUAAUCGUUCAAGUUUGGGGUAAUCAUCACUUGUGGGAUUCCAUUUUGCUGUCGGAUACCAAUCUGCAGAGUCAUAUUGGCUUACAAUUUCCACUCCAUUUAGCUCGAAGAAUUUGAGUUUUUGGAAUUCACCUUCUGCUGUGUCCCAUUGAUUUUCCUUGAAGGAACCACGACGUAAUUUGAGAACCUCUAAGUUCGGCAAUCUCCCAAUCAUCCGAAUUUUUUCCCACGACAAAUAAAAAUCCAAUAGGGUCAAUUUUUUGAGAUUCAAGGGAAAUUUGGGACGUGAAUCUCCCAUGAAACUGAUGUUGAGCGAUUCAAGUUGAUUGGGGAAUUUGAAAGGACAUCGAGACGCGAACUUGCAUUUCAAUUUGCGUAGGUUGGGAGCACAUCCCAAAAUUUUUGCAUCCAUUUUAUCUUGGAUCAAAAGUAGAGAAAUAGAUUGUAGGUUAUUUAUUUGGAAGCUCCCAUCCUUAGUUGCUCUUAAAUGAGAAAAUGCACUGAAGCUUGCACCACGUCCAAAAUGCAGAUGUUUCAAAGUCUUCAUGUUAAGAACGAACUCAGGUAUUUCAACUUUACAUCUGUUCUCCACGUGAAGAUAUUCUAGUUUGUGGAGAUUUUCUAUUACUGGCACUAUAAAUUUUUGUCGAACUGCCAAGUACCUCAAGUGAACCAACUUUUUAAUUCCUACACUUAUAUCUUCAAAAUAAGAACAAUAUUGUCCUGACAAAUCCAUGACCCUGCGGCCUAACUGAGAGUGAACAUAUGGAUCAAAUGGUCUUGGGAAACAAAGACGCUGCAUUUCCAAGAUACUCUUAUCUUCCUUAUACUUCGAAUACCCGCUGAAGAACAAAUGUGGUGACAACAAAAUCACAUCCAAUCAUCAUCAGAAACAAAAACAUCGUUAGUGUGGCCAUCAAAGAUAGUUACAUUAUUAAUAAUCCAAAUAGAAAUAGAAGAAAGUGAACGAGGAAAGAAGGGAGACAAAGAACUUACUUUUCGAUCCCUCCCAUAAAGUUUUCUUCUUUAGCUAUCCUCAAGCAUAUCUCAUGCAAUAGAUCAUGAAUCAUGCAAGUUUUGACUCCACCGUUUGAUCUUUCUUCAGCAACUAGUACCAGACCCCUAUUAAUUAGAUCCAUUAGAUAAUAGUGUGCCACAUCCUCUGAGCUCCUGUUGUUUUCUUUGUUUAUAAACCCUUCAGCAACCCAUAGAGAUAUCAACUUCCGUACCGGGAUUAAUUCGUCUUCUUCAAAUGCUCCAAAGUAUAGAAAACAAGGUUUCAGAUGAACUGGUAAAUGUUGGUAACUAAGUUUCAGUAUGUCGAUGCAAUUAUUUGUGCUGUCAAAUAUGUGUUCAUUUAAAUGCCCCGCUACUUUUCCCCAUGAGCUCUCUUUCUUCUGCAUAUUUGCAAGAAUGGAAGAUAUCGUAAUGACUGACAGAGGUAGACCACGACAUUUUGCGGCAAUAUGCUUACCAAUCUCUAGCAAUUCUGGAGGGCAAGGUUCUGUUUGGAACACUUUCCGCUGUAAUAAUUCCCAACACUCAGCAUCUGAUAGGAAAGGAAGUUCAUUAACAACAUCAUUGAAGCCCAAUUCUUUGUUCCGAGAUGUGAAUAAGAUUCUACUUCCUGUUCUAUCAUCUGGAAAAUAUCUUUUCAAAUCGUCCCAUGGUUUCAUGUCCCAUACAUCAUCCAUGACAAUGAGGUAUCUCAUUCCUUUUAAACUUUUGUAAAGCAUUUCAGCCAAAUUUUCUUCCUCCAUUUCUGUGAUUGUUUCUCUAUUAUGGUUUCUUGUCGAUGUCAAAAUGUCAAUCAAUACAUUUUUCUUCUUAUAUGUUUGAGAAACCACACACCACGCACAUUUGUCAAAAUAAUAGACAAUGGAAGGAUCAUUGAACAAAUUCUUUGCUAAAGUAGUCUUACCAAGUCCAGGCAUUCCAACAAUGGAAAUAAUUUGUUGCUUUCGUGGUCCACUGGUGAGUUGAUCAGCAAUUUUGAUUUUCUCAUCCUGGAAACCCACAAAAUCAUCUUCCAAAUUGUCAAUUUCUUUAGCUUGAGGCUGUACUUGCUCACAUGGAUAUCCUUCUUCUGGUAUUCCAGCGUCAAUACUACUGCUCUUCUUUUCUUUUAUUUCCAUCUUAACAAGAUGAAUCUUCUCCAGGAGUUGAGAGAGCCUGGGGGUGAGAUACCAGACAGGAGUAACCGAGUUGAUAACAUAUGAAAUUUCAUAUAAUAAGUCUCUGGUUUUCAUCGCAAGUUCCUCAAGUUGUAAGUGCUGUGCCACAACUAUAAAAUUGAGGGUGGAUCUCAACAACGAUAGCUCCUCGUAGAGCAUUAUGAUUUGAUCCUUCACUGGGACAAUCCUUUCAGCCUUAUAAUUGAUCAGGUCCUCGAGAUCAUCUAGGAGAGAAUCCACAGUGAAGAACGAAAUCACACUACUCUUUGUAGCGACACAACCUGGCAACUCUGGGACUGUGAUGCAGUACUCCUUGAUCUUUGUUUUCAAGAGCUCAAACUUUUGUAAGAAAUCAGAAAGAGAAAGACUCAAUCUUCCAGUCGUCAGGACUCUAUCAUCACUUGCUGAGAAUAUUGAAUAUAAGAAACUUCCAACCUCAUUGACAACAACUUCGAUAUCUGACAAUAUAUUCUUGGUUGCGUCCAACUCAGUGCGUAACGGUGCAUCUCCAAGAAAGCUGAUUAGAAAUCCAAGUUCUGUCUGGACGUUUUUUAUUGAACCCUUGACUGGAACAAUGAAAUCUGGUUCAAGGCGCAUUAUUUCUUCUAAAAGUUGGAGGAGAAAGUCGAUAAACUCCACAACAACUUCAUUAGGAUGGGGAGUAGGAGUAAUCUUCGACAUUUGCUGCUUUGGGAUUGUGAAGACUACCCUCAGAUCCUUCACAAAUGACAUCAGUAACUUGAAGAAUUCUCUGUCUGCUUGAGGUUCAGAAGCCCCAAAAGACAUGCAACGGUAUGCUGAAUCGUCGAGAUGAUCUAGUAAAUCAGUUUCAAAACGGGAAGCCCCAAAAAACAUGCAACAGAAUUUUCUGUAUGUUUUGUCAUAACGGAAGCACAGUUUUUGUUUUUUCAUAUACGCAAAGGCAAUUGGAACAAGUAAUCUCUGUCCAACAAAUGUUUCAAAUUUUUCAUCUCCUUCGAGUGAAAUUUUUAUGAGAUUUCUGACUUUUGUAUUUUCCAGAAUACGCCUGAGAAAUAAAGGGAGACCCAUCUUUUCUUCAAAUUCUUAGUAUGAAUCAGUGUCUAUUUAAGGAAAAUUCGGGGGAUGGACGAAUUCCAGGGGAAGAUAUAUGUAUGAUUGUAUUCUACUCCAGAAAAUUUAGAGGCUGUUUGGAGGACAUUUCUUCGGCAGGAAAAUGAAUUUUUCUACCGUUGAUGCCAAAAGCAGCCGUUGUUUUUGACCAUUACACUCUCAUGUGGGGCCCAGAUGACCAAAAAACAGUCCAAAAAUUACUUUUCUCCUUUCAAAAAAUGACCACCAAACAAGGGCUUACUUAUAACAAAAGUUCAAUCUUCAUCACAAACUCUAAACAACUAGGCUCCGUUUGGUAUCUAUUUUUUAAAAAAUGCAUUUUUCUCUCUCUUUUUUUCAACCACACAUUCUUUAUUAAAAUAAUAUUAUACGUAAAUAAAAAACUUUUACUUAUUUUUCAACCACAUAUUUUCCAUCAAUUUACUAUUCCAAAAUGCAUGUUUACAUAAAAAUGGUUCCCAAACACCCUCUAAAUAUUGAAUUCACGGUUUCUCAUAAGAUUAAUAAUUAUAGAAUUUGAGCCACCGGGACAUAUUUCAGUGGUGCAAAGGACAAGGGUGAGGUAUACUUAUCUUUACUGACAGUCGCAGUAUGAGAGUUCGAUUCCUGAAAUAUGGAUUGAGACUCUUUAUGGACACCAGUGUACAUACAGCUCUUGUUUCUUGGUCUGCUGGGGCAUAUCCUUCGAUUAACAUCUUUCACGAUACUCUAAGGGUGGGGCAGUGAGGGACCCUGAAGAUUGGGAUUCAACCUUUUAAUAAUUAUAGAAUUUGAAUAUAAAAUUGCCGACACUUGGAGACAGCGAUGAUUGUAUUAAAGUGAAAUUAAAGGAAAGCAGCGUUCAUAUGAGGGAAUCUUCCAAUGUUCACACCAUGCGGUAUAUAGGUGUAAUUAAGGCCCCAUUUGAGAGGAAUUUUAAAAAUUGGUUUUUUGACCGUUAGAAGAAAAGUAGGGUUCAUCUGUGAGAGAAGAAGUUAAAAAUUACGCUGACAUAGUAAAAUAAAGAUCAACCAAUCGAUUUUUUCUUGUUGUACAUUGGGGGCUACAUUCGACUUCCAAAUCAUGUCAUAAUUCAAUUUUUUAAUAUUAACAAUAAUAACCUCUGUUUGGAGCCCAUUGAAGGCCUAUUUUUAGACAAUUUCGGACCGUUGCCCGGUAAUUUUUUGCAUUCAAUUUCUGCUGUUUCCGACAAAGAAAUGACUACAGCCUAUCAAAGAGAUUCUUUUGACUUUUGGCUUUUCCUUGUGUUACCCCUAGCACUCGCAACCAGGAAACCACGCGCCCUCUUGAUUUGACAUUGAUUUGACACGAAAAUGCAUUCUCCGUAAUUAAUGGCUCCAAACAUAGGCUUAUAAAUCACUCUUUCUACUCAUCUUUACAUAACAAUCCAUCUUUUCCCUAUAUGAGUAAAUUUCACAAAAUGUUUAUUUUUGUCAAAAUAUAUUUUUCUUUCUUUUCUUUUUAAUCAUAUAUUCUUUAUUAAAAUAAUAUUACACGUAAAAAAAAUUUCUUUUUUUUAACCACACAUUUCACAUUAAUUUAUUAUUCUAAAAUACAUUUUUACAUAAAAAUAUGUAUCAAACACCCCCUAGUCAUUUGUAAAAAUGUCCACCAUUGCAAAAAUGUCUAAUUUGGAAGAAUUUAGACCAAAAUACCCUUAUUAACAACUUAUAAUUCCACAUUAAGACAAAAAAAAAUGGACAUUUUUACAAUAUUGUUAUUGGCCAAUAAAAUUUUGACAAAUAGCCUGUCAUAUUUAUUUCAAAAAGUAUACAUAUCAAAUCACAAUAAAUGCUAUGUUUUUCAUUGAUUCAGAAAUGUCGAGAAUGACAUUUUUAAAUAUAGAGAAAUGUCAUCUUCAAAAUGAAAUAUCAUUCUAGACAAAUGAAACGGUGUUCAAAUAUCGAGAAUGACAUAUGAAAUGUCGAGAAAUAUUAUUUUAAUGUAGCUUCUCAUGGAAGCCAGUUCUCCAAAUUCGUGACAAAUUGAUAAAAAAAUCAAAUGUCGAGAACGACAUUUAAAAUGUCGAGAAUGUCAUUUCAAAAUGUAGUUUUUCAUUAAGGGCAUAAUAGACAAGUUGGCACUAAAUUCAAAUGAGUGGACACUUUUCAACUCAUACUCUUAAAAUUGGACAUUCUUAAAAAUGCUCAUUUCUCUAUUUAGUCUCUACACCACCCUCCCCCCACCUCUCUCUCUCUCUCUCUCUCUCUCUCUCUCUCUCUCUCUGCGGAUCCGUCCGACCAUCGUCAUCGGAAGCCUCCCAUUACCUUCCCUUCUCAUACCCGGUGUAGAUCGGUCAAUGAGGGCUCCUCAUUGUGGUUCAAUAAAGCCCAUGCACGUGCAAUGGAGAAGCUUAUGUGCGAGAAUGGGCACUUUUCGCGCCAGAUGGGGACAACUUUCCUAAAUUAACUAAAAUUCUUUUGGAAUCCAAUUAGGACUCGUUCUUGAUCGAAUUUUUGAUGGCUAUAAAUACAAAAUCAACGGAUCUCUCUCACCUAUCACCUCGCACCUCUCGUAUCACCUCUAAUAUAUCAGCGGUUUGUUAUUUGACUCAUUAGACAAUAAAAAACUACCACAUUAUUACAUCAAAUAACAAAUUACCAUAUGUAUAUUACUUAAAACAACUAGUCCUUUUUAGAAAUAGCAUUACUCUUGUUUCACACACAAAUGUAUGCAAAUGAAAAGGCACGAAGUUAAACACCUCUUUGAAGUCAUAUUCCAUGAACAUAUGUACACAUUAUUUAAAUCCAACAAUAUAGCACUUGGAAUAAGUUUUGAGCAUUAAUGAAUGCAAAUGGAGACCCAAUAAUAGAAGAAACAUGAAUAAAAUUUGUUUUACUAUAAAACACAAUAUUUUAUGCAGUAGAAAAUUUUUAUUCUAUUUGAAAAUUAAUCUCAUAUAUAUGCAAUACGUGAUUUUGAUUCCUGAAAUAUACUCACAAAAGCAAUCUGAUUAUUGAUUACCACAUAUUCAAGUUUCACUUUCUGCUAGUUAAACUGUCAAACUUAUUGUAGGCUCAGUUUAAUUUUAACACUUUGUAAUGGAAGAAAUAAAUAUGUCAAAUUAAGAAUGCAAGCAUUAUUAGAGGUUAAUCGAAUGUUUUUAAGCAGAAUGUUAACAGUGAUUCUUGCACAAAAAUGACAUAUAAAAUGAAGGGGGAAAAAAAGAAAGAAAGAAAUCCGUCUUUAGAUUGUUAGAUAAUUUAGUGAAUGACUUACAUUUCACUAAUAAAAAUACUAGCACGCAAAGACGAUAAAAUUGCGACUUAAGGAAAUGAAAUAAAACAAGGUAUGCAAUUGCAAAUCACCUUAAGAUGGAUUUGGUCCUCUACACCAGUGCUAUCAGAUAAACUAGACGUAUAUUUCCGAAGAUAUGACGCUUCUUUCAAAAUUAAUAUAGCAUGGUAUUCAUUUUGUUGGGCGAACCAACACUUGACAGUAUUCUUCUAGAAUGAAAAAUAUCGAAUGCUAAAUAUUAAACAUAAAACUCAAAUAAAAUUUAAAAAUUAUUUUGAUAGAAUUUGGAGAGGGAAUGAAUUAAAAAUCAAUUAUUUGAAAUUAAUUUGAAGUGAAGAAAAUGGAAUUAGUAGGUUCAUAUUUAUAAAUUUUCACGUGUCUUUUUGUAUAGUUGCAUCUUUCGGCAGAAAUUAAUUUAACGAUUAGAUAUCACCAUAUCAAAUUUAUUGGUAUAGAUAGCACCUUAUCAAAAUGACACACUCAUUCCGAAACAACGUGAUUAUUUGAUAUGAGUCCUUUACAAUUAGAGUGUUAUGUCUAGUAAUCACAUCCAUUGAAAACUUUAUAAUUCACACAUUUAAAUCAUAUAUAUGUUAAACCAUGAAUUCCAAUACGACCAUCUCCACAUUCAGCAUCCACAACGCAUUCAAUUCAAACACCACGGUUACUAUUGCAUCACCAUCCAAUCAAAAUAAGUGCUUCAUUUUAAUGAAAAUGUUUUAGCCAACGUUGUAAUAACCCAAUUUUUAAAGAUUUGAAUCGCUAUCAAAAUUUUUAAAAUAAUUUUAUUUUUUUAUUUUUUUAAUACAAAGCCCAAAAUUUAUAUAACAUCGUCAAAAUUAUUAUUAUUAUUAUUAUUAUUAUUAUUAUUAUUAUUAAUUAAUUAAUUAAUUUUUUUUUGGGUAAUGUUAUGCGGAUUACAGUGUGACCAGCACGUUGAGUCUUCUUUUUUAUAUGAUAACUUUAACUUGGAGUUGUUAUCUUUCUGACAAAAUCCAUGUGAUGGUGGAGUGUUCUUUCUUAUUAUUUAAGAUUCCCCACCCCUCCCCGCCCACCCUAAUGCAAAAGCCCUGACCUGACUUCCAAGCAUCACUGUACAUAUUCAUGCACCCCUCAAAAGUAUCCUAUACCAUAAAAUAUUGCAUAAAGUGCACAUCUAUCCAGCAUUUCCGUGAAUAGAGAAAAAAAAUGCAGAUCAUGUCGGUUUUUGUUUUUUAUAGACCGUUCACAUCGUGAACAGUAACAUGGGGUACUGUUCACGCGUGGAACGGUAACAUGGGCACUGUUAACGCGUAAAUAGUAAAUUUAUUAUUAUUUUUUUAACCUCCUAAAUCACAUAAAAUCAUGAUUGCUCCAUAGAAAAAUAAACCUAAACUCUGAUAUCAAACUGUAACAACCUAAAUUUUUAAGAUUUGAAUCGCUACCAAAUUUUUUUUAAAAAAUUUCAUUUUUUUUAUGCAAAUCCUUAGAUUACUUAUAAAUGAAUAAUAAUUAUCUUUAAAUAAAAUUUUGUUUACACUAAUGUAAGAUAACACUUAAGGGAAAUCAAACAAAUUAAUUCAAACAUUUAAAUAAAAUCGCAAUUUAAAAUAUCCAUGUAACAAAUAACAUAUACAAUAAUGCAAUAAAAAAUAAGUGUCUAUGGCAACAAAAUUAAAAUAAAUAAACUCACGUGCUAAGCACAACCACUCAAUUGAAUCGCCACACUUCGACACGACCCGUUCUAACCUGUGAGGAGUGGGGAAAAAGGAUGAGUACAUAAGAAUACUCAGUAUGAUAUAAAAAUUUAUGGUGCAAUCCCAAGUAAAAAAUUUGAAAACAUGUAGCAGAAUAUCAUACUGACUCGUAUCAAUAGAAACCAGUAGGAGUUUAUAUCAUUUGUACCGGAAUGACCAUAUUAUUCAUAUCAUAGCAUAUUGUACCGUAUAUUUAGCUUUCAUGAGUACAAAAAUUUAUCAACAUAAAAAAAAAUAAUAAUAAUAAUAAUUAAACUUGAUAGAAUACACUGCAUCUCGAUAUUUUACACCGUUAACUUGCUUCAAUUUUUGGAAGACAAAACAAAAUUCAUAUUCCAAAACGUUUCCAAAUUCUCCAAUUAUAGACGUGAACAAUUGUCGCAGGAAAUACAAAAUUAAUUCUAUAGUGUUCUGCUAUGUAAGUAUAUAUAUUAUAGGGAAUUACUCCAAUUUCUUGCGGUAACGUAUUUAUCCCGAAAAUAUUUUAAAGCAUCUCAACCGUGUACCACAAUUUAGAUAAGGAUUGGGUAAGAGUUUCUGAGGGAUUUGCUAAUCUUAAUCUAAAAAAACUAACUGUAGUUUUAAUUGAAUUACAACUCCUAAUUAGUCAUACAGGCACCGCCCACUGCCAUGUUUAAAAUCAAUAAACCACUUAACAAAUUACAAAAAGCAUCAAUCAUUAGAACUACAAUAUCUUGGGUAUAAUUCAUCUGAAAUAUUUUUUUUCUCGAGCUUAGUAUACAUGAUUAAUUACGACAUAUCCAACGAGAAUAAUAUUGAUAUGUUUAUCAUUACUUUAUCAAUAUUUAAAUAUUUGACCCCAUUUAAAAUUGAAUUUAAUAUAUUCACCACUUUAAUCCCCAACUUUUCAAAUUUAAAAUAUAGUAUAUAAAAUAAAUAAAUUCUAGUAUAUGAAAAUUUUCGGGACUUUAUAAUCUAUCCUCCUUAAAUAUUUUCGCUCUCGAGAAUUUUUACCUUAGCUAAUUGAAGAGUUUUGGAUACUUGGUUUUUAGCUCUUCUUCCUUCUUCCAAGUUGGCUUGUCCCGUCCAUGAUUUCAUCAUUGCGCCUUGACCAGGGGAACUUCUCUGUUUCCGAGUUGAUGCACUUUUCUGUCCAAAAUAUCAUUGGGAUUUCGUCACAUGACAGGUCUUUUUGUUCUUCCAAAGUUUGGUAAUUUGCCACAUGAUUGGGGUCACGAACAUAAUUUUUGAGCAUCGAAACAUGGAACACAUAAUGGACUGUUGCUAGUUCAGAUGGUAAGGCAAGUUUGUAAGCCAAAUUGCCAAUCCUUUCGAGAAUUUCGAAAGGUUUAAUGAACUGCGGUCUCAACUUCCAUUUCUUUUGAAAUCUCAAUACAUCUUUCAUUGGUGCUACCUCUAAAAAAUCUCAUCACCUACUUGGAAUUCUAAAUCCUUUCUUCAACCGUCAGCAUAGCUUUUUUGUGGGUCUUGCGUUGCCUUUAUUCUUGCCCUAAUCGCUUUUUUGUGGGUCUUGCGUUGCCUUUAUUCUUGCUCUAAUCUUAUCAACCGCCGAUCUUGCGCUGUCUUUAUUCUUGCUAUAAUCUUAUCAACCGCCUCAACUGUUUGUUCGAUGAUUUUCGGACCCAAAAUUAUAUUAUCACCGAUUUCAUCCCAGUGAUAGAGGAUCUGCAUUUCCCACAAUAAAGAGCUUCAUAUGGGGCCAUGUCUAUAAUGUCUUGAAAACUACUGUUGUAGACAAACUUCACUAAUGGCAAAUGUGUCUUCCAACUACCUCCAAGAUCCGAAACACAUACCCUCAACAUGUCUUCAAGAGUUUGAAUGGUUCUUUCUGAAUGUCCGUUCGUCUGUGGAUAGUAAGCAGUUCUAAAUUUCAGUUUCGUCCCCAUGGCUACCUGCAAAUUAUUCCAAAAUUUUAAUGUGAACCUCCGGUCUCUAUUUGAAACAAUGGUGACAAGAACUCCAUGCAAUCUGACUAUCUCCCUGAUGUGUAACUGUGCAAGCUGUUCCAUAUUGAAAUUUACUUUGAUUGGCAGAAAAUGGGCUGACUUUGUCAAACGAUCAACCACUACCCAAAUAGUUGCUGAUCUCGAAAGAUCUACUACGAAGUCCAUCACUAUGUAUUCCCAUUUUUAUUCUGGAAUAUCCAAUGGUUUCGGUAGUCCUAAUAGCCUUUGAUGUUUUGCCUUAACCUGCUAACAAACCAUACAUUUCUUCACAAACAGACCAAUUCAUCUUUUCAUGUUUCUUCACCAAAAUGUCUCUCGAGGAUCUCAAUACAUUUUUGUACCGUCAGGAUAUGCAGCAUAUGGUAUGGAGUGAGUCUCUUCUAAUAUCUCAUUUCUUAUACCCUCGUCCUUAGGUAACACAAUCUUCCUUUAAAAGUCGGUGUCCUAUGUUUCCUUAGUUCAAUCCCGAAUAGUAGGUUGAAUCAUAAAUGCUUUUAUUAUUGUUGUAGUCUAGGUCAACAGCAUGAUGACCUCUAAUUUCAAUUUAUCAAAGUCUUUUAUCAAGUGUUCCCACACUGUGUGUAAAACUGCUAACUGUUAUUCAGUCUUCCUACUUAAGUCAUCGACAACUACAUUAGCUUUAUCCGGAUGGUAAAAUAUGCUACAGUCAUAAUCUUUCACUAAUUCCAACCGUCUCUUCUAUCUUAUAUUCAGUUUCCUCUGCGUGAAAAAGUAUUUGAGACUUUUGUGGUCUGUGUAAAUUUUACACUUUCCACCGUAGAGAUAAUUAGGUCACAUCUUUAAGGAGAAAACUACCGCUGCAAGCUCCAAGUCGUGCAUUGGAUAGUUUUGCUGAUAUUGCUUCAAUUGUCUCGAGGCAUAAGGAACUACUUUUCCAUGUUGCAUCGGUACACAGCCCAAACCCUGCUUGGAGGCAUCGCUGUAAAUUACAAAUCCCUCUGAACCUUCAGGUAUCGUAAAUACAGGAGCCGAAGCUAGUCUCUGCUUGAUUCUUGAAAAUAUUUAUCACAUUUUUCCAUUCAUUGAAACUUCAUAAUCUUUCUUGUCAACUGAAUCAUCGACCCCGCUAUUUUAGAGAAACCCUCAAUAAAUUGUCUAUAAUAGCUAGCCAAUCCUAAGAAACUGUGCACUUCACCCACAUUAGUCGAUCUAGACCGAUUUGUUACUGCCUUCACUUUAACAAGGUCUACUUCGAUUCCUUGUGCGAAAACUAGGGAUGAACGCGUUUCGGUUUGGGCAAUUGUUAUUAUAUUUUCAACUCAAACCAUUUCAUGCGGUUUGAUUUUUUUCAAACCAAACCAAACCAAACCAUUUUAUUUUUCGAUCCAAACCAAACCAAAUCAUAAUUUGUGGUUUGGUUCGAUUUUAAUCCGCGAUUUACCUUUCGACAUUAUAGUAAUGUACUUAACAUAAGUUAAAUAUAAGUUUAAACGAGAACUAAUAAUGUUAAAUGUUAAAUUACAUUCAUAUUUACCAUGAAUAAAUUAUUUUCAAAGUUUGUUGCUAAAAGAUUUUAAUAAAACAAAUACAUAUUUCUUUAUUUUUAUUUACCUUUUCUUCUUUGACAUUCAUAUUGUCAUAUAGCGGUUGGUAAAAGUAGAGUUACAUUAUGUUAUUAUAGUUUGAUUAAAACUCCUUUCAUUUUGCUAGUAAAAUGUUAAAUAAGGAUUGAACGAGAUAUGUUUAGAUGUACAAAUAAUGAUAGAGUUUUGGCUUAUUGGGAACUAACGAAUUUCAUCCUCUAAUUAAUUUAUGAAAGUAGAAAGUAAAAGUACUAGUUAAAGAACUUUAACAUUUUCACACAUUUAAUACGCUCAGUCCUUUUUUCUUUUCAAAUUACAAACAAGUUCAUUAAUCAUCUAGACACACAAACAAUCAUUUUUCUAUCCAAACCACAACUCACUAGUGUAUAAUAAGCUCAAAAAAAUAAAUAAAAGAAAUAACAAUGGAAAAAUGGCUUGAAUAAGAAUCUAAAACUUAUUGAAAGAGAAGAGACAAAGAGGCAAUUCAGGUCAAACUAACAGGCAAAGAGAAUAGCGAUUCGUUCAGCAGUGACAGACAAGCGUCAAAUGUUAGGGAAAUGAUAGUAUGUGUUAGAGCUUCUGAAACUUUGGACGUGAUUUGCUGAUAUAGUUUUAUUGAAUUAUGAUUUGGAUUGUUGAAAAUAUAUGUUUUUUUUUUCAUUUCAUAUGAUUUUGGAAUAAUUUUAGUUUAGUUCAGAUAUCGGGUGAGACCUGUUAAAUCACAAUUCAAUAAUGAUGAACCUAAUUUAAUUUCUAUGAUUAUUUCAAUAGGCUGAUUAUAAUUUGUAUUGCAAAAUUGGUAAUUUUUAAAAAAGUGAAAACUAUAAAAUUUUUAAGUUAAUAAAAUUAAUAUUUUAAUUAAAAAUUUUAAGAAAGGUUCUGUUAGAUUUUGUGCGGUUUUUGAAAAUCAAAAUCUAAAACAAACCAUUUUGAAACGAUUUGGUUCGGUUUGAGGGAAAAGAAAUCACGGGUCCACAUGGACCCAAAUCAACGGUUUCAACUCAAUGAAUUCGUUUCGGUUUGCAAUUUUACAAUUUUUUUGUGCAGCCCUAGCGGAAAACACGGGUCCAAGAAAACCUAUGCGAUCAAGCCAAAAUUCACACUUCUUGAAUUUGGUAUAUAAUUUCUCCUUCCUCAAAUUUUCGAGUACUGCUCGGAGUUGUUCCUCAUACUGCUUUUUAUUCUUUGAGUACACAAGUAUGUUGUCAAUAAAUACUAUGACGAACUGAUCUAAGUACUGGUAAAAUACUCUGUUCAUGAGAUCCAUAAAUACUGCUAGAGCGUUGGUCAAAUUUAAAGGCAUGAUAGUGAAUUUAUAGUAUUCAUAACGAAUCCUGAAAACAGUUUUCGGUAUAUCACUUGCCCAGAUUUUCAAUUGAUGAUAUCUCGACCUCAAGUCGAUCUUUGAAAACACCAUUGUGCCUUUUAGUUGGUCAAAUAAAUCUUAUAUUCUUAAUAGCGGGUAUCAAUUUUUGAUGGUAAGAUGGUUCAAUUCCCAGUAGUUAAUGCACACUUGGUCUAAUGAAACCUUUCUCCUGUAACUCCUCUAAUUGCUACUUCAAUUCUUGAAGUUCUUUCGGUGUCAUUCGGUACGAACAUUGGAUACUGGUGCUACUCUAGGAACCAAAUCAAUUUUAAAUUUUACUUGCCUAUCUUGUGGAAUGCUUGGUAAAUCUUUUGGAAAUACGUUUACAAAGUCUUGAACGAUGUUAAUAUUGUCAACAGUCACUCCUGUAUGUUGGGAACUGAUGAUAUUAAUUAGGAAUCCUUGACAUUACUCAUUUCUCAACAUCUUUUCCAUUUGUUCCAAAGAAAUGGAACUCUUCCUCGUCCGGUCUGUGAAAUAAUACUUUUUUCUCGUGACGUCAAAUGGUUGCAUGAUUGAGUUCCAGCCAAUCCAUGCCUAAAAUAUCAUCGAAAUCUUUCAUCUCUAAAAGGUGUAAGUCUGUCUAUAAUAUCUUUCCGUCAAUCUCUAACUUCAUAGCAUUAGUCAUCUGAUUUGUACAGAGAGUUCUUCCUGAAGGAAUACUAACCUCUAAUCCAUUAUUCGUUUUCACACAUUUAAAGUUUGACCUAGCGACGAAUGAUACAGAGAUAAAAGAAUUUGUAGCCCCAAAGUAAAAAAGUAUGUAAGUAGGUACAUCAGAUACUAAUAGGAUACCUAUUUUCAUAACUAUAGUGUUAGACUUAGCGACUUAGGAUAGAAAAUAAAAUAAAAUAAAUUUAUACAGGUACUUCUAAUAAAUUCUUUCGGAUCAUGCUCUGCUUCCUGCUAUUUAACGCAAAAACUCGAGUCUUUCCUUUCUUAUUCUUGUCUUGAUCAUCAUCCUUCUUCUUUGGAGGUUCUGUAUAGUUCAGAGUAAUGUGUCCCGACUUAUCAUACCAAAAACACAUGCUCUUCCUAAGUAGGCAUUCAUCCUUGUAGAGUUUACUACACUUAGGAUAAGGUGUAAUACUCCCACUUGUCCCACCGAUACGAACUCUUGUGCUUAGUUUUUUACUCUACUAGUUACGCCUGUCUUUUCCCGAUGACUCAUUGCUUUGCUGGGCACACUGCUCAAAGGUAGUCCUUUGAUAUGAAAUAGCAUGAGCCCUCUCCAACAUUUCAUGAUAUGAAAUGAAAUGAUAAGAGAUAAUGAUAGUUCAUUUUCGAACCUCUUAAUCUUCUUAACUUCAGUAUCCACCAAGUACGAAGCAUACCUUGAAAGCUGCUCAAACUACCUCUUGUAAUUAGUAAGCGACAUGUCUUCCUGUCUAAGUUGUAAAAACUUUGAUUCCUUGAAAUAUGUCAAUGCCUAUGGAAAGUACUUUGCCAUUAUUUCGUCAUUAGACUGUUCACAAGUCAAGUUAUGCUGCUGCUAUUAGAUCUUAGUGCGUGAAACAGAUUUUCACCAGUUACUGGCUGCUCUAACCAACAUGAAUUCUGUGCAUAGUACAAGUAAUGUCGGAAUAUGCACUCCAAUCCUCUUAUCCAGUCUUCGAUAACUAGUAGGUUGGAAUCGUCGUUGAAUGUAAGAGGCUUGUACCUACGGAACUGUUCAACCACUGAGAUAGUUUCAGGGGCGAACGAAGUUGCAUUCUGCUAUGGCGGUGCAUUUUUGUGCUGGGGGUGCUUGAUUCUGUCUGCUCAAUACUUGUACAACUCUCAAUAAAAUCAUGCAUCAAAUUCGUGUGGGUAGGUAUUGCCAUUUCCUAAAAUUUAACAUUAAGUCACUCAUCACAUACUCAUAUUAAGUCUAAGAUAUUAUACUUAUAUUAUUAUAUACAUAACAUAAAUUUAACAAGAAAAAUAAUUGCGCAUGUCUUAAAAAUUUAAAGAUAGGCAAUUUUAAAAUAUUAAGUUAUGCAAAAAAAUAAAAAAAUAAAAAAUUCUAAAUACAUUCAUCUUCUUACCCCUUUACAUACCUUAGAGUUAUCGGAUGGUGAUUGAUUGAUGGUCGUUGAGUGCCAAAAUUCUGUUAAAUUUUUACAUAUUUAAGAACUUAAAUAUACACAUUACAUCAUAACUUUAAAUUUAAAAAAUCUAAUAAAACUUUUUUUUAACAAAUACUACACAAAGUUAGACUAAUCACGUAAUAUUUAUAAUUUAUUUUGCAUUGCAUUUAUUAUUAUUACACGUAUCACUUACAAUUAUUACACAUAACAUUUAUUACACGUAGCAUUUAAAACAUGAAAGCCCAAAAUUUAUAUAACAUCGUCAAAAUUAUUAUUAUUAUUAUUAUUAUUAUUAUUNNNNNNNNNNNNNNNNNNNNNNNNNNNNNNNNNNNNNNNNNNNNNNNNNNNNNNNNNNNNNNNNNNNNNNNNNNNNNNNNNNNNNNNNNNNNNNNNNNNNNNNNNNNNNNNNNNNNNNNNNNNNNNNNNNNNNNNNNNNNNNNNNNNNNNNNNNNNNNNNNNNNNNNNNNNNNNNNNNNNNNNNNNNNNNNNNNNNNNNNNNNNNNNNNNNNNNNNNNNNNNNNNNNNNNNNNNNNNNNNNNNNNNNNNNNNNNNNNNNNNNNNNNNNNNNNNNNNNNNNNNNNNNNNNNNNNNNNNNNNNNNNNNNNNNNNNNNNNNNNNNNNNNNNNNNNNNNNNNNNNNNNNNNNNNNNNNNNNNNNNNNNNNNNNNNNNNNNNNNNNNNNNNNNNNNNNNNNNNNNNNNNNNNNNNNNNNNNNNNNNNNNNNNNNNNNNNNNNNNNNNNNNNNNNNNNNNNNNNNNNNNNNNUUGCUAACAAAAUUUUUAAAAUACUUUUUUUUUUUAAUGCAAAUCCUUUGAUUACUUAUGAAUUAAUAAUAAUUAUCUCUAAAUAAAAUUUUGUAUCUACUAAUGUAAGAUAACACUUAAGGGAAAUCAAACAAAUUAAUUCAAACCUUUAAAUAUAUAAAAUAUAAAUGUAACAAAUAACAUAUAUGAUAUUUCAAUAAAAAAAAAAGUGUCUAUGGAAACAAAAUUAAAUGAAAUAAAAUUACAUGCUAAAUUCUUUAGAUUUUCGUUCAACAAAACGGGACACAACUACUAAAUCGAAUCGUCUCUAUCCGGCACGAUCUGUUCUAACAUGUGAGUAGUAAGGAAAAAUUGUGAGUACUGGAAUGACCAUAUCAUUCAUAUCAUAGCAUAUCAUAUCGUACCUUGAGAUUUCAUGAGUACAAUAAUUCAUCAACUUAAAAAAGAAAAGUAAACGGGAUAGAAUAUACUGCACCUCAAUAUCCUACACUGUUAAGUUGCUUUAAUUUUUGAAAGACAAAACAAAAUUAACGUGUUCAAACUUUUCCAAAUUCUCCAAUUAUAGGCCUGAACAAUUGUCUCAGUACAUACAAAAUUAAUUCUAUAGUGUUCUGUCGCGUAAGUAUAUAUAUUCUAGGGAAUUACUCCAAUUUUCUUGUGGAAAUGUAUUUAUCCCAAAUAUAUAUCACAGAUUAAAGUUGGUUUGAAAUUGCAACCGUGUACCACAAUUUAGAUAGGAUUGGUCAGAGUUUCCGACGGAUUUUCUAAUCUUAAUCUAAAAAAACUAACUAUAGUUUUAAUUGAAUUACAGCUCCUAAUUAAGUAAAAAGAUUAGCUUAUGUGAAUUAGUCAUACACGUGCCGUCCACUGCCAUGUUUAAAAUUAAUAAACCACUUGACAAAUUACAAAAAAACAUCAAUCCUUAGAACUACAAUAUCUUGGGCCUAAUUCAUCUGAAAUAAUUUUUUGUCGAGAUAUCCAACGAGUACAAUAUUGAUAUAUUUAUCAUUACUCUAUCAAUAUUUAAAUAUUUGACCCCAUUUAAAAAUUGAAUUUAAUAUAUUCACCACUUUAGUUCCCAACUUUUUCAAAUUUAAAAUAUAGUAUAUAAAAUAAAUAAAUUCUAGCAUGUGGAAAUUUUUGGGGCUUUUCAAAUGUGGGAAAAGGUACGCAUGACUCUGACCUAUAAUGUUAAAAAUAUAUAGGUUUUCCUCUUGUUUUAAUUGGUUUAAUAACUAAUCUUAUCUAAUACAGGGAUAGCAUUAUUCAGUUCUCCCUAAAAUCCAAGCUAAAAAUGGACUUUCAAUUAAUUAAGCAAAGUUUCAUUUAAUUGUGCAAAAUUUUCACUAGCAUAUCAUUUUGAUAUAGGUACGAUAAAAGAACUCUUUCAAGCCGACAUGGAUUGUUUUGUGGAUGAUGGUAAAAGAUGUUGUUUCUGGAGCAUAAGUUUCUCCUUCAAAUAAUCCGAAUAUACAAAUACUGAUAGAAUUAACUUAACGUAAUUUGCAAAGCCUAACAAUACGAUCAAUAGGAUCUAAAAAUUAAUUCGAGUCCACCAACGGGUGCUAAAAGUGUUCAACAAUCGUUUCUUAGGAUAGGACGAAUUUCAUCUCCUACGAAAGCAGCACAGCAAUCUGCAGGAGUUCCAACGAGCUCAAUUGAGUGUUUUACACUUCGAGAAUGAUAUCAAAAUGAGAGAGAGUGAGAGUGAGAUUCAAAGCAGAGAACAUUUACAAUGAAAAAUGGUGUUAUUAUUCUGGCAGUGGGGCAGACUAUUUAUAAACUUGUUCGUAUACAUUCGAACAUACUCCAAGCCUUUUCAGAACAAUCAUCACUGUUCAGACAACCUCCAAACUUGAACAAACAACUUAAUUCAGUAUUGCGUUUGUUAAGCGGUUAACAGAUCAUCCAGACUAAAAAUUACUCGAAAAUAAGUCAAUUUAACAGAUCAUCCAGACUAAAAAUUACUCGAAAAUAAGUCAAUCAAAAUAAAUUUCAUUAAGUACCCAAAAAUUUGAUUAGUUACAAUUUGGUCCAAAAAUCAAAUAAAUUUUGUCCAAAAGUUAAUCUUGAACACAUGCUCAUGCCAUGCCAACCGGACGGGCGACGACAACGCGCACAUGUGAGCUUAUGACCUAACCCGAUAGGAUAUAGGUCUCCCCAUUUUCAAAAACUAUUGAUAUCUCUUAGGGCACAAACCCAAUUCUCCAACUUCCAUCAUAUAAACCGCAACAAAGUUUUCUAACUUUUCUAAAUGGAAAAAGUGUUUAGCAAAGUUUCAAUAAAUCAAAAUUUUCACUAAUUCAUAGUUUCAAGUAGGUUAAUUUGAAAUAAAAUAUUUUUUUCAAUUCUAAAUGAUUUUUUAUAAAUAAAUAUAUCACGUUAAUCACAUCGCAGAAUCGAACAUGAAUAUGUUAGGUCCCGUUAAGACUAAGGUACGGGUCCUACUGAAAUUUGGACUCAAAAUUAACCCAUUUCACUUACAUUAACCAUUUUCCAAAGGAAGACAAUGUCGACUUUUUCCCCCAGCCCUUGAGGCGUAGUUGGCCAUUGUAUGGAUGUUAGCAAAGGUAAGAAAAUUGUAACCCUUUAACUUCUUAAGUUACUUAUUUCUGAAGCCCCACAUUUCUUAGCACUUUGAGAGAUGAUUUUCGCAAAGUGACAUCCAAGUUGUCUAAUUAAUAAAGUAAUUUCUAAAAAGCACGGACAAGGGCAUGAAACACGGUCACAAAAUUCUGGAGACACGCCAAAUUAAAUUUUUAAAAAUUUUAGAUUGUAUAGUUUUUUUUUUUUUUAACAUUUUUAUUUGUUUAAAGUCAAUAUUUUCAAUUUUUUGAUUUUUGUUAGUGAUAUCUUCUGAAUAAGAUGAGUAAUAAUUUGUUAUCUUCAAAUAAAUUUGAGUUCAACUAUAUAUUACUAGAGGACAAGGGCAUGAAACACGGUCACAAAAUUCUGGAGACACGCCAAAUUAAAUUUUUAAAAAUUUUAGAUUGUAUAGUUUUUUUUUUUUUUAACAUUUUUAUUUGUUUAAAGUCAAUAUUUUCAAUUUUUUGAUUUUUGUUAGUGAUAUCUUCUGAAUAAGAUGAGUAAUAAUUUGUUAUCUUCAAAUAAAUUUGAGUUCAACUAUAUAUUACUAGUAUAAAAAAAUAAUAAAUAAAUAAAUAAACAGAGAAUCCUUGAUUUGUUUAAACAUGAAACAAUGCAGAUUAACAGAUAUGGCACUAUGUGAAUCUUUUAUGUUAUUCCAUGAAGAACUUGUCGAAUUCAAUUAGUUCACCUUUUUCAGUUGAUUAUUAUAAUGUAAUUGAUUGGUAUAAAACUGUUAUAUCUAUAAAUUAUACGGCAUAUGCGUGAUGUAGGGGUUUCACAUUGACUGACUCGGCAAUCAAUUAGGUCAAUUGAAUUGGGCAUAAUAAAUCAAUCAACAUUUUCUUGUACUUCCGCAUGGUUCAAUGGCCGAUCUCGACUCAUUUUCUUCCCUUCAUAUAGGAGACAAUUUCACACACAAGGUAAGAUUAUUCUAUCCCGAGCCAAAUCCCCAUCUCCCGUCUCUUGCACUUACGUUAUCUCUCAUCCAGUCGUUGACUUUAUCGUCGAAGUACGAACAAUCAUCGGACUUUUUCUCGACAUGUGGCAUUUGUCUCCAAACAUUGUGUUCAAGUGGGCAUGUGAUACUUAUGCAGAGAGGAGGUGGAUGGGAUUUGUUGACCAUAUAUCCAUCGAAUUUUAAGGUCAACAAAAAGCACAAGCUCUUAGAAGAAUUUAUCCUGUGAAUGAGAUCUGGGGAUGAACUUGAAUUUCAAUAUUUUUUUCUUUUCUAUAUAUCAUAUUUUUCUGAUUGGUGGGCACACGAUCUUCCGGGUUCACAUUUAAAGAAGCAAGUUCUCCUAGUUCAAGCGCGUACGAAGUUGUGUUUUGCCACUUAUGAUCAGAUAGUAAGCUUUCUUUCAGUGAUGGGCACGAUAAAAAGGUGAGUGUCAACAAAGUUGACUGAAAAAUGUAAUUAAAGUGUUUUAUAAAGCUAUUUUAUGAUGUUUAAAGUUGGUCAUGCAUACUUCAGUUUAUAUAACAUUAUACGAAAGGUUCAAUUAAAUAUAAAAUUAUGAGGUUCAUUUAAUAGUACCUUUCACUCAAUGGCGCUUAAUGUCAUGUAUACUAGUAUUAUAAUGCUAGUGGUGAUAAAUAACAUUAUUGUACAUUUUUAGUUAACAUAUCUUUUCUAGAAAAUAAGCAGUGAAUUACUUUCUACAAAGUAAGCUUCAAGAACAACCAAAUGCACAGAAUCUAAUUUACAGUGCGUGACCUAAUGUUACUGAAAUUAAGUUUCUAGCUUUUGCAAGUGACCAAAUUUUUAUUAAGAUGGUGCAGGCUUUUUUGUGGUACACUAAUACUUUGAAUCCAAAAGGUACAGUUGAACACUCGAUGAUUUAUUAUUGAUGGUUGCUUCAGUCCUUGCUUGGCCUGUCUUGCAAUGUUAUCAUUUGACAAAACUGAGUUUGGGAUGCUGAAGAUAAUUUUAUUUUACGAUUUUUUUGUAAUUGCAAUUUUGUUUUGAUCUUCCAUUUUCUAUAUUAAAAAAAAAAAAACUUAUAUAUUUACCACUAGCAUCCAAAUUAUGCACGAAUGGUGCACAAAACCGGUUAUUUUUGAAACAUUUUGAAACGGGAAGAAAAAUGUCCCUUUACCCACAUUAAAAAUAGAAAACGGCAAAAUUGUCAUUUUAACUGUUCUCAGUAGAAAACAUGCCAAAAAUCCAAAACACAGGAAAUGCAGUUUUGAAGCGAAACCCUACCUAAACAUUUCCCCAACUUUCUUCUGCCAACAUCCAACGAAACCUUCAAAACCACCUCUUUCCAUCCCUCUAAAGUCCAGCCAACCUCCUCCAAAACCACCGGAUUUACAUACCAUUGCGAAGCCCUCAAUCCCUUCUUCAAUUACCACACAAACAACAACCCAAACAUAUACCAAAACCGAUUAAAAGUCAUCCUCAAAAACUGCCAAAACACACAAACUGCUUCUUCCAGAAUCUCCACCUCCAGCGACACCCGAGGUUGUGCACCACCACCGGUCGAUUGCCCACCAUAAACUGACCCAAACCAUGGCCCCAAUUUACGACAAACAACAAUUCAACAAUCUAAAUUUCUAAAAUGCAAAAUCCAAAUGUUGGCCAACGCGAAGGCCUACAAUACAAUUCGUGGCUUAUGCGAAAAUGGGUUCAGGUGAUGCUGAGAUCUGGUGAUCUAGGUGGUGGGUGGUGGUCGGAUUGUGAGGUAGAGGACGGCGGCUCAUGGAGGGGGCAAAAAUGGCAGUAGCUGGAGAAGAGAAAAUAUGAAUUUCUAAAGUGAACGUGUUUUUCAUUUUCAUGUGUUGAGAAAUAGUUUUCUAAAAUGAAAAAAAGAAUGCUUUUUCAACAAUUUCAAAAUGGACACUCAAAACACAACCUAAAAUGAAUUCAAAAUUCAAAACUAUAAAACUGAAACAAGAAAAGAACAGCCCCAAGUUUCUAGCUUAUGCAUGCGACGAAAUUUUUAUUAAGAUGGUGCAGGUUGUUUUGUGGUACACUGAUCCUUUGAAUCCAAAAGGUACAGUUGAAGAACACUCAAUGAUUUAUUACUAAUGGUUGCUUCAGUCCUAGCUUGGCCUGCCUUACAAUGUCAUCAUUUGACAAAACUGAGUUUGGGAUGCUGAAGAUAAUUUUAGUUUACGAUUAAUUUUAUGUAAUUGCAAUUUUGUUCUCUUUUUGUGCUUCCAUUUCCUAUAUAUAUAAAAAAUUAAAAAUAAAAAAAUCAUAAAUAUUUACCUCUAGCAUCCAUAUUAUGCACGAGGGGUGCACAAAUCUAGUUAUUUCUAAAACCUUUUAAAACGGGAAGAAAAAAUGUCCCUUUAGACGAUAACUCAUUAUUUUUGAAACAUUUUAUAGUGAGAAGAAAAGACACCAUUCAUUUUUCGUAUUAUGUAGGAGAAUGCACAAAGCUUGUUACUUAAAUAUUUUGAAAUCAUUAAAUUUGUUUUUGUUUUGUACAUAUCAGACACGACCCAUCUCAAAUCACUCUAUUAUAUUAAAGAGUUUCUCUAUAAUAUAGACUAAACCUAUCUAAAAAGCAUCUAAAUAUAUAAUAAUCAAAAUAAAGUGCAAGCAAAACAAUAUCAAUGGUCUUUCCAAGCAAAAGUCCUCAAAUACACAAAAUAUGAAAAAAUAUGGAGCCAGCCUAUUAGGCAGCUAUCGAAUGAUUUCUUUGCCUAUAGUCUGAAAACUAAAGCUACAAGGCCUGCAUAUAGUACCCACGAAUCCAGUCCUUUAUGGGAGGUUAUCUUAACGUGUAUCAUGCAUCAUAUAUACUUAGCCACAAGGCUUCUGCUUCUCGUUUAAGUUUGUAUGCAAUAAUUUUGACCAUAUGCUCUUCGUCAACCUCCAUGAUUUCAGAAAAUCUUUCUCCUUUAUUCAACUAGUAAAGCAAUGCCUCUUAAUCUAGACUCCCAUUAAAAACAUAAAUUUCCACCUUGACUUUGUAACCAUAAUAGUCAUAUGGCCGAUCAUUAUAACGAACUGUGGCCGAAACUAAGGUUGGAUCUACUAGGGUAGAAUCUAAACAAGGUCGAUGGAUGGUUGUAGCCUAGGAUUGCCACCUCCAAGAUUCAAGAUAGACAAUACAUCCUUGAGUUGAUCGCCUAUUCUUGUAAGUUGGUCUCAAACGGCUUAAACCUCACCGCAAAAGCCUUAAUCUGAGCGUCAAUCAUAGCUAUGAUACCACUAAUGUAGGUAGAAAACAUGAAUACAAAUAAUAAAAAAUUGUUCGCAACAAACGAAUGGAUGUUGCUCGAAUGGAUGUGAGAAUUAUUGAAAUCCACCAAUAACAAGAAAACUGAAUCAGUAUUAAUCAAAGAAAUGAACGUAGGGUUUUCAAACUCUUAAAGACGUGUUUAAGAGUCAAAAUGAAUCUUAAUCAAAUCAAAAUCCUAAUUCUCUGUGUACAAAUUUGAACAAAACAAAAAACUGUUAAAAUAAUGAAGACAUUGUUAAUUUAAAGUGAUGUAUCAAUAUAUUAUUGAGUAGAUAGCAAGUUAGACGGUCAAUUUUGAACAACAAAUCUCAAUUCUUUGGAAUGAAAGACUUUGCUAACUUCAAAUUAAUGUCUUCAUAUUUUUAAUAUGGCAAAACUAAUACAUUAAUUAAAGAUUUAAUUUGUUUUAAAUGAAUUAAUUUAAUUUCUUCACUAUAGAAGUGGACCUAAGAGGAAGGCUAGAACAGCCCUACUUGAUCCCUUUGACACCCCUAAUUCAAGUGAGGUUGGCAGUAUUCAACACCUCCUGCCAGACGUGACAAAUACAAUGACAUGCUAAUAAUUCAAGAAGGAAGGUUUCCGAGCAAUUUGUCUGUAUGAACAAUUAAAUAUUUCAAAAAAAUAUUUCAUAAUAAAUUAAAGAAGAGUUAAUAGAUUAUUUUUCUGAUGUUUUCACAGUUUAUGGCCGCAGAGCCCCCAAAGUCGUAGACUUCCCAAAUCCUCCUGCGGAUUGAAUAUUUUUCCAAGAACAAAAAGACCAAUUAAACUCCUAUUACAAGAUCUGAUCCAAGUUAUCAAAAGAUUGCAAACUUACUCCUAUUGUCAACAAGCAACCAAAGUGUGUUUUAUUUAUUGCAACAUGUACAUACAUUCCAUUUUCCCUACAGCAACGUAAAACAGAAUUUUCGAGGCUCGUUAUCUGUAUAACGAGUGACACCAUCAGUGAGAAACAAAAUAUCAUGGAAAGCUUGACAACAAAAGAGACCAAGGCUUGAUUUGAGAUCUAUCCACACUUAAGGUUUUCAUCAGAUCAUCGUUGAUAAAUGCAACCAUUAUUACCAAAAUUUUGCAAUUCAAAUUAAUUUAUUCUGACCUCUUAACAGUAUUAGAAAAUCAAUUUCUUGAGCCAGCAAGUUUUCCCUGGUGAGCAAACG
rnacentral:lncRNA from 1 species